rnacentral:lncRNA from 1 species
UCCUAUUGAUGCUGGAAUGAAUCCACUUAAUUUAUUAUGGCGAAGUUGUAAAAGCAAAAGGUUGGUUAAGUUACCUAUUUCCAUAGGAAUAAUGCCUUGAAGCUCACAAUUAGAGGCAUAAAAGUAUUGAAGGGAUUUUGAAAGGUUCCCGAUAUAAGUAGGAAGAACGCCACUCAAUGGAUUUCCUGAAACAAUUAUUCUUUUCAAAUGCUUGCAAUUCGUCAAAGAAGAAAGAAAGCUCCACUCAUGAUCAGUAGCAGAUCCUGUGAUCAAAUUAUUGUUUACGAUUCGGAACCAUUCAAGGUGUCUUAAGUUGCCAAGCGUUUUAGGGAUUGGGCCAGAGAAUAAGUUAUCUCCCAAGUCUAGUUCCUUCAGCAUGGAAGCAUUGGAGAUAGAGUUGGGAAUGUUUCCUCUAAGUUUAUUUCCCCACAAUACAAGAAUCUCAAGCUUUGGAGCAUUGGUGAUGGGUGGUAAAUUACCUGUAAAAUAGCAUCUUUUAGUAUACAUAUUCACAAAAUAUAUAAUACACUAAUAAUUUUUUAAAAUAUUGUAAAACUUGAAAUAAAAUAAAAAUAAAAGUUUGGCAUGAGAAUAUGGCAUCUAAUCAAUCUUAAAAAUGAGAUUGAGACUGAAUAAUAAUUAGUUAUGAUUUGGGAAACAAAAAUGUUAAAGCCAUUAUUUAUCUUUAUUAAAUUAUAGUGUAAAAUUUAAAGAUUAUUAUUUGCUCAAAAUUUUUGUAUUUUUCGUAUGUUUGAAAUUUAAUCUUCAUAUUUUUUUAUUUUCUGUGAUUUAGUCUCUCUACUUUUUGAAUUGAAAAUUUUAGGUUCAUCUAUUAACACUGUUAAAAAGUUUUUGUGUUAGUAUGGCAUUUUGAAAAAUAAAACAAACUUGAUAUCUAUGUUUUUAAUUAUUCCAAAUAUUGUUUUACUAUUUCAAGAUAAAUUAUUUGUGUCUAGACCAAUAUCUUAAGAACUAUUGUUGUAUGUUUAAUUAUUCUAAAGAAUUGUCGAUUGAGUGUCAGCUUGAUUGGCAUGUACAUUGUUGCUAAUGUAGGAGAAUGUGGGUUUAAGUAUGCUGAAGUGCAUUAUCCCCCUAUUUAAGAAUUGGGGAGUUUGUAAAGUACUAAAUUUUGAUAUAUUUUUUAAAAUAUUAAAAUAUUAUUAAAAUAUUUUUUAUAAAAUUGAUUGUACCUCAAUAUACAAUUUUAAUAUCAAAUUUUUAAUUUUUUUAAAAAUAUUAGCGGAUAUAUACUUUAUUUCAAGUUACACAAUUUUUUUCCAGUUUUUAACCCUCUUUUUUUAAUUUUAAUUAUCUUUUAUAAUUUCUGAUAAUUUUUUACAAUAUUUAACAAUUUCUAACUAUUUUUAAUAAUUUUAUUAUUAAUCACAAAUUUAAAAAUUAACAAAUUUUUAUUUUUAAAAAAAUUAUAUAUUUAUAAUGUAGUUAUUUUUUAUAAUUUUAUUUGAAAUUUUAAAAAAAAAUUGGUUUUUUUAGAUGAUGAUGUCAUCAUGAUGUCAUCAUAUGACACUUGGCAAUUUAUGAUUAGUUGGAUAUCUCAAUCUAUUUUUUUAACGUCCAAUAGAUUAAACCGAGAAUACCUGAUAAUGUUAGAGACUACACUAGGAAUGUUUGAUAAUAUUAGGUACUAAAGUGGGCCAAAAAAAAAAAAGAGCAAUAUGGUGUAGGGAAUAAACUAUGCAUUAAGCCAUUAAAAAUAUAUCUAUAAUAUAUAUAAAUGCAUGGAUUUUGAGAAACUUUUGAACUGAUAAUUAUAUAGUCUUUCUUGUUUACUAUAUUAUUGAAUUUGUUAUUUUAAAUAUUUUUUAUUACUUUUAAGAUUUAUAUAAGAAUUGUGGUUUUACUAAAAUAUUUGGUUAAGUAAAUUCACUUCAUAAGAAAAUUUAGCAUCCUUAUAAAUAACAAUUUUGAUUCUAUUAAAAAUAUUAUUUUAAAAAAUAUAUAAUAAUAAAUUAAUUAUUUUUUUAAGCUUAAUGAUUUUUCGAGUUUCUCGUUACACUUCUAGUUCUAUUUUAACACGAAAGCAAACACAAGAUAACCAUUACCUAAUACGAAAACCAAAUCACCAAUUGAGACAAAUUUUCUGGAACCCGAUUUACAAAAUCAAUUUUACCAAUAACAAAGUUAAUGAUGAAAUUAAGUCCAAAUCUCCAACCUUGAUUCUUACCCUCAAGAAAAAGUAGUCCAAAUAACGAUUCUAAGUCGUCGAGUAACUAAUCGCCUUGUGAACUACACCUAAAACCAAAACAAUUGAUUAACAUCGAUAAAUCACACCAACCAGAACUCAAAAUAAUCGAAGCUAACGAAGGCAAGAUUCCAUAACAGAAGAGAAGUAGGCAAUACUUACGCACGAAUCAAAUUACACUCAACAUAGCAGAGUAUCCACCACCGAUUCGGAAAGGCAUAAAGAACAACAUUCAAGAAUGAACAAAAGAUUGAGAAAAGAACAAGAGCAGGAAAAAGAAACGAAAAUUGAGGGCCUUCUCUACUAAAAUCCACGUGAAAGAAACGAAAGUAAUAAAGAAAAAAAAAAAUAGAACCAGAAAGGGGAAAGAAAAAAAUGGAGAACAUGUAAACAAAUGGGAGCAAAAAUUGGGGAUUGGAAUUAUUUUAAUCAAUUAAUUCCCCACCAUUUAAAAAAACAAUAAAAUAAAAUAAAUAUCUUAAUAACCACCCACUAAACUUAGAUAAUUACCCAGAUUCUUUUCAAGAAUUUGAAUUUAAUCUAAACUUAUCCACUUGAACAACACAAAGCAUAAAAUAUUUCACUUGCUUGCAUGGAAGCUUGAAUACAUGACCAAAGAGUACUCAAGAAUUUAACCACUAAACCAGUAAAUUUAUUCUUGUCAUAGAUUUAACGAUAAUAAUAUUUAAGCUGGAUAAACAGAGAUAGACUUAGAAACAAAAAUAAUUGAAUUUUCCCAAAGAAGUGCAACUUAAACUCAAGACCUUAAACUCACAAUUAAGAGACUUCACCACUAAAACAAACACUUUCUAAUGACAAAUUUUAACAAAUUAUGUAUACGAAAUUUGGGAUGUUACACGGAAAGUGGAGGGAUGGGAGGAAGGAGUGAACAAGUGGAAAUAAAAUAAAUUGAGUAUGAUUAAUUGGAAAGAAAGUGAGAGGAAAGAAGAUAAGAGAAAUGAUCAUUUUCCAUUCCAAUGAAUAAAAAUGAAUCAUUCCAAAUUGGAAAGAUGAGAUGAGAGAAAAUGAUAAAUAUGUGUAUGUUAGUUUAAAAGAAUGCAUUUUUGAAAUGAUUUAUUUUCUUUCCUUUCAUUUUUUCAACUCUACCAAGCAUUGAAUGGAACUGGAAUAAAAAUUGAAAGUAGAAAACUAGAAGGAUGAAAAACAUAAUUUUUUAUUUUCAUUUUUCUAUUUUUCCUACCAAACACAACUAUGAAAUUUUCUACCCGUUAAAUCUUCCAUUCUUUCAAUUUUUGUUACACUCUAGACAGCAAAACUUAAAUGUUGAAAAUUUAAUUCCAUAGCAGAUAGAUUACGAAGUGAAACUAAACGCUAAAAUGAUUAUAUUAUGAAUAUGAAAUCUCCAUUAAUUCUGAAACUGUAUUACCAAUGAAGAAGUAUUGAUUUCUAAUUGUAAAAAUGUGACGACAACAGGUUUACUUUUACAAGUAAGAAUUUUUUGAGCAUCCUUCAUAUUUUUACAAUUAAAAGCCAACUCCAUAGCCAAUUUGCUUUGACAAUGAACUGUGUAUCUUCAAGACUUCCAGCUUCAGUACAGAUUAAGUUGAGCAUUGGAUGAACUUGCCAAGGCUUCUCAGACCAUUGCACUUCUUCCACUAUAUUCAGCAUUUCUUGGAAAUAUUCAUGCAAUACUAUUGGUAACAUGGCUCUUUGACAUUAGAAAAGUAGCAAAAUUUGUGGAACUUUGAUAGCCCCAUUGACAAUAAGGAAUGAUGGGUUCCAUUCUUCUUAUUAAUCUCCCUUUUUUCCCCUUGAUUAAGCACUGGUUAUUUGAAAGCAAAACACAUAGUUGGAUUAGAUUGUAAAAUUAGCACCUAAAAACAUAAUUUUCAUUUUAGCACAGGGUGAUUUAGAUGAAACAACUCUAAUUUUUAAAACAAAUGCUGAACACACAUUAACUGAAAGGAACAAACCUGAAGAGGCAAGGAAGCUCAACCAAGACCACUGUGAUCUAUUUGUCUCAACAUUAAACAAUUAAAGAAGAUUAGAUAGAAACUUAGAGAACACUUCCAAAGAUAUAAGCUUUCUUCAAUUCAUCAAACGAUUACAUAAAUUUCUUAAAUUGCAAUCAAACAUAACAAACCUUAUACUUGACUAAAAGUAAACCAGCUUCCUCAUCAUUUAGGCUUCUCUACCAAGCAAUGUUUCAAAUGUUACAAGGCUCAGCAUGGAACCCAUGGAUAGGUUUUAGGAGGCCUCUCUGAUACAGAAACAAUAUGAAGUGCAUUAACAGAUCAACAACUCCUAUUGGUAGGAAAUUCAAACAUCCUUAGUUUAAGAAAAUUACAUUUUAAUAGAUCAAAUUCAGUAUAGAAUAUCUUUACCUUGUUCUUAGCUUGGCGCCUUUGACUUGUCAGCCAUGUUACAAUACGAUUCAAUUGCUUUAACUCACCUUCUGGGGUUCGAUACCUCAAAAACUUUUAACGCCAAUGACAAGAUAACAAAUAAUUUAACAAGUAAAUGAAAUUGAAAUGCAUACCUUAAAACUCCUUUUUGGUACAAAAGUAAAAACACAUUUUACAGAAAAGAAAGCAAGGAAAAAUCCAAAUAUAGAAGUACAACAAUGUUGAAAUCCCAAGAAAAGAUAAAAGAACAUGAAAAUUAACUAACACAAGCAACUAAGUAGACAAAUAAUCAGUCUAACACAGAAAUAACUUAAUCCCCCAAUGCUAUCAUAGAGUGAAAUUGUUGGAAGGGUCUGCUUCUGCUACUACUUCUGCUGUUGAGAGACUUGCAAAGAGAUCCUAGUACAUAAGGGCAAAUGAGUGAGCAAAGAGUUUACGUAUUAUAUAUGGAACAUGAUUCAUCGAGGAUGAAUCUUAUAUAUAUAUAUAUAUGGUUAAAAUACAAAAAUAAAAUUAAAUAUGGAGUUAAACACGUUACCAAGAGUAAGUUAAUAACCACAAGCAUACUCAUCGUUCGAUGAUGUUUAGAAACCUUUGUUUGAUCUUUUUUAGCUCAACCACAACAUCCUUCAUAUCUUUUCUUUCUUCUGGCAACUCAGCUGAACAAUCCAAAGCUAACUCCAUGAUAGAAGAAAUACAAUUUGCUUUAAUAACAAAAUUCUCAUCCUCUCUUCUUAAUAAAUCAGCAUCCACAAUGUCUAUCAUUCCUUCAGAUAAUAAUCUUUUCACCCAAUGCCUUAUGGUCAUUUCAUCACCAAAAAUUUCAUCUGUUGGCUUUUUCCUAGUGAAAGUUUCUAUGAGGACAAUUCCAUAACUAUAGAUGUCACAUUUUAUAGAAACAAUUCCCGUUGAUCCAAAUUCUGCAUUUCAAGCAUAAGUAAUCCUGAAUUAUUUCUAAUAUGUUUACCACUAUAUAUAGACAUACACGAAAAAUAAUCAUUAAUUAAAAAACUCAAAAAUUCACCUGGUGCCAUAUAACUAAUAGUUGCAAGAGUCAUGGUUUGCUUCACUACAUCACCUUCUCCCAACAAUUUCGCAAUGCCAAAAUCUCCCACAUGAGCAACCAUGUCUUCAUCUAGUAGAAUAUUGCUUGGUUUUAGGUCACAAUGAAUUAUAGGUGUUGGAUGUCCAGUGUGGAGAUAUUCUAGAGCAGCCGCAACAUCUACCAUUAUGUUGAUCCUUUGUAUGAUAUCAAGGAAACAACUGUUUGAAUGUAACCAUUUCUCAAGAUUUCCAUUAGACAUGAAAUCAAGCACCAAGGCUUUGAAGUCAACAUUGGAGCAGCAAGUAAUGACCUUGACAAGAUUACGAUGAACUAUGUUACGCAUAGCUUCACAUUCAAUGUCAAAACUCCUAAAUGCUCCUUCUAUUUGCAAAUUGAAAACUUUUGUUGCAACUUCCAUUCCAUCCGAAAGCCUCCCUUUAUAUACAUAUCCAAAACUUCCUGAACCAAGCAUAUUGUGCUCCUCAAAUCCACUAGUUGCCCGUGAAAGUUCGUCAUGUGAAAUUCUUCUUCAUGUUCCCAAACGUAGUGAAUCAUCCGUAAUUGGUAGAGUUGUACUCCUAAUUCGGAAUCUUCUAUACAUAAUAACUAAGACUAGUAGUAACAUGACAAUACAAAUUAUUGGUAAACCGAACCUUAAAUCAUGCAAUACACCCAUCUUGGAAUUUUUGCGGAUGUCAUUUUUGCAAGGUGGGACUAGCAAUCUUGGUGGACCACAAAGUGCAUAAUUCUUCAUGAAUGAUGUGCUCGGAAAGUUUGGAAAACAUCCUUUGGUAGGAAUUUCCCCUUCAAGUCUAUUGAAAGACACGUUAAAAUACUUUAGAUAUAAAAGCUUUUCCAAAGAUUUGGGAAUAACUCCAGAGAGAUCGUUAUUGCAUAAAUUUAAAAAUGUCAAACUAACCAAACCACCAAAUGAUUCGGGGAUAUGACCAUGUAGUAUAUUAUUUGAUAAAUCUAAUAAAACCAAAGUUUCAAGACCUCCAAAUGUGGACAAGAUAUCUCCUGUGAAAAGAUUCCUUGAUAAAUUUAGUUUCAGCAGACUCCUCAAAUCUCCAACAUCAAGAGCAUGUGAAUCGUUAAGGCAGAUUGAUGAUAAAUCUACUUCUAAUAUAUGUUUAAGUUUCCACAAAGUUGAGGGUAUUGCCGAACUCAAUUUGUUGGAAUUUAAAUAAAGAUAUCUCAAAGAAGUAAUAUUACCCAAACAAGAGGGUAUGGAUCCAUCCAGCUUAUUCAACCCUAAAAACAUCUCGUAUAGUCUCUCCAAACCACGAGGCUUUUUAAGAUAGGUCCUCCUAAUUUAUUUGAGGAAAGAUCUAGAAUUUUUCAUUCCUCCAAUUGAUGUCGGAAUAAAACCACUUAAUUUAUUAUGGUCAAGUUGUAAAAGUAAUAGGUUGCUUAAGUUACCUAUUUCUAUUGGAAUAUUGCCUUUAAGCUCACAAUCAAUAGCGUAAAAGUAUAUAAGGGAUGCUGAAAGGUUCCCAAUAUUAGUAGGAAGAGUGCCAUUCAAAGGAUUUUCUGAAAUAUCUACUCUUGUCAAAUUCUUGCAAUUUGUCAAAGAAGAAAGAAAGGUCCACUCAUGAUUUAUAGUAGAUCCCAUGGUCAAAUAGUUGUUUGCUAUUCGGAACCAUUCAAGGUGUCGUAAGUUACCAAACGUUUCAGGAAUUGGGCCGGAGAAGAAGUUAUCUCCCAAGUCUAGAAGCUUAAGCAUGGAAGCAUUCAAGAUAGAGUUGGGAAUGUUUCCGCGAAGUUUAUUUCGAUGCAACGAAAGAACAUUCAGCUUUGGAGCCUCGAUCAUGGGUGGCAAGGUACCUGUAAAAGUUUCAUCUUUUAGUGUGUGUAUAUAUAUAUAUAUAUAUAUAUAUAUAUUCAUUCAAUACCAAAUUCUCGAUAUAUAUAAUAAACAAAUACAGUUUUAAAAGGAAAAUUGUAAAACUUCAAAUCAAAUAAAAAUAAAAAUUUCACAUGGAAAAAUGCAAUUAAAUCAAUAUUAAAAAUGACACAUAAUAAGAAGUUCUGAAUAGUAAUUAGUCACUUAUGAUUUGUAUUAAAUAAUAAAAAUAAAUAUAACCAUUUUUAAUAAAGUGUGCAUAAAAAAUUAAAAUAAAAUUUUGAUUAAUUGAUAAAUUUAAGGUUUUACAUAUUGAUGUGAGUUCAAAUCUCACCAUAAUUUUUUUUGCUUUUUUUAAAUAAAAAGUAUUAAAUACCUUUAAAUAAUAAAAUUUAUUUUAAAUACAAAAGAAUAUUAUUAUAAUUUCUCUAAUCGAGUUUGUGCUUGGUUAACUCUUGACACUUAACCAAGCACCAACUUAAUAAGACACUUAAAUUACAAUAUAGAUAUUCACAAUCACCAAAAAAGUAAAAACUUUAUAGUUUCUAAUAACAAAUUUUAAUGAUUUAUAUAACAAGAAACUUUCUAAUUCACAUAAUUUUUUUUAUAAAUAAUAUAUUUAUAUAAUCUAAUCUAUUAUAUUUAUAUUAAUUAUAUAUCAUCAGUAAAUUUUUAUGAUCAAUUUACUGAUUAUUAAGAAGAGUAAAAAAUUAAAUUAAAAUAAUGAAUAAUUUAAUUUACAAUAAACUAUUUUUUACAUUUUGUACAUAUGCUUUAUGAUGAUAAUUAAAAAAAUGUAUUAACACUAUUUCUGAAUUAACAAAAAUAAUUAAUAUAUUUUAAUUAUAUUUAUUAUUUAUUAUUUUGAAUAAUAUUGCUUUUUUUAAUUACAUGAAAUAAAAAUAUAUUAAUUAUAUAUUAAAUAUGAUACAUAUGCUUUAAUUAUGGCUUAAAUUUUAUUAAUAUAUUUGAACUAUUAAAUAAACUAAAAUAUUUUAAUUAUGUUUAGCCAUUUGAAUAAAAAACUAAUUAAAAAAUUUAUUUAAAAAAUUAAAUGUGUAAAAUCAAGUGGAAUAUCAUAAUCUAUAUAUAUAUAAAUUUAUAAUGUGAGAAAUGAUUAUAUGAAACUGAGAUAUCAUGCCAUUUGUAUUUCUAGUAAUUUAAUGUCAUUUUAUUAUUUUCAUUUUAAAUUUCAGCAUAUCGUGUUGGAUUGAAUUUUUUUUUCAGGAGAAAAAUGUUGAAAUGACAUUAAAUUAUUGAAAAUGAAUACAAAUGACAUGGUAUCUCAAUUUCAUAUAAUCUCUUUUCAUUUCAUGUAUAUGUAAUACGUGGUUGUUUCAAUUUUUAAAAUAAAAUAUAUUUUCCACAUUGGUUUCUUUUCUUCCAAAGAUUAAGUAUUUCUAAUAUUUUUAUAUUUGUUACUUAUAUAAAAUAGAUUAGUUUAUGCAAUAAAAAAUUAAUUACUUUUUUAAAGCUUAAUGGAAAUUAAAAGUUUUAAAAUAAAUCAAUUCAAUUAAAUUUUAUUGUUUAUUAUCAAAUUAAUAAAUUUUAAUGAAGUAUAUGAUCAAAAAAGAAGAAACAAAUGAAAGUGAAAAACCUACCUUCCAAAUUGUUGUCAUAUAGAUAUAUUCCUUCGAGCAUAGUUGAAUUAAAAAUGCUUUUCGGAAUCAGCCCACUGAAUUUAAUUUCUAAUAAACUUAGCAUCUGAAGCUUGUAACAUUCACCUAUACUUGAUGGAAUAUUACCAGAUAAUUCAUUUGCAUCCAAGUAAAGCCCUUCAAGCUUGGGACAAAGGUGACACAAAGCAUUAGGCAAACUACCUGCACAAAUAGUUGAAACAUCAGGGUGUUAAACUACAUAUUUUGUUAGCAUAAGUCAAAAGAGGUUUUCUUUUCUAUUCUAGAGUAAUUUGGAGAUGUUAGAUUUUAAUAUAAUUAAGUGUAGAUUUUCUCAUCAAGUUAACUAUUUUACCUUGAAUGAAAUAAAAUGUUCUUACUUUUGUUAUCCAUUACAAAUCAAACUCUUUUAUUAAAAAAAACUUUAAAUUAAAGAAAUCAAGGAAAUUCAGUACCUUCUAAGUUAUUCAACCCCAAAUCUAAUUCUUCAAGUCUAGUCAGAUUUCCAAUACUUUUUGGAAUGAUCCCCGUAAAUUGAUUGAAGUACAAUGAGAAAUAUUUAAGGUUGUUGCAUUUGCCUAAACUUGAUGGAAUGCUACCGGAUAAUCUAUUCAAACUCAAAUGAAGCACUUCAAGCUUGGGAAGAUGUCGACACAUAUCAUUAGGCAAACUACCUGAUAGGCUAUUUCUGAAGAGACUAAUAAACUUCAGAGAAGAAAUCUUGAAGAUGGAAGAUGGAGCCUAGCCAGAUAAUUGAUUCAAUCCCAUAUUCAAGAUCUCUAGAUUGGACAUGUUAACAAGUGUUUGAGGGAUUGUGCCUGAAAUGUUAUUAUUUUCCAUUUGCAACCUUCGAACUCUGUGUAAGUUCCCAAGCCAUGAUGGAAUUUCCCCAUUAAGACGGUUGUAGCUUAAUCGAAUGAUCCUCAAACGAUGCAAUUGGCCCAAUUCUUUAGGCAGAUGGCCAUAGAAAUUGUUGCUACUCAAGUCGAGAGAAAGUAGAAAUGAAAGAUUUCCAAGGUGUGGAGAGAUAGUACCGCUAAGAUUCAUGCUUGCAAGAUUCAAAGCUAUUACUCUUUUAUGGAGGAUGCCACAUGAAACACCAAUCCAAUUACAAACAGAGGUAGAGGCCGUCCAACUGUUUGCCAAGACAUUUUGAGGACCAGCAAUGCGAUCCUUAAACUCGAGAAGCGCAAACUGAUCGGAGUUUAGAUUCCUGGCUGUCAUAGCCAAGCAAAGUACGGAACAUGGUAUGAAAAAAGCUAAAACAAGAUGAAAGCAAGUGUUGUAGUUCAUGAUUGCAAGACGGAAUAAGGCAAGAAAAUAAAAAGUAGGAAAAGGGAAGUUGAAUUGAUAAAAUAGCCCAGAGAGCAUGCUUUAAUAUGUUUCAACCCUCCCACACUUCUCCUACAUUAAAUUCAGUGGUGUUACAACAUUAAUCCAGAUUUUACAUUUUAUCGUGGAACUUUAUAAAUUUUUAUGAUGAAAAAUGUAUUUCAUAAAUUUAAGACUACGCUAAAAAUUAGAAAGGAAAGCAAAUUUUUGCAGAAAUUUCAAAAUAAAUUUUCAAAAAUACGUACUAAGAAGCAAAUUUUCAAAAUUUCUCCUAAAUUUUCUUCACAAUAGUCCACAUAAUCCAUAAAAAAAUUAAGAAAUAUAAUAUUUUUAAUUACUAUAUAUUCUUUUAUUUUUUUCACAAUAACAAAUUGGUUAAAAUAUGCUAUUAAUCCCAAUACUUUUUCAAUUUAAAAAUUCUAGUCCAAUCUAGGCCUGUUUUUGACAUUUUUGGAGCCCUAGCCGAAACUAUAAAUCAGAUCUUUUAAAAAAAUAUAAAAUGUAAUACAAUAAAAUAAAUCAAAUACUUGUAAUUUCAUUAAAAUAAUACGUUUUAUGACAUUAAGCAAAUAAUAUAUUUUUCUAACAAAAUUUUAAAUUUUUUUUCAUUCAACCUACUCCUAUGUCAUCAAUUACAAAACACAAAAAAUUAUAAAAAAAUAUGUUCUACGAGAAUUCUGAGAUGCAAAAUCAUUAAUGAUAACAUCAACAUCAAUAUUUUCCGAAAAAUCCUUCUUGGUUGAUAAUAUUGUCAGACCAUUCAACAGUUCUUGCGACAUUGACAACUUCAAGAUUCAUUUCUCUAAUAGGCUCCUUUUCGACUAAAAUGUCUCUAGUUUUGUUAUCAAGAUUAGCCCAAUUUCUAGGAUGACAAAUAUCCAAAGAAGGAAUCGUUUGUUCUUCAUCAAUGUCAAUGUCAUGAGGAAUUGCUUGUUCUUAAUUAAGAUCAAGAUUUUCAAGAUUUGAUAUAUUUGGCACAUUAUUAUGCUCAUUUGGAUCAUUAAUUUCAUCAUUCUUGUUGACAUCAUUGUGCAAACUCUCAUUUGAUUGAUCCAAAUUUACUAAAAACUACAUUUUUAAAAACGAAUUUAUCAAUAGGACCUUUCUGUGAUAUUUUUUUUAACUCUUCAGCAUGUUUUCUCUUUUUCUUUUUUUUCACUUUUAGAUAAAUGCUUUUUAGGCAACACUAUAUAUAAAAGAUAAAUCAAUUACUUAAGUAACACAAGAAAAUAAACAAUAGCACCUGAUAAAAGAUUCUAAGUUGAAUAUUUGCUUUCACAUUUGGUAAUUCCAAAACUCAAAUCGAGCGACUGUAAUUCUUUAAAGGCUUAAGGGUGCAAAAAGCCCUCAAACUUUUUCAAAAAGAGUAAUUAAGCACUUGCUUUUUUUUUUUUUACACUCAUUUGGUUACUUGAACUUUCAAAAAUACAUAAAAAAAAACCCUUAAACUGUAACACACCAAAAUUUAUAAUUUUGUUAUUGUGAAAAUUUGCCACACAAAUAUCUGUUAGCUAUAGUGGUUACUUGUUUUGGGAGUGUUUGGGAGGUCCCAAGUUCAAGCAUUUGCUUGGGAAAAUUUUGGUAUUUUGAAUGAAUUAGGCCUUACUCUUGUUCAAUGGGCUUUUAUUUGAUUGUUGGGUAAAUUACAUUAGAAUGGGUCUAUUGGUUUGGUGGUUAAAUGGUGUGUUAUUAUGGUGGAGGUAUUGUGUUCAAAUCCCUAUGCAGGCAAGGGUAUUAUUAUUAUUUGCUCAGAUUUCGGGAUAGAGUUGCGUAAUAGGUGGAUUUUGAGUAGUGGAUAUGUAGUGAGAAUUAGGGGAGAAGAUUAAGGGAUUUUAGGGGUUAUCGAGAUUUUAAUUUAUUUUUUCCAUAACCGAAUUUUGACUCUUUUUUCCAAAAAAAUUUUGCCGUCUAUUUUUCUUCCUCUCCUCUUGCCAAAAAUCUCUGAAUUUUUCCAUCUUUCUCUUCUUUUUCUUAUUCUUGAUUUUUCCCUAAUGCAUUUAUUUUCCUUCGUUUUCGCACGCGGUUAGUGCUACCUUAGUUCUGGUAAGUAUUUCUCUUCGUUUCUGUCAUGAAUCUCCUAUCGACUGAAGUGGUAAUGUUUUUUCUCUAUGAUUUGGGCGUAGGGGGCUCUACUGGUGAAUUCAGUGUUUUUGUCUUAACAAUAGUUAAACAGAGGGUUAUUGUUGGUAGUAAGUUGGGUUUCUGGUCGUUCUUGGUUGUCAAUUUGCUUGUAAAUCCGUUAAAUUGAUAUUGAGUAUCUUGAUUAUAGGAUUUGGAGUGCUCGAGGACUAUUUUAGAAUCAAACAAAACCAGGUGUGUACCAAAAAUGCAAAAAAAAGGAUUCGACAAAAAGUCAAAAUUGUUUGCUGUUUGGACAGCAACAGUAGGCUAAAUUUAUAAAAUUGUCAUAAAUUGUGGAAAUAGAAUUAGAGGAUGAACAAAAUAUGGAAUUCAAGCUUAUUUAGUAUAGUUUCUCAUAAAAGAAACAGUGUAAGUAAUGAAACUAUAAAUCAUGAGUUAUAAUAAACUUUGUGAGACAAGAUCAAAAUGAAUUCGGGUUCCCCUAUUUUGACUUUGGAAAAUCAUUAAAAAUUGGAGAAAAAUAAUUAGGGCUUAAAAUUUACAUGUUUAAAUUAUUAAUGAGUCUAUUUUCAAUAGAAAAAGAUGGAAACUUCAUCCAAAUUUUUUACAAAAAGAUAAUUAAUUUUUAGCAAAGAAUGGUCAAAGCUAGCAAACAAAAAAUAGUGGUAAGUUUGAAGAUUUUACUAUACGUAUUGGCUGAAGCAAAAAUUCUUAAAAUUUUAUGGUGGAAAGGUAUCUAAGUCUAGUUUCAAAAACAUUAAGAAAAUUUUAAUUUAAAAUUCUGUAGCUCAAGAUAUAAAUAAUUUAGUAACAGUGACUCAAGUAGACAGCUUUGAAGGAACACACAAUUAAAUAGUGAAAACAUAUAUGAAUAUUUAACUAGCACGGGUUACAUUAAAAAUGGAUCACGUGACCAAGGCCAAUUUGUGCUGAGUGGGCCACAUGGAUAUGUGAACCCAUUUUUUUGAAAAGUUUUGUAAGGUUGUACGGGUCGCCCAAGUCGACUGUGGACCUACUAUAGGGUCGGUAAGAUUUACUUAGAUCCCUAUAUAUGUGAUCUAUCUGUUUGAUUUCUAUACCGAGCAUGACUUAUGAUAUCUGAAUGUAUGUACUAUUAAUUGCAUAAUGGCAUGACAUAUUUUGUAUGUUGCAUUGCAUCGGGGUGGGUUGAUGAUAUUUGGACGAAGUGUCUAAAAGGCUAUUAAGCAUGUUAUCUGGUAGCUCAGCUGCAACAUUCUAAUUAUGUGCCGCAUUUUAGUACAACAUUGUGUGUAGGGAUGGAUGGAUUGAUUUAAUCCCCAUAUGAUGUGUAGGGUUGGACGGAGAUGGUGUGUAGAGGCUGGUGGGUGACGGAGAUGGUGUGUAGAGGCUAGUAGGUAGGAUUCUAAGUUACUGUAUCUGAUAUGGGCUAAGGCCGUAAUGUAUUUCUUAGACUGUAUCUGAACGGGCUAAAGCCCAAACUAAUUCUUUGACGGGCCUAGGCCCCAGACUGUAUCUAACUGAACUCUGUUGAUUAUUUGUAUGUAUGUUUUUCGUGGAGAUUACACACAGAGUUUGCAAAAACUCACCCUUUCUUUGUUUAAUCUAUACAGGUAAUCCCCAGACUUUACGGGUUAGUGUAGCGGAGGACUCGACGGUGCCACACGUAAGUUUCUGACUGUUUUUCGCUAAUUCCUAGAAUUUAUUACUUAUUUGGGGUUUUGAUGUAUCUUCUGGAUUAUGAAUUGGUUGGCUUUAAAUUUGAGACUUUAUGCUAUUUUUACUUUUUUUAAACUGCAACUCCACAAAACACGAUUUUUUUCUAAAAAUUAAUGAUUUUCGUAAAUAGAAGUGAUUUUUCGUAAAUUAAUUGGUUACAAAAGUUUCCGCUAAGAGACAAGUUUUAAAGCAAAUCAACUAGUUUUUUUUCGAAUUAAAUAAAAGCUAACUUACUAUAACGGUUUUUAAACUCAACAAUCUUCUCUUCAAAUUUACUGUAACAGUUUUUAAACUCAACAAUCUUCUCUUCAAAUCCCUUUCUAUGUGACAUUGCCAGAUUCGACCAUAACGUCUAGAUUGGGUUUGUGAUGUUAGAUUUAGUGGUAUGAGAGCCAGAUUAGAAAACUCAGUUGUGGGUUUGGGUUUUAAAACUUUGUUUUAAAGAAAUGAUUUUUAAAUGGUUUGAAAUAUUUUUAACUUACUAUGUGAUACACUGAGUCUCCAGUGCCGAUUCUGUAAGUGUUCUAAAAACUGUGAUAAGUUUUUGAAAAUAUGAGUAGUAUAUUCUAAAACUACUAUAAGUAGUACAUUGUACUGAGAACACUAUAGAUAGUGUAUACUGAAAAGAGUAACGAAACUGAAAACUGUAGUAAGACUGCGAUUUGUGAUAACAAACUCUAAACUUCUGAUACUAUUUUGCAUAAAAUAUAUACUAAUAGAUAUAGAAACUAUAACUAAUUCAUAAAACUGUUAGUGUUACAAAUUCUACGAUGAGCGCACGAGGUAUCCGCGGACGGGGUACUAGAGGCCGAGGUAGAGGUCGUAGAAGGGUUCGAGCUGAGUCUUCAUUGUUAGACAGCAUGCUGAAUAUGGAUACAAGUGAGAUGCCAGUUUUACCUGCUACAUAGACUGGGUCUCAUAAUCAUAUGGCUGGGGACGUCGCCUUGUCCCAGGCUAUGCUGAGGAUACUAGAGAGGGUCAGUGGGCCUAACACUGGAUCUAGAGGUCGACGGUCAGUUACGGACUUUGGUCUAAUGUGGAUGAACUAUUCAGUGGUUUCAUCGGAGUCACCCCUAACGUGGCCGAGUAUUAGAUGGAGGCCACAAAAAGAAUCAUGGAUGACCUGGACUUUACCCCUGAACAGAAAUUGAAAGAGGCUGUUUCUUUACUUUGUGAUAAAGCAUACCAAUGGCGGCUGACCGUUAAGGAGGGCACUUAGCCCGAACGACUAACUUAGGAUUUUUAUAAGUCUAAUUUUCAAAGUAAAUAUGAGGUCGAGUUUUUGAGAUUGAACCGCUAUGUGUGAGGCAUGGUGGUGAUUGAAUAUGAGCAUUGUGUCCACUUCGAGGAUGGACUUAGGGAUAGUUUGAGAGCUCUGAUAGCUCUGCAAAGGGAGUGUGACUUUUAACACUAGUAGAUAAGGCUUAGACCACAGAGGAGGUGAAGCGUGCUGAGUGUCAAAACUGGGAUAAGAAGAGAGGGAAGAAUAAGAGGAAUUCAGAGCCCUCAAAUUCUAUGAUGAGGCCUAAAAAAUGUCAGAUUUGGUGGGCCAGUUAGAGUUGGGGCACUUUUGCACCUAUUAGGAUCACGCAUUGUGGGCAUUCUGGAAGACAUCAUCCGAGCAAAUGUUGGAGGACGACUGGAGCUUAUUUAAGAUGUGGGUCUACUGAGUACUGUGUUCAAGAAGUCUGCUGAGGGCCAAUCAGGUGCAAGCUCUGGGCUCUAGUACUACACAACCACUAAGGGUAGUUCAGUAGCCACUUAGGGGCCGUGGUCAAGCUAGAGGUGGUAAUGGUAUGGGUUGUGGGUAGAGAGCAUUGGGCAGAGGUGCUGGACAGGCUAGGGAGAGACAGUCGACCCUGCUACUCAUCAUCGAGAGGAUAGAGAUGCUUCAAACAUCAUCACGGGUACGUUUCUUAUUUUUGGUGUGCUUUACACUGCAUUGAUAGAUAUAGGAUCUACACAUUCCUAUGUUGUUUGUUCUGUUUCCAAAAACCUAGGGAUUUCAGUUGAGAGUACUUCUAGUUAGGUGACUAUGUUGAACCUGCUGGGUUAAUCUGUUAGAGUUAGCAAAUAGUAUAGGGAUGUUCAUUAAGAGGUUCAAUAGAUGAAAUUUCUGGAUGAUUUGAUAGAGCUUUCAUUUGGGGAGUUCGAUAUGAUAUUGGGGAUGGACUGGUUAGUCAAGCACCAUGUCAUUUUAGAUUGUACGACUGAGAGGGUCGUAUUGAGAACUGAAGGGGGUAAUGAAGUAGUUGUGAUUGGAAAAUAUCGAAAUUACUUGGCUAAUGUGAUCUCUACAUUGGUAGUUGAGAAACUGGUUUGCAAGGGAUGUGAGAUGUAUUUGGCCUACAUAAGUGUUUUUACUUCUAAGGACUCUACUGUUAAGGACAUCAGAACUGUAAGGGAUUUUCUGGAAGUCUUUCCUGAGGAGCUACCAGGUUUACCUUUGAAUCGAGAAGUGGAGUUUGGGAUUGAGCUUUUCCUUGGUGCAACUUCAGUGUCUAUCGCUCCUUAUCGAAUGGCACCAAAGGAGCUUAUAGAGCUCAAGGCUCAAAUUCGGGAGUUAUUGGAUCGUGGGUUCAUCCACCCUACUAUGUCUCCAUGGGGGCACUGGUACUAUUUAUUAAGAAAAAGAAUAGAUCCAUGAGGAUAUGUUUAGACUACUGAUAACUAAAUAAGUUGACUAUUAAGAACAAGCAUCCACUUUUGUUGACUGAUGAUUUGUUUGACCAGUUUCGAGGGGCAUCUGUGUUCUCCAAAAUUAACUUACAUUCUGGGUAUCAUCAGUUGAGGGUUAAGGAGACUGAUGUACAUAAGACGAUAUUUAGGACUCGUUAUGGUCACUAUGAAUACCUAGAUCAGUUUGCAGUGGUGUUCAUCGAUGACAUAUUGUUUAUUCGAGGACUGAGGAUGAGUAUGAUGAGUACCUUAGGAUUAUUCUUUAGAUUUUAAGGGAAAAAUAGCUCGAUGCCAAGUUCAGCAAGUGCGAGUUUUGGUUACGUGAAGUAACAUUUUAGGGUCAUGUGGUGUCUGCUAAGGGGAUUCAAGUCGAUCCUCAAAAAAUUAAGGUUGUAUUGGAUUGGAAGCAAGCUAAGAAUGUGUUUGAGAUCCACGCUUUUUGGGGCUAGUAGGUUAUUGCCAACGGUUUGCGGAAGGAUUUCACUGAUCGCAACACCCUUGACUAAGCUAUUACGUAAAGGUGUACCUUUUGACUAGACUAAUACGUAGCAAAAGAGCUUUGAGAAGCUUAAAACUGUACUGACUGAGGCUCUUAUUUUGGUACAGCCUGAACCUGGAAAGGAGUUCACGGCUUAUAGUGAUGCAUCACAUGUCAGUUUGGGAUGUGUGUUGAUGCAGGAUGGUAAGUUGGUUGUAUAUAUGUCUCAUCAGCUUAAGGCUCACGAGAUGAACUAUUCGAUGCACGAUUUAGAGUUGGCCACUGUAGUCUUUGUAUAAGAAUCUGGAGGCAUUAUCUGUACAAUGAGAAGUGUAUUAUCUACACCGAUCAUAAAAGCCUCAAGUAUCUCUUCACUCAGAAGGAGUUAAAUCUUAGGCAGCGUAGAUGAGUUGAGCUGCUUAAGGAAUAUGAUUGUACCAUUGAGUACAAUCCCGGUAAGGCCGAUGUGGUGGCUGAUGCAUUGAGCAGUAGGGCUAUGACAGAUGUAAGAGCCUUGUUAGCUCGACUUAGCCUACUCGACGAUAGAAGUCUAUUGGUAGAACUUUAGGUUAAACAGACAUGGAUUGAACAGAUUCGAGGUAAACAGUUAGGGGACAAGUCUCUCAGGUUGCAUUUCCAUCCUGUUGAGAAUUGUGAUACUACUGAUUUUGAGAUAAACAGUGAUGGGGUACUUCGUUUCUGCGGUCAGAUUUGUGUACCAAAUGAUAAGGAUUUAAGGCAGUCGAUUCUGAAGGAGGCGUAUGGUAGUCCCUAUACUAUGCAUCCUGGCAGGAACAAGAUGUAUCAAGAUCUUUAGAAAUUAUACUAGUAGCUAGGGUUGAAGUGUGAUAUUACUAACUUCAUCGCUCGCUGUUUGACUUGUUAGCAGGUUAAGUCUGACCAUCUGUUACCUUCGGGUUUGCUACAGCCAGUUAAGAUACUGUUAUGGAAAUGGGAGCGAGUAACGAUGGACUUUGUUAGUGGGUUACCUCUAACACCCACUAAAAAGGAUUCUAUGUAGGUCAUCAUAGAUCGAUUGAUCAAGUCUGCUCACUUCAUCCCAGUAAUGACAGACAUUUCUCUUCAGAAAUUAGUUAAGCUCUAUAUAUCAGAAAUAAUAAGACUACAUGGGGUACCUGUCUCGAUUAUUUUCGAUAGGGAUCCUCGUUUCACGUUUUAAUUUUGAAAGAGGCUUCAUGAGGCUCUGGGUUCAAUAUUAGAUUUCAGUACUGCUUUCCAUCCUCAGACAGAUGGUCAGUCAGAGAGGGUGAUUCAGAUACUGGAGAACAUGUUGAGGAGUUAUGUUAUUGAUAUCUGAGGUAGUUGGGAGGAGUACUUACUGUUAGCAGAGUUUACCUACAAUAAUAGCUUCCAAUCUAGCAUCCAGAUGGUACCUUACAAGGCACUGUAUGGUCGUAAGUGCCGCACUCUUUUAUGUUAGACUGAGUUGGAGCGACGUGUUCUAGGUCCUGAGUUGGUGUCUGAGACAGAGGAUAAUGUUAGAUUGAUUUGGGAUCGUUUGAAAGCGGCUUCUGAUAGGCAAAAAUCUUAUGCGGAUUUGAAGAGGUGUGAGAUCGAGAAUCCUGUGGGGGACUUAGUUUUUCUUAAGGUCCUUCCAUGGAAAAAGGUUCUGAGGUUCAAUUGCUAGGGCAAUCUGAGCCCACAAUUUAUUGGACCUUAUCACAUUUUGAAACAUGUGGGACCUGUCACUUAUCAAUUAGAGUUACCUACGGAGUUAGACUACAUUCAUGAUGUUUUUCACGUUUUGAUGUUAAGGCAUUACCGCUCUGAUCUUGCAUGUUGUUUCUGUUGAGGAGAUUGAGGUUAGGCCAGACUUGACUUUCGAAGAUGAGCCGGUUCAGAUUCUGGAGCGUGAUGUAAAGGUCCUUCAGAAAAAGUCUAUUCCCUUAAUGAAGGUUAUUUGGCAUAAUAAUAGCACUAAGGACGCCACGUAGGAGCCUGAGGAUAUGAUGUGUCAGCAAUAUCUUCAUAUAUUUUGAUCAGGUAAAAUUUCAAGGAUGAAAUUUUCUUUUAGGAGGUAGGGUUAUAACGCCCCAAAAUUUUUAAUUUCAUUAUUGUAAAAAUAUGACACAAAUAUCUGUCAGUUUUAGUGGUUACGUGUUCUGGGAGUGUUUGGGAGGUCCCAAGUUCAAGCUUUCGCUUGGGAAAAUUUUGAAAUUUUGAAUGAAUUAGGCCUUACUCUUGUUCAGUAGGCUUUUAUUUGAUUGUUGGGUAAGUUACAUCAGAAUGGGUCUGCUGGUCUAGUGGUUAAAUGGUAUGUUAUUAUGGUGGAGGUUUUGUGUUCGAAUCACUAUGCAGGCAAGGGUAUUAUAAUUUUUUGAUCAAAUUUCAAGAUAGAUUUGUGUUAUUAUGGAGUGCUCAGGGCUGUUUUAGCAUUAAACAAAACCAAGUGUGUACCUGAAAUGCAAAAAAAAGGAUUCAGCGAAAAGUAGAAAUUGGUUGCUGUUUGGACAACAACAAUAGGCUAAAUUUGAAAAAUCUCCAUAAAUUAUGGAAAUCAAAUUAAAGGAUAAAAAAAUAUUGAAUUAAAGCUUAUUGAGUCUAGUUUCUCAUAGAAGAAACAGUGUAAGUAAUGGAAUUGUAAAUCGUGAGUUAUAAUAAACUUUGUGAGACAAGGUCAGAAUGAAUUCGAGUUCUUCUGUUUUGGAUUUGGAAAAUCAUCAAAAAUUGGAGAAAAAUAUAAAAUUUACAUGUUUAAAUUAGUAACGAGUCUAUUUUCAAUAGAAACAAAUGAAAACUUCAUCCAAAUUUUGUACUAAAAGAUAAUUAAUUUUUAGCAAAGAAUGGUCAAAGUUGUCAAAUAGCAAAACAGAGGUAAGUUUGAAGAUUUUACUGUACGUAUUGAUUGAACCAAAAAUUCUAAAAAUUUUAUGAUGGAAAGGUAUCUGAGUCUAGUUUCAAAGACAUCAAGCGGAGUUUAAUUUGGAAUUUUGUAGCUCAAGAUAGAAAUAAGUUAGUAACAGUGUCUCAAGUAGACAGCUUUGAAGGAAUACACAAGUAAAUAGUGAAAACAUAUAUGAAUAUUUAACUAGCAUAGGUUACAUUAAAAAUGGAUCAUGUGGCCAAGGCUAAUUUGGGCCGACUGGGCCAUAUAGAUAUGUGAGCCUAUUUUUUUGAAAAGUUCUAUAGGUUACACGGGUCGCCCAAGUCAACUAUGGACCUACUGUAGGGUCGGUAAGCUUUACUUAGACUCCUAUAUAUGUGACCUAUCUGUUUGAUUUCCAUACCGAGCAUGACUUAUGAUAUCUGAAUGUAUGUACUAUUAAUUGCAUAAUGGCAUGACAUAUUUUGUAUGUUGCAUUGCAUCGAGGUGGGUUGAUGAUAUUUGGAGGAAGUGUUUGAAAGGCUAUUAAGCCUGUUACUUGGCAGCUCAGCUGUAACCUUCUAAUUAUGUGCCGCAGUUCGGUACAGCAUGGUGUGUAGGGAUGGGUGAGUUGAUUUAAUCCCCACAUGAUGUGUAGGGUUGGCCGGAGAUGGUGCGUAGAGGCUGGUGGGUGAUGGAGAUGGUGUGUAGAGGCUGGUUGGUAAGAUUCUAAUUUACUGUAUCUACAUUCUGUAUCUGAUAUGGGCUAAGGCCGUAAUGUAUUUCUGAGACUGUAUCUGAACGGGCUAAGGCCCAAACUAAUUCUGUGACAUGCCCAGGCCCCAGACUGUAUCUAACUGAAUUCUGUUGAUUAUCUAUAUGUAGGUUUUUUGUGGGGAUUACACACUGAGUUUGCGAAAACUCACUCUUUCUCUGUUUAAUCUGUACAUGAACGGGUCGGUACAGCGGAGGAUUCGGCGGUGGCCACACGUAAAUUUCGGACUGUUUUCCGCUAAUGCCUAGAAUUUAUUACUUAUUUGGGGUUUUUUAUGUAUCUUCUAGACUAUGGACUGGUUGGCUUUAAAUUUGAGAUUUAUACUUUUUUAUGGUUUUUUUUAAACUGCAGCUCCAAAAAAAACACGAUUUUUUCCUAAAACUAAGGAUUUUCAUAAAUAGAAAUGAUUUUCCGUAAAUUAAUUGGUUGUAAAAGUUUCUGCUAAGAGACAAGUUUUAAAGCAAAUCAACUAGUUUUUUUCCCGAACUAAAUAAAAGCUAACUUAAUGUAACAGUUUUUAAACUCAACAAUCUUGUCUUCAAUUCCCUUUUCAUGUGACAUCGCCAGAUUCGAUCAUAAUGUCUAGACCAGGUUUGGGGUGUUACACAAACCUUUUCAAAAAAAGCAAUUAAGCCCUGCUUUUUUUUUCUACACUCAAUUGGGUUCUUGAACUUUCAAAAUGCAUCAAAAACAACCUCAAACUUUUUCAGAAAAAGCAAUUAAGCUCUUCGUUUUAUUAAAAAAUAGAAAAAAAUUAUAAAAAAAUAAAAUCAAUAAAAAUUAUACAUAUACAUAUGAUGUGGAAAAAAAAAGAUGAUGUGUGAUCUUUUAAUUGGACAGGACCGUGGAUGAUGUGAUGGAAAAGAUCUAUAAAAUAAUUUUUCCUAAUUUAAGGGUUAGAGAGGGUUACUAUAGUUAAAUUAUAUCAAUUUUUUAAAUAUUUAAAAAGGAUUUAUAAAUAAUAUAAGUAAAAGAUAAAAAAAGAAAGAAACAUAUUCAUAUUUAUCGGCUUUUUCAUUAUAAACUUUUUUUGUUCAUGUAAAAUUAGGACGUGAAUAAUUUUAAACGUUUCAUCAUUGCAAAAAUGAAAUAAUAGAAAAAAAAAAAAAAAGACUAUAUGAAUUUGCAUUUGGUUCUUUCUUUUAAUACUUGUCAUGGGUGUAGAAUUCUCUCACCAGUUUCCAACAACUUGACGUGAUUUCUCAAUCACAAUUAAUGUUUUUGAAUGAGACAAACAUUUGAAUGGGUCUUUAGGGUUAUAAUUAGUCCUUGCUUUACUUCGGGUGGAUUCUUCCAACUAGUCCAAGAAUUAUUGUACAAUCACAAUUAGUCUUUUUGAAUGAGACAAACAGUUCAAAUGUAACAUAAACGGGUCUUUAGGGUUAUACUUUAGUUAUUAAGAGCCUUUCUACAAUUUGUGAUUGAUUUGAGGGACAAGAGGUUGAGAUUGCAUUUAACAUGGACUGACUUUUCUAUAAUUAGUCCUUGCUUUACUUUGGGUGGGUUCUUUUUAAAUGAUUUCUCAAUCACAAACAAACUUUUUAAAUGAGACAAACAUUUCAAUUUUAACAUAACGGGUCUUUAGGGUUAUUCUUUCAGUUAUUGAGAAUAUUUUCCACAAUUUGUCAUUACUAUUUGUGAGUGAUUUCUGGAUCACAUUGCAUUUAAGACGGUUCUUUGGAGCUUUUCGUAUCUUUAACGUAGACUGACUUUUCUAUAAUGAGUCCUUGGUUUGCUUUGCAUGGAUUCUUCCAACUAGUGUGAUCCUUGGCAUUACUUUUCAAACACUGACGAAAUUAAUUUGAAGAUAUCUGUUUUUUUUUUUUUUUCAAUAGAGUGAAUUCACAAGUUCUAUUUUCUUUUAAUUGUUUUUUUAGUAUUUUCAUGGAUUUCAGGAGAUAUUGAAAAUUAUUUUACCAUGAAAUUUUAAGUCAUCGAAAAGUAAGUGUUUUAUUUCAAGGGAUCACAAUUAAACAUUAGAUUUUCCACUUUUAACUUUUUAAUAUUUUUAUAAUUAUAUAAUUGACGAAGUACUAAUUUUGGACAUUGUAGAGGUGUUAUAACAUUCUUUAUGCAUAACCGACUAUUAAACUCACUUUUUUCUCUAGAAUUUAACACAAAAUUCAAAUUUAUCUUUUUAAAAGAAUUUUAAAUCCCUUUACAAAAAAAAAAGAAGUGAUUUUUAAGUGAUGAAUUGUACUUAACAAAAAAAUCAAUGGUGACUCCCUUUUAAAAAAAAACCCUUUUUAAAAGAAUUUUAAAAUCUCUUUACAAAGGAAAAAAAAAAAGCUAUUUUUAAGUGAUGAAUCACACUUAACAAAAAUAUAAAUGGUGACUCCCUUUUAAUAAAACCUUCUGUUUUUUUUGGAAAGACCAAAAUUUCAUUCCCCAGCUAUUUAAUUUGUUCUAUUUUAAUAAUCUAAACUGUUAGCUAACUUUUCCACAAUUCUACAUCUCUAUUUGUGAGUGGGCACAAAAACUUGGACAUUUCUUGAUGAAAUUUAAUUCAAUUGCAUUUAGUAUCACAUGAUUUUCUUUUAUCAUUUUAAUCUAUAAACUGUUUCAAAAACAAUACCACGUCGACAUUAAAUUUGCUACUACAUAUUCAAUUUUUAGACGGGACGUUGAAAUAUUAAUUUCACUAUGAACCAAGGGAGAUAUAAAUGUUUUCAUUGGUUUGAAAGUAAGAUUCUCUCAACAAUUAAUUAUAGAUAAUUCAUAAAUGAAUAAAAUUUUAAUUAAUAUUUUAUAAAUAUAUCAAAUGUGUUAAUUAAUUAUGAUUUUAGGUACUUUUUUGUGUGAAUUAAGUGAAAUAAGCGACAUAAACAAUAAAAAAGAACUAGAUCUUCAAUGGGGAAACUUCAAAAAUUUGAAGACCUUCUCUCCUAUCUUUAACUUGUCUUGUGAUUCUAUCAACUUCUCCAUUAUGUUCCCUAGGGAUAUGUUGAAUGCCCUAAUGUCUUACUCUGGAUAAAUUUUGGUGAAUUCUCUUGAUUAGAGUAGAGUCUAACUCAUUACAGGCCUCAUUUUGAAUUGCUAUGACUAUCUCCAUGUUGUCAGUUUAAAUUAUCAUGCUGCCGUAUUUCCACUCCAAAAGAAGCGUUACUCCAUCUAAGAUGUCCCAGAAUUCAGUUUCUAUAAUAGAGCGAAAGCCCAAGUACCUGUUGUAACCUAGAAUCCAUCCUCCAUUCUGAUCUCGAAAAACACCCACGACUGCAGCAAAACCGGUUCCCUCAUGAACAAAACCAUCAGGUCUUAAGCAAACCCAAUUAAUUGUCCAAGAUCGAAGGUGGUAUUGGGAUAUGCAAAGCCUCCUUAGUUACCUUAUUAUUAGAGAAUCCAUAGUGUUUAGCCUAACUAUAUGAUACUUUGAUGAUAUCAUUUUAACACCAUGGAAUACCCAGAAAUAAAAGUAAAUUAUGAUUUUUCCAUAUCUGCUACACUGUAAGACAAAAGAAACAUUGCCAAUCAAUAUCCCCUAGAUGUAUUUGAUGAUGAUUUUUCAUAUUCGAAGCUAGCCACUCUAUUAGGUCUCGUGAGAAGAAUAGAGGUAUCUUAUCCGCAGGGACAAUGAUCUCCCAAAUAUCUCUAGCUGCAGAACAAUCUCAAGGCAUGUACCACAUCUUCAACCUUGAUAUUACAGUACCAAUACUAUCCAUACUAAUAUGCCUCCUCAUUCUUUCCAUAUUAGUUAGCUGACGUUGCUAGAUGGCAAGCCAAAUGAAGUAUUUAACCUUUUGAGGUCCCUAGAAUUUCCACGAAAGUUGCUAAACACUCUUUUUUUGGGUAACCAUGUAAGUGGGCAAUCCAUCGCCAAAUUAAAAUGAGAUGGGAUAAGCUUACAGAGAGGACAAACGUUAGGAAUCCAAGGAUCUUUCUAGCAUUUAAUACUGCAACCAUCUCCCAUUGACCAAAUUAAGUUUUCUCAAAUCAGUGGCCAAACUUUCGCCAGACUUCUCCAAAGAAAGGAACCACUACUUUGAGCCAAGGUUUCUGGUAAGCCAUUCUGGACUCUAUAUUUAUACUUCAGGACACGACCCAUAUAUCUUCCAAGUCUAAUACGAUUUUAAAGCUAAUUUUCAUCAUGAAAGCCAUGUUAUGAUCUUGUACUUGCCUUAACCUCAAACCACCAGUUAGUUAUCGCUGACUAACUGAAUCCCAACAAACCAACACCUUUUUCUACCUCUAUUAGAAGGUUCCCAUAUAAAUUGUCUUACCAAACACUCAACCUCAUCACAAAUAACUUUGGGAAUCAUCAUAGACUGCAUAAAAAAACUUAAUAUCAUUAGAAGCACUGAUUGAGCAAGUGUAGCCCCUCCAGCCAAAGAAAGUUUCCACGCAUCCAAACUAUCCAACUUGCAACAAAUCUUGUCCUCCAUGAACCUUAGGGUGCCAUUUGUAACUCGCUCAUGGAAGAUUGGUACACCUAAAUAAGUUUCCAAAUUAUUCACUUUAUGAAACCCUAAAAAGUUACUAAUCUCCCAAGCUAAAUCCUCAUCAACCCCUUUAAAGAGAAUCAUGUUGGUCUUUUUCACAUUUAUUCAAUGUCUAGAAAACUAACAAAAACUGUUCAAUACACCCUUGGGAAUGUGGGCUUGUUGAACAUUGGCUUGACCAAAAAUAAUGAGGUCAUCUGGAAAAAAAAGUGAGAAAGAGGUGGACCCAAACGGGUCAAUCUAAUCGGAACCCAAAGUUUUGAGUCAAUGUGGGCCUGAAUGCUAUGACCAAGCCACUCCAUACACAAGACAAAUAAGCACAGAGAUAGAGGUCAACCUUGACAAACCACUUUAGCCGGCUUAAAUUUUGUGUAGGAAUGCCAUUCUAAAGAAUCUGUAAGGUAGAGUUAGUAAUAGCAGACAUAAUUACAUUAAUGAGAGAAUUCGGGAUGCCUACAACCUAUAAAGAAUAAUGAAAAUCAUGAAAUAUUAAUAUAUAAUAAUAUAUUAUAAUGAUAAAAAUAGAUAAUAAAACUAAAUAUUAAUAUAUAGUAAUGAUAUGAAGACUUAAAAUCAUGAAAUAUAAUAAAAUGAUAUAUACAAAAAUAGAUAAAUGAAAGUAUAAACAAUAUAAAAAUAACAGGAAUAUUAAUAAUGGCAAUAAUAAUAAUAACCAAAAGGACUAAAUUAUAAUUUAAAGAAGCUUAAGUCUAAAUUUUAAAAUAAAAAUAGAAAUAGCAAUCUGAAGGGUCAGGAUGAAACGCGCAAAAAGAUAUAGGGACUGAUUGGGAAAUUAAUUCCUGUUUCUCUAAACGACGCCGUUCCAUUGAGGGAUUAAAAUGAAACACGCAAAUUAUAUGAGGGAAAGUAAUCUGUCUCCCCAAAACACUGUGUUUUACGCAGGAUUAAAAUGAAUAAAUUAAAACUAAACAAGGUAAAUUUAAAAGAACAAACCAACAAAAUUGCAACACUGAGAAGAUAUGGGGGCAAUUGUGAAAUAUCCCCUGUGGACCCAAAACACGCGGAUCUGGUAGUGAUCGGGUCGGGUCUCAGGUCAAUGGCCUAUACGACGUCAUUUUGAGGUCAUGAAGCAGGCCUCAAACGACGUCGUUUCACAGAAGUUAUAAAACCCCAAAAGAAAUUUUGAAUAUUUACCUGCCAUUUCAAAAUAGAAAAGUGGUAAAAACCUUGACCAUAUUCUCAAUUCUCUCCCAGAUAAUGUCUCUAAAAGUGGUGGUUUCUUUACUGCCACCGCUGGCCAAGACUCCAACAAAGCUUACGCUCUUGGGCUGUGCAGUGGAGACUUAAAUCCACACGAUUGUUAUGGCCUUGUGAAAUCCGCGGUUCCUGAUCUCAGAGAUAAAUUUCCCGAUCAGAAAGAAGUCAUUUCAUGGUCAGGUGAUCCCGCAUGUACUGUACGAUUUGCAAAUCGCCCCUUUUUUGGAAUCCUGGAGCUAGAGCCUACUACUGCUGGCACUAUCACGCACGACGUCGGCUCCAACUUACGACGAUUUGAUACGAUUUGGGAGAGUUUAACAGACGGUUUGGUGAGAAACGCUUCCAACGGCUCUUCUAGUCGUAAAUAUGCAACUGGCGAAGCAUAUUUUAUAGUAUCUCAAAACAUAGACGCACAAAUGCAGUGAACUCCAGACAUAUCACAGGAGGAAUGUGAUUCCUUCCUAUUGACACCAUUUUCUUGACGAAAAACGGGGUCGACUUGGGUUUUGGAAAAUGAAAACGAAAAUGGGAGUCGCCACCGAUCCUUUUUGAUGAGGUGUGAUCGGAUCACCUCGAAAAGUGGUUGUUUUUAAUAAACGGUUUGAUUUUAUUAAAACAACAAGUUUGGUACAUGAAAUUCAGAAAAACAAGUUCGGGAGUCGGUUACGCACGAGGAAGGAUUAGCACCCUCGAUACGCCCAAAAUUGGUACCUAGUUUAUUUGUUAAUGUCUUAAUGUCGAUCCUUGUAUUAAAACGUUGAAAAAUUUUCAGGAAAAUGGGCAUAUUUCACGUUAUUCGAGAAAGAGAAUCAUAUCCAGUAAGUUAGGGUACAAUGUCUCGAAUUCCCGAUAUGCGAAUGAAAAAUGCUUAUUUAAAAGAUAUUUAACUAUCUUGGAUUUAAAAAAGGGAUCACGACUAGUAAGUUAGGACACGAUCCUUUUUUAAUUCCCGAUAUCGUUUAAAACUUGAGUUUGAAAAGACUCGUGUAAUAAAGUUUAAAAGAAUAUUCAAUUAUUUAAAUCAAAUGAAGAAAUCGCAACCCAAUACCUUAGGGCACAAUUUCUCAAAAUAUUAAACAUUGAAUAUUGCAUUUAUUUCAAAAAAUCCUCGUUUCGAGAAAACAACGUGUCACAUCCAAUGCGUUAGGACACAACAUAUUGAAUUCUCGAUAACGAGCUUUUUAUCAUUUUUAAAAGAGUAAUCUCGAUUAUUUAAGUUCAACGAAGAAAGUCGGAACCCAAUACGUUAGGGCUCAAUUCUCUCGAAGAUCCAAAAUACCGAAUAUUACUUAUUUCUAAAAUUUCUUUUUCGAAAUCUAAAUAAAAAUGGGUGUAAUGGAAUAACGAUGAUAAUGAUGUAAGUAAAAUAAUAAUACGAGCAAUAGCAUCAAAGAUAAUAUAAAUAAAAAAGGACAAAUCAAUAGCAUCAAAAUAAAUAUAUAAGCAAAAUAAUACAAGCAAAGGCUACGAAGUAAAAUAAAUACAGAGACGAACUAAUGUAAUACACAAUCACAAGCAUAUGAGCAAUAAAGUUAAAACAUUCAUUCUAAAUAAUGAAAAUAUAAAUAAUGAAAUAAACAAAGAAAAUGUAUAAAAAUAUAAAAAAAUAAAAGAUAUAUAUAUGUGUAUAGAUAUAAAUUAAUGAAAUACGAAAAAAUAUAUGUAUUUACAUAUAGUUUUAAGUUAUGAAACAAAAUAAAAACAUAUGUGUAUAUAUAAUUUUAAGAUAUAAAAUCUAUUAAGGUAAAUAUAUAAAGCUUUUAAGUUUUAUAAUAAUAAAAAAUAUGCGUAUAUAUUUAGUAUUAAAAAAAAGAAAUAUACAUAUGCAUGGAAAUAGUUUUAAGUUACAAAAUAUAAAAAAAUAUGUAUAUGUACAUGCACGUAUAUAAAGACUAUAAAAGGUAUGCAAAAGUAUAUAUGUAUAUAUAUAUAUAUAAGCUAUUAUGUAAUAAUAAUAUGAUAAGUAACAAUAAUAUAAAUAAUAAUAAUAGAAAUAAUAAUAAUAAUAAUAAAAUUACUGAAAAAAGGGACUAGAUCGAAAUAAAAAAUACUGGGAGAAUUCGAAUUAAAUAAAAAGACUAAAAGGACUAAAUUGUGACACGCGCCGAAAGAGGGGGCCAAAAAGGAAAAAUAAGUCAAAGUCCCAAAACGCAGCACUGAAAUGGACCAAAUGAAACAAAAAUAAAAAAUUGCAGGGCUAAAUUAAAAAUAAGAGAAAAUAACGAAAAAGGAUCAAAUUGUAAUACACUGCAAAAUUAGGGGGACUGCACGCGCAAUUAAUCCAUUAGGAGAAAACACACGGAUCCUCCCCUUCGGGUCGGGUUGACGCGCGGAUCUCCCUCACUAAAACGGCGUCGUUUCAUGUUUAAUAUAAAUACUAAAAAUAAGCUUAAAAAAAGCAGUUUCAUCAUUUUUUAAAAAAGUACAGAGAGAAAACUCUCUUUUUCUCUCUCUCAAACCCCAAUUUCGGCCAUGGUUCGACCAAGGAUUCCGGCCAGCCUCCGCCAUAGCGCCACCGUGUGUGGCUGUUGGAGGUUCAAAAUCAGACCUUUUUGGUCCCUUUUUUAAGCCAAACGUCUCUAGGACGUGAACCCAAGGCCAAAUCCCCGGAAAAAGGAGCCCAAAACCUGAAGAACGAGAAGAACCGUUCAUCUCCUCUUCCUCUGGCGCGGCGCAGGUAAGGUUUUCUUCCCCUUUUUUUUGAUUUUUUUAAAGAAAUAAAGUCGAAAUAAAUACUAAUGAAACAGAAAAAUAAAAGAGAAACAGAGAAAUAAAAGUUGAAAUCACCUUAGUUUUUUUAAACUUUAAAUGAGUGUGUAAAAAAGGAGAGAACCCCCAUUUACAGUGUUCGGCUUUUGCCGAAAGAGAAAGAAGAAAAAAAAUCCAGAAAAAUCCCCCCUUUUUGUUGUUGAAGUUCGGCCCUUUUUAUCUAGCCAAAGAAAAGAAAAAUAAAAGACUAAAAAGCUACUGUCCAUUGCUUUGUUUUCUUUUCUGUUUCUAUUUCCUUUUCGUGUUUGCAGGUGGCUGAACAGUGCAGGCACCGAUGGGACGUGCGGCAGUGGCGGCAGGUCAAGUGGCCGACCCUAGGUUGUGGCGCUAGGCUAGGCUAGGGUUUCAGAAAACUGAAACCCUAGUUUGAAAUUUGGGCCUGAUUUGGAUGUUGGGCCUGGUUGGGCUUCGGGUUUGGGUUCAAUUGUAAAUAGGUUUUGGGUUUGUUUGGGUGUAUUCCGGGUUUUUGGGCCGGUGUUUAGGGGGUUGGGUUAUUUAAUUUUGGUAAUGGGCCCGGGCAAAAAUGGGCUUGUACAGCUGCCCCUCUUUGCUUAUUGUCGUGUAACGAGAACAAAGCAAAGACUAAGAAAGACCAAUUUUUGCCCGGUCCUGCUGAUUCUUGACUUGUUCAACGCCUCUCUUUUCAAGUAGCUAUAUUUCAGUCCACUAUGUCUUGUCACUUCAAUCCACUCCACUCCACUUCAGAAAGACAAGACUUGUAGCUUCAAUCCACUCUGUUGUAACUUUAGGGGGUGAGAUCUGCUGUUGUAGCUUCAAUAUUUUUAAUUGCAAUGUCAGGGAAGUAAGAUCCGCUAUUGUAGCUUCAAUCUGUUCCACUGCAAUGCUAGGAAAGUAAGAUCCGCUGUUGUAGCUUCAAUCUUUUUAAUUGCAAUGUCAGGGAAGUAAGAUCCGCUGUUGUAACUUCAAUCUGUUCCACUGCAACGCUAGGAAAGUAAGAUCCGCUGUUGUAGCUUCAAUCUUUUGAAUUGCAAUGUCAGGGAAGUAAGAUCCGCUGUUAUAGCUUCAAUCUGUUCCACUGCAACGCUAGGAAAGUAAGAUUCGCUGUUGUAGCUUCAAUCUUUUGAAUUACAAUGUCGGGAAAGUGAGAUCCGCUGUUGUAGCUUCAAUCUGUUCCACUGCAACACUAGGAAAGUAAGAUCCGCUGUUGUAGCUUCAAUCUUUUAAACUGCAAUGUCAGGGAAGUAAGAUCCGCUGUUGUAGCUUCAAUCUGUUCCACUGCAACACUAGGAAAGUAAGAUCCGCUAUUGUAGCUUCAAUCUUUUGAACUGCCAUGUCAGGGAAGUAAGAUCCGCUGUUGUAGCUUCAAUCUGUUCCACUGCAAUUCUAGGAAGGUAAGAUUCGCCGUUGUGGCCUCAAUAUUUUAAUUGCAAUGUCGGGGAAGUGAGAUUUGCCGUUGUAGCUUCAAUCUAUUCCGCUGCAUCGCCUGGGAAGUAAGAUUCAUCGUUGUGGCUUCAAUCUUUUAAAUUGCAAACUAUGGUUUCUUCGAUCUGCUUCGCUGUCAGUACAGGAAGGCAAGAUCUGCUAUCUCAUUGGUCUGUUCUCUAGGGAACAUGACCUGUAUAAUCCAUUUGAUGGACCUAUUUAUGCCUAGUGAUUAGGAUGAAAUGAUCAGAAUGAAUCAAAUGCUCCUAACUAGAUGUGUAUGAAUGACAUUUGAUUGAAUGCAAAAUGUCAUGAAAAUGAUUCCUUAAUGCUUAGGUUAUCAUCACGCAAAAGCUUAUUAAGGCUUUAUCACUGACGUGCUACAACGCCUUCUUGUUCGGCUGGCAUAUCCAAAGAAACACUUAAUCUGAUUGCCCCUUACUGUGAACGUUGAAGUUCAAUCCACUGGGACAUAAAAUUUGUACCAUCAAUCUCCCACUGUAACCCAAGGGUAGAAAUAUAUGGCUUUUCUUAAUCUUCUCCUAUCGCAAUUCAAGGAUACAAAAUGUGAAGCUCUUUGGUCCUUUACCUCAUUCCUAGGUGUCAUACCAAAUGCUCAUGCACAAUUGCAAAAUUUUCUUCUCCCAGAAAACCUUUUCUUAUCACUCGGUAAUCCUUGCUUGUUUGUUCAUUGAAGCUUUGUCACCAACACGGCAUCUUGUCAUUUUGUUCAAUGUUUGGACAACAAAAUCUAAAAGGAUAGUCUUUAACUUAGACCCUUCCUUCUUAGAUAUUUCACCCUUUAAACUUGGUGUUUUCUGAACAAUAGUCCUAUUUCAGGUUCCUAUAUUAUUUAGAAACUUCUAGAGUAAUAUGCAAAACUUCCAUUGUGAAAGUAUUAUUAGUCCAUUAAUCAUUAUUCUAAUGCAACAUGCUUGCAAAAGAUCAUAACGAUAGAUAAAAUAGAAUUGAUUUGAGAGCAUAACUCGAAAUGAAUAAAGUAUCAAGGAUAGCAAGAAUAAAAAGAGGAAUUGAUUGGAACAUGUAUCUUGAAAAAGAAUGAAGUAUUCCAAGAACAACAAAUUCAAUAAAUAGUAUGAAGGUUAGGUGCCCCAGAUAUCGCAGCUUGAACUUCUCUUUACAAACUUUCUGAAGACCUUUCUGAGUUUGACAUGUGUUUAGAAGAUCUACAGGACUUUGCCGAUGCCCCAAGACAUCGCCUUACCCUUUCAGGUAUAGCAAGAUCACCACAUGCCCUAAUCUGAUCACUUCAUGCCCCAUUCUGAUCAAUAUUUGAGCCGCCCUUCGGGUUUUCAACUCAAAUCCCCUUUGGCCUAAGGUGCCCUUUGCGGGUUUUCCCCUUAGCCUCUUCAUUUUUAUGAAUUAUAGAGCAUGCUCCACCGCAGUGAAUCAAAUUCGGUGGAGUGGAGGACUUUUUUUCACUACUUUAUGCUCUAUGCUCCAAGUUUUGUAUUCUUCUUCCGAGACCUGCAAUGGGAAAAUAAAAAAAAUAAGAAACAAGUCUGAAUUAACUUUGAAAAUUAGAAAUUUUCAACAAAAUUGAAAUAAAAUAUAAUUAAUCCACAAAAACUAUAAAAUGCAAUGAAAACGAACCUAAAUACUAAAAUUACCACCUAAAAUGCUAUAGAUACUAUAAUAACUCUAAAUAUGAUAGUUAUCAGAAGCGACCUGAAGAAGCCAAUCGUGUAGAUGAUUUCAACUAUUGCAAAUACCAUCCAUCGAUUAGGCAUCCUCUUCAGAAGAUCACCGAGUUUAAAGAAAAAAUCAUACAACUCCAUGAAGAAGAAAAAAAUCAUGUUUGAAAAAGAAGUGGCAUUAUCAAACUUGACUUCAAUGCUUUGGUUUCUCAAUACAAUAUUAUGGACAGAUUCAUCAAAUUUGGCUCUUUCAAUCCUAUUACACUAGCUCUAAGUAGAAGUAAGAUGGUGAAUUUCGAAGGGAUUGGGGGCAAUCAUCUAUUUUUGGAAUAUCAGAAUGGUCAUGAUUGGACUCUAGCCACAUGUCAAAGAAGCCAAUGAAAAGCAUCUCUCCUAGGUAUAAGCUUAUAUUGUCACAUUGCUCCUAAGCACGAACUUCAUCCAAAAUGAUGAUGCUGCUAAGCAUGACCUUAAACUGUUCAUCUAAUGCUCCUAAUAAGGAGCCUAAACUAUUCAACCCAGACGGUCAUGCUUUAAGCACAAUCUUAAACUAUUCAUAAAAACUAAAUGAUGAUCCAAUGAAGCACGAGCUUAAACUAUUCAUACGAAAUAAAUGAUGACCUCCUAAGCAUGAAUUUAAAUUGUUUAGACAUAAUAAAUGAUGAUACUCCUAAGCACGAGCUUAAAUUACAGUCCAAAAAAAUUUAAACUACGUUAUAACUUGAUCUUUUAAAAAAGAAGGUACAUAGAUAGCCUGGUUUCAUUGCCAAGUUCAGUCUAUAUGAAAAUAAUAAAAUUGAGGGUGACCUUUGAAACAAAUUCUUCAAAGUAGGAAGCAAAUAAAAUUUCAAGACUUGUCCCCUUUCUACGCCCAACAAAAUUCAGAAUUCAUCAUUUGUUAUUACUGUAAUAAUAUCUCUUACUAAAUUAAUGAAAGGAUAAAUCAAAAAAUUAAAUCCUUUUAGAACUCUCUUAGAAAGAAACCAUAUUCUUUAAGGAUUACUUUAUCUCUAAUUAAUUAAAUUAAUAAAAAAUGAAUAAUAAUAAUAGAGUUAAAUUUCUACAAGAACUCUUAUAUCAAAGUGAUUGACACUAUAAAAAUGGGUCACCUCUAAGUCAUCCUACACAUUCACAAGUUCAAGAAGUUGAAAAAUUCAUUACAAAAAUAUUUGAAGAAAUUAAAGUAGAAGAAAUUCUGAUGAACAUCAUAUCAAUUGAGAGGAGGAUGACAACAGAAGAGAAGAAUCAAAAGGAGUUUUGUUUGUAAAGAAAUUCAAAACUUGUACAGUCUUCGAAAUUAUAAAUAAAAUUUGACGUAAAAUUUUCAAGUAAAUUUUCAACUUGAAAUUUGUGUGUACAAUAUAUAUGGGAAAGAAUCCAUUUACAUUAUAUAAAACUAGUGUAUGUAUAAUACAGAAAUAUUUAGUACAUUAUCAAUAAAGUUUUUAAACUAUGCACCUGUGAUUAAAACCAAAAUAAUAAUAAUAAUAAUAAUAAUAAUAAUAACCAAUCACUUUAUUUGACUAAUUUUUCCCUACAAGUCUUUAGUAUGGAGAGAAAUCAGUUUAAUCAGUCUUUGGAGCUAUUAACUGACUUUUCCACCAUUGAUUUGAAAAUCAUAACCCAUCAAUUCGCUUUAAAUGAAACGAGAUCCACGAGUGUUUGGUGUUAUAUUUUUAAAAUGUAUUUACAUGAUUGUUUAUUAAUUUUAUUUCUUUAUAUUUAAAUCAAAUGUAAUAAAUUGUUGAAUUUAUAUACUUCUUAUUAUAACAAUAUAUGGACUAUCUUUCUACUUCUCUUUUUAAUUUAAUUUUUUGUAACUCUUCACAAUUUAUUUUGAAAAACAUUGAAAAAACUCAAUUGGAAAAAGUCUUUAAAUUAUUUUUAAAUUGUAACAAAUAUUAUUAUUAUUAAGAUGUUUUUCUUUUUAUAUUUUUUAUAAAAUAUAUUAAAAAACAAUUAGAAUAAUUUUAAGAGAAAAAAACUCAUACACGGUAGAAUUUAAUCUAACGAUAUCAAAGUUUUAAAGCCUCAACUUUAACAUUUCAACCGAAAUUCCAUUAGUAUAUAAAUAUUUUACAAAUAUAGAUUUUAUAUAAAAAUAUUUAUGUAAACUUUUUUUUUAACCCGCAUAACAAGUAUACCAUAUUUAGAGAUAUUCAUAGCUAGGCAGUCCACUUUGGUUCAAGCUUCAGCUUAGGUUUCCGAUCUCAAGUUGGCCCAAUUCAACUUACUUUACUAUUUAAAAAUAUAAAUAUAUGUCUAUAAUUAAAUUUUCUGUGAAUAUUUUCUGAUAGAAUAUUUUCUGUGAAUGAGGUUACGAUUUCAAACAUUUCAGCUCGAUGAUUGAUUAGUUAUUGCACGAUGCCUUUGAAAAAUUGUUAAUAUGCUAUUUUAUAUUGGAUGUAAAAUACUAAACGUUUUGCAACUUUUCAAUAAAACAACUAGAGAUUUUCUUUCAUUAUAUUGUAAUGAUUUUUGUUGUUGUUUUUACGUAUGUUAAUUGAUGGAUUUGAUAAUUUUUUCUAAUUUUGAUACUUCAACUAUUUUUUUACAUUAAUCCUCAAAUUUGAAUUUCAGUCACACAUUUUAAUAUUAAAAAGUGAUAAUGUGGCACUCGCACAUCGUCGCCUAAUUUAUCUCUGAAAACCCUUACCAAAAUCUUCACAUUUCAAACUUGGAAGAUUGUGCCUCGUCAUUUUCCUCCGCAACCUCUCUUUUUCUUUCUUCUUAUUUUAAAAGUUUAUAAUUUGGUAUUAUUUUGUUUUUGUUAAUGCAGUUUUCAAAAAUUAUGGAGAUGAAGCAUUUAUCUUCAGUUGGAGUCAACCCUAAUUAAACUGUACCACCGUUUUCCUUUCAAAUGUAACUCAAGAGUGUGAGUUUUUAAGUGUUUUCUAAUGUUUAGAGUGACGGAUCUCUCUGUUGUUAAGAGCAGUUUUACCACAAUCGACUCCGAUCUUAACCUUCUCUUGUUACAAAGCGUGAUUGUCAAAACAUUAGAAAACAAAGUAGCCUGUGACACGCGGUUAUUAGUUAAUUACUAAAGUCGCUGCUUGAGUUGAAGAAACGUGAAAAUAACCCAAAUUAAAAUACUAGUAUAGUCAAUCCAACGCCUUAUUUUGGAUGAAACGAAGCUCUCAAUUUUAAGAUAAACGGGUCUUUAGGGUUAUUAAUGGAGGGCCUUUUCCACAAUUGCCAUCGUUAUUUGGGGGUGAUUCGGGGAUAAUAACUCCAACAUUUCUGUAUCACAUUUAAUUCAAUUCCACAUUCAAUUUUUAAGUUUUAGAGAGAUGAUUGGGUUACAACAAUGGUUUGAAGUGAAGAUGUUUCAAGUGAAGAUGAAUACUCUACCAAUAUAUAAGUCAUAAUUUAAAAUUCAGGUUAUGUUUCAUUUCAACGAAGUUAAAUGUUAAGAUUGAAGUUAAACCUUUUAGAGGUUGCUCACAAAAGGAUCAAACCUUUAUAAAAGUGCUUAAAUGAAGGCUAAACUUUUUAAAAUAGACAAAUAAGGCCCUAACAUUUUAAAAGGUGUUCAAAUAAAGGCUUCUCAAAUGUUGUAUAUCAGCUUAUGUGUUUUACUCUAAACAUAUCAGCAUUUAUCUAUAUUUUUUCUACAAAUUGGGUUGAAGUGCAUGAAAAAUCUUUAUUUCAGCACUUCUGUAAACGUUAAACUCUUAUUUGACAAUUUUGAAAGGUUUGAUCCUUAUGUGAGCAACCUUUAAAAGAUUAAGCACUAAUUUAACAAGUUGAGAAAUACCUAAAUUUGUUUUCAUGAAUCAAGAAAUUAAAAAAACAAGCAUGUUGAGAAAUAUUUUAGAGAUUCUUAGCCUUGACAAGUUCCCUCCACCAUCUCCCUGCCUCCAGUCCCACCUCUACUCUUAUGCUCCUUCCAGGUUCUUGCUUUUUGUGUGUUGAAAAUUCAAAGGAACAAAAUAUCAACCUACAUCAUAAGGCACGAAGGAAGACCAAAGAGUCUUGAGAUCUGACAACUUUAUUUCAUUUUCAUUUUCUUUGUUAUUUUCUAUGUUUCAUGUCAAAUACAAUGAAAGAAGAAGAUAGAAAAAUGUUGCCUAUUUAUUUCCCAAUCAUCAUGUAAAAAAUAUAUAAUGUCGGUAAUGACAAUAUAUCGCAAAGAAAAAUAGAAAUAGAAAAAUAAAGAACACACAGAUUUUACGUGGAAACCCUUUCGGGAAAAAACCAUGGGCAGAGGAGAAGAAAAUUCACUAUGUCAAAAACUUAAUUACAAGAGGAGUAGACUAUGCCUAUUUAUAGGCUUGUAAACCUUAUUCUAAUAGGAGUGAAACUCCUUAUUCAAAUAAUAUCAAAUAGAUGGAGUUUAAUAAGGUUUAGAAACAUUAUUUUAAAAUAAAAUAAAAGAAGUAUAAUUCUAUAGGGAUUUUACUUUUAUUUUAUUUUACCACAGUAUUUUAUUUCAAUAAGGAUUUGGGUCACUUAAUUCUAACACAUCACGAAAUUACUUGCCAUAGACUUAGAAUUUUCUCACAAAUUUUCAAGUAAUCUGACAUGAUUUCUCAAUCACAAUUAAUUGAAUUCAAGAUCUUUUUGGAUGACACAAACAUUUCAAUUUUAACACAAACUAAUAUUUAGGCUAUACUUCAGUGCUUGACAAGCACUUUCACAUUUGUGGGAUAAUAACUCUAGCAUUUUAGGAUCACAAUUAAUUCAAUUGCAUUUAAGACAUCAUGAUUUUAUUCUAUAAUUUGAGUCUUAUCAACCUUUUGGGAAAUAAUAAAACAUCGACAUUAAACUUUGUUGUUGAUGCAUUCAAUUUGAUUUUUUGAGGGGUCGUUGGAGUUAUAUGUGACUUUAGCUUUGAUUGACUUUUUUAGAAUUAAUCUUUUAUACCAAUUUAAUAACAUCCACAUGUUUUUGGGUUGGGUCGAGCAAAACCCAAUUAAAACCGAUGAUAUUGUCUUAAUUGACUCGGUCAAGUCCAUUAGAUGGAUAAAAUCAAUUUUAAAAUCAGUUAUAAUGGAUUAAGGUAACUAAUUAUCGAGUCAUGAAAUCCAUAAUCAAAUCAAUUGAUUUUGUUAGAAACUAAAAGAAAAUGGGAUAAGCUGAAAACUGAUUGCCCUUCAUUAAAAUUAAGGAAUUCACCUUUUACAUGUUAGAUAAUAUGAACAACCCAUAUAUAAUAAGAAAAAUUACUUACGAUUAUUUAUUAUCAUAAAUGGUUAGUUUAAAUUUAAAGUAAUCUAAUAUAUGUAUUGAACUUUAACUAUUACAUAAAGUAUAAGCUAAAUAUGUAUAAAUAUUCUAGAAAUCAUAUCUAACUGAUGAUAUUGUUUUAGUUGACUCGGUCAAGUCCAUUAGAUGGAUAAAAUCAAUUUUAAAAUCAGUUAUAAUGGAUUAAGGUAACUAAUUGUCGAGUAAUGAAAUCCAUAAUCAAAUCAAUUGAUUUUGUUAGAAACUAAAAGAAAAUGGGAUAAGCUGAAAAUUGAUUGCCCUUCAUUAAAAUUAAGGAAUUCGCCUUUUACAUGUUAGAUAAUAUGAACAUCCCAUAUAUAAUAAGAAAAAUUACUUACGAUUAUUUAUUAUCAUAAAUGGUUAGUUUAAAUUUAAAGUAAUCUAAUAUGUGUAUUGAACUUUAACUAUUACAUAAAGUAUAAGCUAAAUAUGUAUAAAUAUUCUAGAAACCAUUUCUAACUGAUGAUAGGCUAAUUCGAAAUUAAGAUUAAUAUAUAAAAACUAGAUAGUAGGGUUAUAGUCCUCAAACUAGAUAGUAAUAAUAUUAAUUUGAAGAUAUCACUUUUUGAAUCCAUAAGUUUUGUUUUGAUUUUUUUUUUGUAAAAAAGAUAUCAAGAGAUACCAAAAAUUAUUUUACUAAGAAAUUUUAAUUCACUCAAAAAGUAAGUGUUUUAUUUCAAGGGAUCACAAUUAAACAUUAGAUUUCUCAUUUUUAAUUUUUUUUUGUUUUUUUAACAACUACGUAAUUAACGAGUACCAAUUUUGGGUGUUGUAGGGGUACUAAUCGACUCUUGAACCCACUUUUUUCCUCUAGAAUUCAAUGCAAACCUUAAAUUUAUCUUUCUAAAAGAAUUUUAAAAUCUUUUUAUAAAAGACUAUUUUUUUUAGGUGACUAAUCACACUUAAUAAAAAAAAUCGGUGGUAAUUCUUUUCCAAUAAAUGUAAAAAACUUUUUAAACAAAAAAUAACAGACAUGUCUAUGUUUCCUAGGUUAUCUCAUAUUAAAAUCCAAAGAAAAUAAAAAGAUUCUAACAAUUAUUGCUUUUUAGUGUUGCUUUAGGGAAUUUAAAUGUAUUUAGUUAGAUUCCAAACCUACCCGUAGAUUCUUUCCUAUCCCAAGAUUAUUACGUAUAUUUAAAAUCAACAUUCAUUAUUUUCACCCUAAAAAAUAUUCUACAUUCAUUAUAUUACUAAAGUAGUGAUUAGAGUGAGUAAAAUCUGAUUUGAUUCAAAAAAAUCGAAAAGAAAUUCAAAAUUCGAGUUAAUUGAUUAAGUUAUUUGAUUCAACUCAAAUAAGUAAUUGGAGUUUUGAGUUCAAGUUGAGUAGAAUUUACAAUUCGAAUAAUAGAUUGGUGUAACCAUGUCAAUUUUGAAAUUGAGCAAAUUGAUCUCUCUCAACAAAAAUUACAAAAAAAUCAAAAUAAUUUUCAAAAAUUAAAAAUACGAUAAAAAUUCCAAAUUAUAUAUUUUUUAUAAAAAAAUUCUGAAAAAUAUAUAAAGAAAUUUAAAAUUUAAAAAAUUUUCUAAAAUAAUAAUUUUGGGGACUUAAAUAACUUAAUUAAUGAUUCAAUUUUAUCAUACUAAAAUAUAUUUUUUUAUUUUGCUUUGAAAAAGCUUUUAAAUAUAUACGAUUUCAAAUUUAUGUGCUUUAACAUGAGAUUAUUACAUAUUUAAAUACAUUUAAAUCCACGUCUAGAACUACACAUAUCUAGAACUACUCAUAGCCCCUCUCCAACCCAUAAAUAGGAUGAUAAUGCGUUUAAACGCACUUGAACCCAUGUCUUCCUGUAUUGAAAACAAUGUCCAUGUUAAUUGAGUUAAUACUCAAUUGACAAUUAGAAUUUGUAAAUUUAACUUUUAAUAUUUUAGACACAUAUAGUAAAUCUCAAUGUAUAUUUUAGCGUAAUGAAUUUCUAUUUGUUUAAAGAUGCUUACGGCUCUCAACUGAGAUGCCUGAUUUCCCAACAUAUAUUUUAACUUGAUUCCAGCCUUGUAAAAUGGGGCAAAAUUUAACCUUUUGUGACACAUUGGACAUCUUCUUACGAUACUUUUGAUAAAAUUGUGGCUACAUAAACCCACCAUUUUCAUGUUCUUUGCACUAAGAAAUAGUAUAAUUUCAAGGAUUAGUUAACAAAAGUAUAUGAAUAUGAAGGGUUUUCCCACUAUUUUUCUUUUUAUUUGCUUUGUUUUAGUUAUUACAAAUUGUUUCAUGGUGGAAGCAGAUACAUGCAAACCCAGCGGUAAGCUUAGAGGCAAAAAGCCUCCUCUAGGUAAAUGUAACAAAGGCCAUGAUUCUGAUUGUUGCCAAGAAGGCAAGUUUUAUAACACGUAUACAUGUUCGCCGCCGGUUUCAAGUCAUACCACGGCAACCCUAACUCUCAACGGAUUCGGUCCGAAGGAGGACGGUGGCGGUCCAUGUGAAUGCGACAACAACUAUCAUAAAGAUUCAGAAUUGAUCGUGGCACUUUCGACGGGGUGGUUCAACAAGAAAAAACGGUGUAUGAAUUAUAUUAACAUUCACGGUAAUGGAAAAACUGUUAAAGCUAAGGUAGUCGAUGAAUGUGACUCGACGGUGGGGUGUGAUGAUGAACACGAUUACCAGCCUCCGUGUGCCAACAACAUCGUCGAUGCCUCAGAUGCAGUUUGGGAUGCCUUGGGAGUGUAUGGAGAUAAACGUGGCGAAAUGGAGAUAUACUGGUCUGAUGCUUGAUUAUAUUUUUCUGCCUCUCCGUAUUUGCCAUUGUUUCAAGCAAGGGUUGUGGUUCGUUACUCUUUAGGCGCAUGAUAUGUGGUCCUUAAUUAUAUCUAAGGCCUGAAAAUAAAGUUUUAAUUUUAACUAUUUGGUCCUUAAUCUAGGACCUUGUCCCCUUGCUUAAAUGGUCUAAUUCUAUUUAUGCGCUAUUAAAAUACAAUACUUUAAUUUAGUUCAUUUUAACCACUUUUAUGAAUUUUUUUAUCUUUUUCCCUUUCUAAAAUUUUAAUUAUUCGAUUUAAAUCAUUUUAGGACCAAAUUUUUAAUUUGACCCUUAAAUUUUUAUUAUCAAUCACAUGCAACAUUAUAUGAAGGCAGUCUACUCAGCAUAUAUCCAAGUUUAUAGAUUUUAAUAGAAAAUACUUACAAUCCUAAUGGUAGGACUAAGUUUUUUAAACUAGAAAAGUAAGACGACUUAAUUUUUAACUUUUUAAGUACAAGGAUUAAAUUUUAAAUGUUGUCAAAGUACAAUCACUAACAAAAUAUUUUGAUCUAAUAAAUGUAAAAAACUUUUCAAACAAAAUAAGGUUGAAAUAAUUUAUUUGUCCUUAUACUUUGAUAAAAUUUGAGAUUUAGUCCUUAUACUUAAAAGGUUAAUAAUAAAGUCUUCUUGUUUUUAUUUAAAAAUCUUAGUCCUAUCGUUAAUUUUUUUUUGUCAACUUUACAUAUUAAUUAGUUUUCCCUUAUAUGUCGUGGUAUAUGACCUACACAAAAUAAGCAAGUUGAUAAAUUCUGACAAAAAAUAUCAAAGAUGAUAAUAAUUGGAUUAAAUUUUUUAAAUUGAAUUUAUAACCUUUAAGGUAUAAGGAAUGGAUAUCAAAUUUUUAUAGGAAUAAAGGGACUAACAACAUACUUUAACCACAAAAUAAUAUGAGUGAUUAGAAUGAAUCUAAAAGAGACUACCAACAUAUUUAUAACUUUGAAAUCUCCUUCGAUCAUCCUUUUUCUACGUUGAAAAAGAAAAUUAAUUAGCAUCUAAAGUGUCAAUUAGUGAAACCUUCAAAAGAAAAUGUAUAACUUAUAAUAUAUUUAAUUACAUUUAGUAAUUUAUCAAUCAAAACUUAAUUAACAUCCAUCAAUACUUCUAAAUUUUCCAUUUAACUCAGAUUUAACGGAAUUGAUUUUCCGGAAAAUCAUUUCCAACUUUUCCAGCGUUUGAUUGGCGGAAAACAUUUUCCAUUUGGAAAAUGAACUCCAAAACAAGGGAAAAUGGAUUACAUUUUAGGGAAAAUGUCUUACCCUUUCAAUUUCCGUAAGACAUUUUCCGUGCUCUCCUCUCUAUCGCCUCAUUCAUUCCUUCAUUUCCGGUAGAAAACUGCUUCUGUUUAUCGAUUUUCCAGUAACUUAUUUUUUUAAUUAUUCAAUACUUGUUUUUUAACACAAUUACAAAUAAUUUAUUUGAUAAUAGUUUUUUUCAAUUUAUAACGAUUAAUAUUGUAGCUUAAUAAUUGAGUAUUAUUAUAAAUAAAUCAUUGCAAUAUAUGUAAAAAUAAUUUAAAAUAUAAAAAUUUAUUAAUAUAUAUUAAUAUAUGUAAAAACAACUUUUUCAGAAAAUAUUUUCAGGGAAUCUGCCAAACAGCAGAAAAUAUUUUACACAGAUUCAAUCAAACACCAGAAAAUAUUUUCUAGUAAAUCAUUUUACAGAAAAGCAAAACAUUUUCCAGAAAUCAUUUUACGGAAAACAUUUUACUAGCAAUCAAACAGACCCUAAAUUUAAUUUGUUCAAUAUAGAUUUUGGUGACUUAAAACAAAAUUAAUAAAAAUUAUUCUUUCAGACAUCUUUUUAAUUUAUAAAAUAUACUUUCAUUUGACACAAGCCUCCAAGGCGAUGAACCACUGAUCAAAUUAAUUUGGAGAUAUCUUUUUUUCCAAAUAAAGUGAAUUUAUGAGUUUUGUUUUUAUUUUAAAAAUAUUUUUAAUAUUUUUGUGGAUAUCAAGCGGUACCAAAAAUUAUUUCACUAAGAAAUUUUAAUUCACUCGAAAAGUUAGUGUUUUAUUUUAGGGGUCAUAAUUAAUCAUUAGAUUUCUCAAUUAUAAAUUUUGAAUUUUUUGACAAUUGCAUAAUUAAUAAGUACCAAUUUUGAGUGUUGUAGGGCUAGUACAAUCUCCCUUACACAUAACCGACUCUUGAACCUACUCUUUUCUUUAGAAUUCAACGCAGACCUCAAAUUUAUCUUUUGAAAAGAAUUUUAAAAUCUCUAUAUAAAAGGUGUAAAAAUAUAUGUUUUAUUAAUUACUAUAUAUUCUUUUAUUUUCAGAAUAAUAAAUUGUUUAAAAUAUGCUAUUAGUCCCUAUAAUUUAAAAGUAUUUGGGUUCUUGAGUGCAUCAAAUUCCUCCUUUUAUUAUUAAAUGUUCUAUUUUAGUUACUCUAAUUAAAUAUAUCCAAAUUGUAAUAGAGUGAACAUUUAUUAUAUAAAAAAUAUUUUAAAUUUUUUUCAAUUGCAGUUUAAUUCUAGUAGAAAUAUUUCAUUUAUAAAAUCAUAAAACUUUAAAAUAUUAACUUUUUUAAAUAAAAAAUUAUUUUUUAACAGUAAAUGUUGACUUUAUUAACACAAAUGGGUCUUUAGGGUUAAACUUCAUAAAUUGACGAGCUCUUCCACAAACUGUGGAUGAUUUGGGGAUAAGAACUUUAAUAAUUAUGGAGUUAAAGUGUAAAUUUACCACUAUAUAUUAUAAGUAAAUAUUGAAAUUUAUCACUAUAUUUUAAUUGAUACUUGUCAUUACACUUUGAAAAUAUAAGUAAAUUUACCAUUUAACUCAUAUGUGAUUGAACUUUACAAGUAGACUUAAACUUUUAUUUAAUUUUGUCUCUAAAUUUGAUUUAUUUAAUUAAAUUUACAACUCAAUAUAGAUUUUGGUGACUUAAAACAAAAUUAAUAAAAAACUAUUCUUUCAGAUAAUUUUUAAUGUUUACUAAUAAGUCGAUUUAUAAAAUAUACUUUCAUUGGAUGCUUGAGCGGAAAUCAACAGAUACCAAAAAUUAUUUCACUAAGGAAUUAAUUAGUAUUUUAUUUUAAGGGUUCACAAUUAAAUAUUAGAUUUUUCAUUUUUAAAUUUUGAAUUUUUUGACAAUGCGUAAUUAACAAGUACUGAUUUAGGGUGUUUUAGGGUUAUUACAACCUUGCCUACACGUAACAGACUCUUAAACCUACUUUUUUCUCUAGAAGUCAACGCAAACCUCAAAUUUAUCUUUUUAAAAGAAUUUUAAAAUAUCUAUAUAAAAGAUGAUUUUUUCAGAUCACAUUUAACAAAAUUUUAAAAAUUAUUAAUUUUUUUAAAAUUUAGAGUGAUCUAAAAACAUAUUUUUAAGUGCUUUAGACCAUGCGGUGCUGAUUUCUUUAUUGUAUUAAAUGCUUGCAAUCACUCCUGAUAUCUUAUACUUCAGUUGUAACAGAGCCAAUUGUCAACGUGUCAUAAUGUUCUGUUGAUGCUGAAACUGAAGUUUUUGUUAUAUUAAUAGAGCUUAUCCUUCAACACGUAUAACGGGUGUUCGUUAUUUUUCCCUUCAAAUUGUAUGAUCUCAUUCAUUAAAUGAAUUAAUGAAUUUUCGUUUAAAAAUAUAAUUUUAAAAUUUAAAUACUUCAUAAGAUAUUUAAAACUAUUUAAAAAAUUGUAAUCGUUAAAACAAUCAACAAGAUAUAUUUUUCUCUAAAAAAUCAGUAAAAAUAUGUUUGAAAUUUUAUACGAAAGUAGUGUUGCUGAAGCAAUACUGAUUCACGACUGGUGUUCCAAAAAUUGGGAAGUCAAAUUUCGACAUAUUCAGCGAAAUGCCAGUAAAGUUGUUGAUUGCAUAGCUAAGGGAGAUGGAGGCAUAAUUGAGCAGCUGGUUAUCUUAGAAGAUCCACCGCAUUAUGUGAGAUGUUGGCUUGAAGAAGAUAUUAGACAGUCACUGGUCACUGAUGAUAAUUUUCAUUUGAAUUGAUGCUGGCUUAAUUUUCUAAGUUUAUGUUCAACCAGAAAAAAAAAUAUAUGUCUAAAUUGUAAUAGAAUUAAUAUUUAGUGUAUAAAAAAUAUCGUAAAAAUUAUUUUUUUUUCAAUUGCAAUUCAAUUCCACAAAUACUGACGAUGAACCCUGAAACGAACAUGAAAAUUACCAUAAGAAAAAAAACACAUCUAUCACAAACCAGCAAUCCAUGCCUAAACUUAAAUUAACAAAAUCUGUCACCGCAACCCGGUACACUAUUUUAUAUAAUAUAUAUACUAGAUUUAUUCUUGAUGCACAUGUUUUAUUAUUUUUAAAAAUUAAAAUAUAUGAUUGGCUGGGUUUUAGUUUAGUUAGUAUUAGUAUUAUUGUUAGUGUAGGAAAAAGUAAGUUUGAUCAUGCUCAAAUGUGUUUAUCCUCUAAUUCAAGAGUUGGGAAAAGGUUAUUGAUAAUUAAAUUAUACAAUAUUUAAAAAGCAUUUAUAAAUAAUAUAAGGAAAGAAAAAGAGAAACAUACUCAUAUCGAUGGGCUCUUUCAUUAUUAGACUUUUUUUUCUCUCACAAGUAAAAGUACUUAUGGAGAGGAUCAUGUAAAAUAAUGAAUAAUUUUAAAUGUUUCAUCAUUGCAAAAAUGAAAUAAUAGAAAAGAAAGACUAGCCAUUUUAUGAAUAUGGACGACCCAUUUUAUUUAUAAUUUUUUGUGUUUUUCUUUUUUUCCGACUUUUUCUAAUGUCAAGAGUUGGGAAAAAGUUAUUGAUAAUUAAAUUAUUUUACUAUGAAAUUUUAAUUUAACUGGAAAAUAAGUGGUUUAUUUAGAGGGAUUACAAUUAAACAUUAGCACUUCAGUAAAGGUUAAACUCUUAUUUGACCAUUUUGAAAGGUUUGAUCCUUAUGUGAGUAAUCUCUAAAAAAUUGAGCACUAAUUUGACAAGUUGAGAAAUACCAAAUUUGAUUUCAUGAAUCAAUAAAUUAAAAAAAAAUGUUGAGAAAUAUUUUAGAGAUUCUUAGCUUUGACAAGUUCCCUCCACCAUCUCCCUGCCUCCAGUCCCACCUCUUCUCUUAUGCUCCUUCCAGCUUCUUGCUUUUUGUGUUUGAAAAUUCAAAGGAACAAAAUAUCAACCUACAUCAUAAGGCACGAAGGCCGGAACUUUACUUUCUAGCCCGUCGAUCCGAUCCAAUGAAAGAAGAACAAAGAGUCUUGAGAUCUGACAACUUUAUUUCAUUUUCUUUUUCUUUGUCAUUUUCUAUGUUUCUUGUCAAAUACAUUUGAAAGAAGAACAUAGAAAAAUGUUGCCUAUUUAUUUCCCAAUCAUCAUGAAAUUACUUGCCAUAGACUUAGAAUUUUUUCACCAAUUUUCAAGCAAUCUGACAUUAUUUCUCGAUCACAAUUAAUUGAAUGCAAGAUCUUUUUGGAUGACACAAACAUUUCAAUUUUAACACAAACCAAUAUUUAGGUUAUACUUCAGUGCUUGACAAGCACUUUCACAUUUGUGGGAUAAGAACUCUAACAUUUUAGGAUCACAUUUAAUUCAAUUGCAUUUAAGACCUCAUGAUUUUAUUCUAUAAUUCAGUUUUAUCAACCUUUUCGAACUCAAUAAAACAUCGACAAUAAAUUUGUUGUUGAUGCAUUCAAUUUUUUGAGGGGUCUUUAGAGUUAUAUGUGACUUUAGCAUUGACUGAAUUUUUUAUAAUUAAUCUUUUAUAAUAAGGUAAAUAUAUCAAUUUUAAUAAUAUCGAUAUGUUUUUUAGUAGGGUCGAGCAAAACCCAAUUAAAACGAUGAUAUUGGCUUAGUUGACUCGGUCAAGUCCAUUAGAUUGAUAAAAUCAAUUUUAAAAUCAGUUAAUCAAAUCAAUUGAUUUUAUCAGGUUCAGGUUUCGUGUUUUAAUUAUGAGUUUGGGCCUGUCUCAUAUGGGCCCAAUGAUUGGGCCCGAUAAUUUUGGGCCAGCUGGGAUUGGGUAAUUGGGUUUAAUUUUGGAUUUGUUUGGGCUUUAGCCCAUUAGUGUUUUUGUUUUUUUUUAAUUUUAAUAAUAAUAAUAAAAAAAUAAUAAUAAUAAAUAAGAAAAAUACAAAAGUUAAAACUUACAUUUUGACUCCUAACUUUCCUAAAACUACAUUUUAACCCCCCUAACUUUCUUAAAAUUACAUUUGACCUCCAAUUUUCCUAAAAUUAUAUUUUGACCCCAAAUUUUCCUAAAAUUACAUUUUUCCCUAGAAGUUUUACAUCAUUUAUAAUUUGGUCCUUCUAGCACAAAAUCCCUAGCCGCCAGGUGCGAUUUGCGCACCUACCCCCCGAUUUUUCGGUGAUCAGCCUAGGGUGGUGGCCCUCCUCUCAAGCUACCUACUCCUUGAAAAAAUCAACAAUAAAAGGGGGGUUUUUUCCCCCAAAAAUUCGACAACCAAAGAGGAAAAAAGCAAGCAAAAAAAAAAAAACACAGCAAAAAAUUGAAACAAAAAAUAGGAAAAAAAACUUCAAAUUCGGUCGGCUUCCUCUUGAAUUGAUUCACGGUUGGUGUUCCAAAAAUUGGGAAGUCAAAUUUCGACAUAUUCAGCGAAAUGCCAGUAAAGUUGUUGAUUGCAUAGCUAAGGGAGAUGGAGGCAUAAUUGAGCAGCUGGUUAUCUUGGAAGAUCCACCACAUUAUGUGAGAUGUUGGCUUGAAGAAGAUAUUAGACAGUCGCUGGUCACUGAUGAUAAUUUCAUUUGAAUUGAUGUUGGCUUAAUUUUCUAAGUUUAUGUUCAACCAGAAAAAAAAAUUUGUCUAAACUGUAAUAGAAUUAACAUUUAGUGUAUAAAAAAUAUCUUAAAAAAUAUUUUUUUCAAUUGCAAUUCAAUUCCACAAAUACCAACGAUGAACCUUGAAACGGACAUGAAAAUUACAACAAGAAAAAAAGCACAUCUAUUAUCAAACUAGCAAUCCAUGACUAAACUGAAAUUAACAAAAUUCAUUAUGCAACCCGAUACACUAUUUUAUAUAAAUAAUAUAAGGGAAAAAAAGAGAAUCAUAUUCAUAUCGAUGGGCUCUAUCAUUAUUAGACUUUUUUUCGGCCAAAUUACCAAUAAAAGCACCUUUUUUAUCUAAAAUUACUGAAAUGGGACAGGUCCUAAAUUAACUAUCGGAAUGGGCCAAUUUCCACUAAAACGCGUCCAUGUCAGCGCGUUAUUAGGUGAAAAAUUAGGAAAACGCUUCCUCAAGGAAAUGCUUUGUCCACGUGGACACAAAGCGCGCCCUCAAGGACGCGUUUUGUGUCCACGUGAACAAAACGCUUCCUUGAGGAAGCAUUUUCGUCGUCCGUUUACAUUAUGGUUUUGGGUUUAGGGUUAGGGUUUUGGGUUGUUGAGUUUAGGAUUUUAAAGGAAAAAUUUAAAUAAGUAAGGUUUAGGGUUUAGGGUUUCUUAAUUAAAUUAAUUAUAAAAUUUUCAAAAUUAGAUUAGGGUUUCAAGUUUAUGGUUCUUAAGGAAAAAAUCAAAUAAAUUAGGGUUUAGGGUUGAUUAAAUUAAUUAUAAAUUUUUAAAAAAUUAGAUUAGGGUUUAAUGUUUAGGGUUUUUAAGGAAAAAACUCAAACAAAUUAGGGUUUGAUAUUUAGGGUUAAUUAAAUUAUUUGUUAAUUUAAAAAAGCUCCCACGUGGACGCUCUUUUGCUACAGUAGUUCCUGAAAAAUAAUUUUGAGAAAACGUUUCUGAGCAAAUAGUGGCAAAAAUGCUUUAAACAGGAUGCAUCGUCAGUAAAAGUACUGAAAGAAGCUCCCACGUGGACGCUCUUUUUCAACAGUAGCUCCUAAAAAAAUAAUUUCGAGUAGACGUUUCUGAGCAAAUAGUGUCAAAAAAGCUUUAAGCAGGAUGCAUUGUCAGCAAAAGUACUGAAAGAAACUCCCACGUAGACGUGCUUUUGCUACAGUAGCUCCUGAAAAAAUAAUUUCGAGUAGACGUUUCUGAGAAAAUAGUGUCAAAAACGCUUUAAGCAGGAUGCUUUGUCAGCAAAAGUACUGAAAGAAGCUCCCACGUGGAUGCUCUUUUCCUAUAGUAGCUCCUGUUUGGCCUGAGGCUAUAAAUGAGGAAAAUUUUUUUCUCAAAUUGCAUAAGUUAUAGCAAAAAAAAUUUAGAGAGGCUAAGAAGGAUAGGAAUUGUAGAUGAGUGAACGUAUUAGUGCUGUUAUUUACUAUGAUGGUGAGGUUCGUCACACCGAGAACGGUGUUGUUUUUUUAUUGGAGAAUACAGUGCGACUGGUUUUUAACCAGAACAUAGAUUUGACAGAACUUCGUAAAAGAAUUAGGCGUAAAAUAUUCAGAACGACGCCAAUGAAAGUUCUGUCUAUUACAUAUUGGUUUUAUUCUUCUGUUGAUCUGGUGACAUAUGACUCGUUCAACAUAAAAGGUGCUCAUAACUUGGAGGUAAUAGUGCAGACUCAUCUCACUAGUGGAGCAUCCUAUAUUUAGUUAUAUGUACAAUUUAUAUCGCCAAAUGAUGCACUAGUGACUGCUGUUCGAGAGGUAUACACGACCCUUGCCCGACACUUGGUUAGUGGGUUACAAAAUACAGAACAACCCAUGUUUGGUAGCGGUAUGGAAUACACAUCCCCAGCACGACACUCUGUCAGUGGAUGGGACAUGUACCUCGGUGGGUCGAUGUUUGAUGCUGGAAAUACGCACUGAGGAACGACAUCAACUUCUAGUGGUUGGCAAUCUACAUCCAAUUGAAGAUGUUAUGAAACGCCCAGAAGAAAGGGAUAAUGUACUCCCUACGACGUCUACUGAUGAGGGGACCUUGUACGUUACAGAUAAUGGUGGGUUAGAAGAUGACUCCGAUGUGGAUCCACCUCGAGAGCCAGAGCCCGAUGGUGCAGAAGUUGUAUUAUUUUCUAAACCAGAGCCUAUUCCAACCGAACUUGAAGAUGUUUAAGGGGGUUCAGAUGAAGAAGAAGAUUCACGAUUUAGGGCAUACUCGCCUCCAGCCCACAUGCAUAAUGUUGAUCUAUCUACAGAUGAUGCAUUAGAGUUUCCAGAUCUACCACACAGAAUGCGUGAUCAUACAAGUUUGUUAUUGGAUUCAGGUGAAUUUGAAGUUGGUAAGGAGUUUUCCAAUAAGGAUAGUUUUAUUGGUGCACUGAAACAACAUAACAUCAAUAACGGCAUUAACUACAACGUGGUUAAAUCCAAAGUUGAUAAGUUUGAGGCAAAGUGUGCAGUGCAAGACGGUACAUGUUCAUGGAAUAUCUACGCCUCGUUGAGGAAAAUGACAAGGUUGUGGGAGAUAAAAAAGUAUGAAGGUCCACAUACAUGUGCUGCAGGUACAAUAUUUAGGGUUUUUACAUUUGCUAUUAUUAUGUAAUGUUGCAUUAUUUAACGUACUUCGUUGACAGGUAUUUCACAAGAUCAUCCCAAGAUGGAUUCAGCUAUGUUAGCUAGCUUGAUACUACCAACGAUGAAGGCAGAUCCUAGGACUUCAGUGCCAGUCUUAAUUACCAAUAUUCGUAGCCAAAUGGGGUACACACCCUCUUAUCGCAAGGCUUGGAUAGCUAAGCAGAAGGCGUUGGAGAAGAUGUAUAGUGGGUGGGACGCUUCAUAUAAUGAAAUAUGGCAGUGGUGUCACGUGCUAGAGAGAUACGUCCCUGGUUGUAUAACAGACCUUGAAAUAGAACAUACGUACUACAACAACCGAUUACUACGUGGAUGCCAAGUGUUCAAACGACUGUUUUAAACCUUUAAGCAAUGUCGAGACGCAUUCUAUACUGCAAACCAUUGGUACAAAUUAACAGUACCUUUAUGUUUGGUAGAUAUACCCAUCGACUAUUGCUAGCAGUGACACAGGAUGGCAGUGGGAGAAUUAUUCCAAUUGCAUUUGUAAUAACAUUGGGGGAGUCAGCUGAUGACUGAGAUUUCUUUCUAUCUAGGUUAAGGAGGCAUGUAUGCCUCCAACCUGAUAUCUGUGUUAUUUUGGAUCGAGGCACUGGAAUACUAGCUGCAAACGAGCGACAGUGAAGCCUAUGGCAGUGCACACACCAUUAGUAUUGCCUAAGGCACAUUGCUUCUAACUACUACAGGCAAUAUCCAUCUAAAAGUGAACGAUGACAAGUGACCAACAUGGGUAUUUAGUCUCUAUUAAUAUAAUUUCGUUCCUCAUUUUGAAUUUAUUCUAAAUGAAAGAGUGGUAUGUAAUAUUCGCUAUGAACUUAUAUUGACAGGGUAUGAAAUAAGUAAAGACGUUUUUCAUGAGAUGUUGGCAGUUUUGCGUUCAGUUAACAGUGAAGGUGUGGACUACUUCUGUAACAUACCUUUCGAACAGUUGACACAAGCAUACAACGACGGCCUACGAUAUGGUCAUAUGACCUCAAACCUGGUUGAAUGCAUAAAUUAUGUUCUAAAAGGAACUCGACAUCUACCGAUAACAUCGAUUGUGCGAAGAAUAUUUUCACUUAGCGGCGUUAUUUCCAAAGUGAGCAGCGAGUUAUGCGACCCAAAUGCAAGGAGGCCAUGUAUGGUGCAGGAAGGUAUUGUAAGAAAUUAACAAGGUAAAGGCGAGGGCGAACACCAUGCACACAGUGUGUCACGAUCGAGACAACUUAUGGUUUCGCGUGACGGAGUUUGACAGACCGCACCAAGGUGUUAUUGGAGGGCAAUAUCGUGUUCACUUGCGAAAUAGGACUUGCGACUGUGAGAUGUUUGACACACUUCGUUAUCCAUGUGCUCAUAUAAUUUCAGGUUGUCAGAAUCUCUGACUGGAUUCCAUGAGCUAUGUCGACGAAGUGUACAAAUUAGAAAACAUGUACAACGUCUGGAGACACGUAUUCCUAUCGGUCCCAGAUGAACGCAAGUGGCCGUCUGUAUCGCUUGCUCCAUUUAAGUUGUUACCAGAUAGAGAAUUACGUCGCAAACCAAAGGGUCGACCUUGCUUGACUUGAAUACGUAACAAUAUGGAUAUCCGAGAAAUAGCCAAUCAACAGAAGUUGUGCUAAUGGUGUAGGAACCCAGGCCAUACAAGCAGAUCAUGUCCAAAUCGCAAUAGUUGAACGUUGUUGUAAAAAACUAUGUUGUAUUAUUUAUAUUUUAUUACAUGAAAUAAUAUAGAAAUAUUCAAAAUAUUACCUUUGUCGAAACCAUUUUUAAAUUUGAAAAAUAGGGAUCGACUUUUGAAAAUAAAAUGGGAGUCGCCACCGAUCUUUUAUUAAGGUGUGACCGGUUCACCGUUAAAAAUGAAUUUGGUCCGCAAAAUUUUGAGAAAAUAGAUUCCGGAGUCGAUUACGCACGAGGAAGCGUUAGCACCCUCGUAUGCCCAAAAUUGGUACCGAAUUGAUUGUUUGAUGUCUUAAUGUCAAAACUUUGAAAAGAUUCUAAAAUACGAUCCUUUGGUGAGAAAACUUGAAUAAACUAAAUUGAAUGAUAAGACACACUUAUCUCGCAGAAAUAAAUUGCCAUACUCAGUGAGUGAUGGGUGUCGAAUCCACCAAUAUAAACCUACGCCUUAGUUUGCAAAUUAUGCAGUAUAGGGAGUAGGGUCGAUCCCUCAGAGACUAGUUUACUAUAAAUUGUUGCUCGUUUGACCAGAUUAAUGUCGGGGCAGCUGUCGUGCCCAAGACAUUCGAGGGAUAAAAAUUUGGAAACCUGAAAUUAACAGAAAAAUAACGUCAAAAGUAAAAGUUGAAAACAGAAUAAUAAUAACUGUGAAAUAAAUAUUAAGAAAAAUUAAUUAGAAUGAGCUCAGCUUUAGGCGCGAAUUUUCCUCGUCUUUGAACCGAUCCUCGAAAUUGGAUGAACUCCUCUUUUCCAAUAAGCUAGUUAUAGCUACCAAGGACGCCUCGGACACCAACUCUUCCUUGUGUAAAUUAGUUAUGGAACGUCUAAUAACUAAUUCUUACUGAUUGAACAACCACGAAACGUUCGUGAUUUAGAACUCCGGCAGCUUUGCGUUCUAGAAGAGCCUAGCUCGAACCAAAGCCCUCAACCGCGUGGGACAUUUAAAUCCGGUUACUACCUCCCUUGACGGAACCAAACAGCAAUCUCCACUUGGCACGCCAAUGUGUUCACAGAAAACCGAUUAGAAACGUUCCUUUUGGAAUUCCAACUGUACGUCUAAUCACACUAAAUCAAACGACGUCUUUUUUGACUUAGUGUUGAUCUGACUUUAUGAGCUGACAAAAUCAUACUCUUAAUCCGGUGAAGUAAUAAGUACUGGAAUUUUAGGAGUUAAAUGGCUCGGGUUCGUAACUCACGGGUUUUAACGAGGCUAAUUUCGGCCUAAAGCUGAAAAUGAGUUUAGUUGGCUAAGGUUUGGGACAUGUUGGUAUUUGAUAAAUAAGGUAAAUGGGUGAAAAGGUGAGUGAUGUGAUUGAGUAUGGGGGUUGGAAUAUAUUAAAGUGGGAUGGUUGACUAUUUGGAAAAGAAUUGAAAAAGGAAUUGCAAAUGGCUUGAUAUGGUGAUUAGCAACUGGAAAUUAAAAUUUAAAGGAAAGGAAACUAAAGAAACAACAAAGCUACAUGAGAAAAGAGAGAAUGUAUUGAAAGAAGAAUGCUUGAUAUUUGAUUGAUGAUUUGAUGAACAAUACAUGCUCUAUUUAUACUAGAGGAUUUACUAAUUUAGGAGCCAACUAGUCAUAGAAAAUUAAGGAAAAAAAAUAUUCCAUGACCAAAAAUAUCCCAAAAUAAUCUCCCCCACUAAAUCAACAAAAUUUUCAGCUAAUUAAAAUUGGAAAAAUUCUACUUUUGCCCUCCUUCUUUGCUUCUUUCUUUAAUUUGGCCCAAUUGUUUCCUUUUUCUUCUAUUUAGCCCCAAAUUGCAUUCCUGCACAAAAUUCAAUAAAUAUGGCAAAGUUAGUGGUGCAUUCUCAUAAAUUAACCAAUUUAAUUUCAUAAAAUAUGUAACUUUAGCAUUUAAUCAGUGAGUUAGGGUGCAACAAUUCAAUCUUCGAAAUUAAAUUCGUCCCCUCUUUUUUUUUUAAGAAAAUCAUGUGUUUUAAGAAGGUUAUUCGAUUAUUUAAGUCAAUCGAAAAAUCAAAAUCCAGUAAGUUAGGGUUCAAUUUCUCGAAAUUCCUAAACAUCAAACAUUGCUUUUAUUUUAAAAUCGAGAUAACAAAAUGUUGUAUCCAGAAAGUUAGGAUCCAACAUUUUGAAGUCUCAAAAGCUUUAUUUUGAAGUUGUAUGGUUUUACCAAAAUAAACGCUUGGCUAUUCAAAUUCGUCGAGAAGAAUUGGAGCCCAGUAAGUUAGGGCACAAUUCUCUCGAGGGCUAUGAACACUAGGUCCUUUUGAAAUUUAUGAAAUAAAAAUGAUUGUAAUGCUCCAAUAAAAUACAAUUUUACAAAUGAGACAUAACUGAAGCAAUAUAUAAUGUAAAAAAUAAAUAACAACCCAAAUAUACACUAAUAAGUGGCAAACAAAUAGUAAGUAAAUGCAAAUAACCAUAAUGAUUUUAAUUAUAUUAUACAAACAUCGAUGUCAAUGUACAAAAACUAAAUAAAUUUAUCAUAAAUUCAAAAGAUACAUUAAGAUAAUAAAAAAAAACAAUACAUCCUAUGUAUGAAAGUUUUUAAAAUAAAUUACAUAUAUGAUCUUCAAAAUAGACACAAAAUAUAAUAAAACAUUAAAUAAUUGGUAUUUGAAAUAAAUUGGAAAUAAAUUUGAAAUAGACAAUAUACAUUUGUUAGUUUGAUAUAUAAAUAAUGCAUAUAAAAAUAUAAUAAUAAUGAUAUAUAUAUAUAUAUAUAUAUAUAUACUAGUAAAAAAAUAGAAUAGGGAAAGUAUAUUAUUGAAUUUAAAAUAUAUAUAUAUAUAUAUAAAACCGGUUUAAAAGACAUAUAUAAAUAAAAAUUUAAAACUAAUAAUCAUAAUGAAAUCAAAAUAUUAAUAUAUACUUAAGAAAAGAAUAAUUUCAUGAGUUAUAUAUAUUUAUAAAUAAUAGUAUUAUAAAAAAACAAAAAAAUUAUUAUGUAAGUAUUUAUUAUAUAGGAAUAUAUAAAAAGAUAAUUUUACAAAAUAAAACAUCAAAAACUUGUUUAAAUUUCCAUAAAGUAUAUAAAAUAAUCAAUGAUGAGGUAAAUAAUAAUAUGUUAAAUUUAAAACAAAAAAAUAUAUAGUAGGCUUAAAACAUUAAUGUAUGAUGAAUUUAAAUAAUGCUAAUAAUGAUUUUAAAAUAAUAAUAUAUCAUAUCUUAAAAUCGCACUAAUAAUAAAAUUAAAAAAUAAUAUCAAAUUUAAACAUUAAAAUAAGAUAAGUUGUUAAAAAUAAAUAUGUCAAACUAAGAAUUAAUUAGAAUUAGAAUUAAAUAAAAAAAAACUAAAUUUCUAGUAGAAUUAGAAAAACGAGCUAGAUUGAUAAUUGAUUCAAAACUGAGGGAUCAAAACAGAAUUAAACGCAAAUGCUAAGAUGUUCAAAUCCAAUCAGCGAAAAUGGCGGCGUUUAAAUAUGGAUCUAAAUGAAAUAAAAAUAAAAAUGCAAUAACAAUUUAAAAGAAUUGAAAGAAAACUGAAUCAAAAUGAAAGCCAAUACAGAGGGUUUCAAUGCGCAAAUUUCCCCUUAAUUUCAAAACGCGCAGAUCCUCCCUGAAUCAAGUCGGAUCAUCGGGUCAAGGCACCAAACAGUGCCGUUUUUUUGAAACAUUUAAAAGCGUAAAAAAAACCUAAAUCUAAAGAUUUUUGUUCAAAAUGCAAAAGAAAGUGGGAGCGCCGCUUUUGGUUUUUCAUCUACUAUCGCAACUCAACCUCUCAGAUCCCCAUCUGUUCCGAUUGCAACGAGAGAAACAGGGAUCCGACCGUCGCACUCUGAAGGUAAACUCUCAUCCUUAAGCCUCUCUUUUUCUUUGUUUAGUGUAUUCGUAGAGAAGCAAAAAGAGAAAGAAAACAGUGAAGAAAAACGAAAAAGGAAAAAAAAAUCAAUAUACCUCUUAAAUCUGCUCCUUUUCUCUUUUUCUUUUCAUCUUUUUUAUUUCAUAUCUCUCUCUAAAAAAAAAGCCCUCGAUCGAGUGCAUCCAUGGGGGUUUUUAUAACCCCAAAAUAGAAGAAAAAUAAAAAGAAUACAAAUUUCUUUUUUCUGCUUUUCUCUUGCUGUUUGUUUGUGUGUUGCACAGGUACGGCCGUACGGAGGUGGUGGCGUGGCGUGCGUAGAGAGGAAGACCGAAAGCGUUGGAAGCUGUGCGGCGCGAUAGGCUAGCUAGGGUUUCUGCUUGUGAUUCUUUUUGUUUUGGGCUUCAAUGUAAUUAGGCCGAGGUAUUUGGACCAUUGUUUGUAUAACUAGACAUUUGGACUUUAGUUAUAUAUAUUUUAUUUGGGUUUUAAUAUCCGUAUCGGGCCGGGCAAAUUUGGGCCAUUACAACCUUAUUUAAAAGAAUUUCUAUUUUAUUAAAAUUAUAAAAGUAAAUUUCAAUUACUUUAUUCAAAAUAACCUUUUAUUUUAUUACAUGAAAUAACAUAGAAAUAUUCAAAAUAUUGCCUUAUUUAAAAGAAUUUCUAUUUUAUUACAUGAAAUAAUAUAAAAAUAUUCAAAAUGUUUGUACAAAUAUGUUAAAAUAAAAAUCAAUCUCCGUGCCCGCCGGAUUUAGUGUCACAUGGCGGUCGUUGACGGUUACGCGCUGGGUUCCUCCUUUGUCUAGCUUCUGGUGGGGGUUGUGGUUGCUCUGGUGGGGAUUCUAGUUACUCUGGUAGGGGAUCGAGUUGCCAGUGUUGGGAGGAUGACCUACCUUGAUAGAAUAGUGAAUCUUGCGGUGUUUGCAUCACGAACGGCGAAGGCGUUUGAAACCCAUAAGGUGAUGGGGAUUGGUAAAAAGAAGAGCUCCCCGACGGCCCCUCGUGCGAUCCAUGUUGCGACUGUGGCCUAUAGAUUGGCAGUCCACUCGGCGACAUUGAUAAUGGAGAUGAACUGGGCCAUGGAUUCCAACCUGCCAUAGGACUAGAAAAAGGAAACAUAUAAGGGUUAGGAUACAAAAAAGGGCUACAAUACGCACCUGGCAUCAUCUGAAAAGGCUGUGUUGUAGGUGUCGUUGGUUGAAGUGUUGGGUCGGGUGACUGUGACGGUGUUGUUGCUGGGCCUGGUGAUUGUUUGGGAGCUGUUGAUGCGCUUACGUCGUCGUCCGUUCUUCUUGGAUUUAAAGGGCCAUGUCGUUCCCUUUGGACACGUAACUACCGCUGCCUCUCCUCUGCCGACAGUAAAUACGGCUUGCUAUGGAUCCUAAACCAUGGGAUGUAUUCCGCCAUGCAGCUAACUCUAGAACGAUGAUUGGUUCCCAAGUUGGUAUAUAAUCAUACUAAUCUUCCCACAUUUGGAUGUACUGUGACCAGAAUCUUGGCCAAUCUGUAUGCAAUUGCCGUAGGUCGAUUUUGUGAUGGUCAUCCAACACCUCAGGUGCCACGGGAAUCAGUUGUCAAAAUCCAAAUUGCCGUAAUACUCUGUCCAUACUCUGUGCGACUGGUGCAUCUCCAUGGUCGCUAAGUUGACCAAUGGGACUUUUACAUGCCAAGCGUUUGGAUUUUGGAAGUACUCAUCUGGAAUUACUGCCCGAAUUGCCAGAUCCUCGUAUGGUGUCCAUUGAAACUAUAUGAACAUGAUGGAAAUAUUAGUUAUAUACAUAAUACAUAAUACUAAAUACUAAAUACUAAAUACCGAUCGACUAUCUCAUGAUGGAAAUAUCUAUUUUAUUUAAUACUUACUUGUGCUUCUGACUGUUGGUCUAAUAGAAACCGUAUAUCUUCAAGAGAGGUAGGAAAUCCAACAUAACUUGUCGAAUGGUUCCACCUAAUUAAAUAAAUUUUUAGCAUACAAUUAUAUUUUAAAUCUACGUAAUAAUUGUAAAAUCUAAUAUAAAAUUUACCUCGUUAUGUGUGGGAAGGUAUAUGGGUGGUCCACUCGAGGACAUAAAAAUGGAAAGCGAAAUCGUGCCCAUGACUGCAGUAGUGAGAGACAACCUCCGAUUUUCGCUUUAUUCGGUCGCUUCGGCCCACACAUCUCCAGGUACAAUGUUGCCAACACGGUAAACCCCUAACUAAAUUCACCAGCUGCUCUAAAAUCAACGAGUUUCAGCAGCCAUCUUAGAUGUACAAGGUUCCGUGACAAGUCCGGCAUCAGAUAACCUCCAAUUAUCGGAAGAAUGUAUGCCCGAGCAUAUCUGAUUCUUUCUAGUUCGAUAGAAUCAUCAUCCGGCUCUAGGAAUGUGUCUCGUAACCAGCCUAUCUCGAUCCGACCUCCGUUGAUAUUAUCCGAAAUAGCGCCUAAAAGCUCGUAGCAUACCGCUCCCCAAUCACCAGAUUGAACAUACCCAGUGACUACGUACCCGUCCACCGGCAAUCCCAAUUGCAAAUUUACGUCUUCCAAAGUGAUAGUACACUCUCCACAUGGAAUAUGGAAUGUGUGCGUCUCGAGUCUCCACCUCUCAAUCAACGCACUAAUGAGCUUCGGUUCCAACUUGCAUCCCCGACCUACCAUUGCCACGUGCCAAAAACCCGCUUCCCGUAGGUAAUUCUCUACCAACGGUGAUGGAGGACCAUGCAUAUUACAGAUAUAGCAUUGCAAUAUCCGAUCUAUAGACUUUUAUAAGAAAUAAUAAAAUAAAAAUUAUUUAAAAUUUCAUAAAUCAAAAAAAUCUUAAAUAAUAUUUAAAAGUUAAAUUUAACACUUAUCAUUUUCAUUUGUUCGAUGGAUAUGUGCUUGUUAUCGAAACAAAUUAAUUCUCCGGCCAUUGAGAGGAAUUUGAGAGGAAAUUUUUAUGAUUUAAAAAAAAUAAGAGAAAUUUAAAAAAAAUUAUGAUUUAAAAAAAUUCAAAAAAAAUUAAAUUAAAGCUUUUUUUAGAAUAACUAAAAAAAUUAAAGCUUUUUUUGAGAGGAAUUUGAGAGAAUAUUGGAGAGAAAUUGAGAGAAAGGAUUUAGGGGUGAAAAAAAUGAAAGGGGGAGUUUAUAGUUUUUUUUUUUUUUUUUACCAUUGGGGGUGGUCACCAACGGUAAAAAAACUAGCCGUUGGUACUGUUCACGCGCGGGGAAAACGCUUCCCCAAGGAAGCUAUUUGUCCACGUGGAUGCGCUUUCUAGGAAUUGGCCCAUUCUAGUAAUUAAUUUUUCACCGGGCCUAUUUCAGUAAUUUAAAAAAAAUGGACUUUUAUUGGUUUUUGGCCCCUUUUUUUCUCUCACAAGUAAAAGUACUUAUGGAGAGGAUCAUGUAAAAUAAUGACCUGAAUAAUUUUAACCGUUUCAUCAUUGCAAAAAUGAAAUAAUAGAAAAGAAAGACUAGCCAUUUUAUGAAAUAUAAAUUUUAAGAAUAUGGACUAGCCAUUUUAUUUAUAAUUUUCUGUGAUUUUCUUCUUCUCUAACUUUUUUUUAAUGUCAAGAGUUGGGAAAAAGUUAUUAAUAAUUAAAUUAUUUUACUAUGAAAUUUUAAUUUAACUAGAAAAUAAGUGGUUUAUUUAGAGGGAUUACAAUUAAACAUUACCUUUUCAAAUUUUAAAAAUAAAAUUUUCUUUACAACUGCAUAAUUAAUAAGAUAUCAAUUUUGAGUGUUAUAACCUUCUCAACGCAUAACCAACUCUUGAAUUCACUUUUUUCUCUAAAAUUCUACGUAGAACACAAAUUAAUUUUUAAAAUGAAUUUUAAAAUCUCGCGAUUUUUUUAGGUGAUUCACCAAAGAAUAAAAAGAAGGGAGGUGAUUCCUCCUUUUUAAUAAAACCUUGUGCUUUUGCAAACACCAAAUUAUUGCUAAGCUUUACAUUAAUAUACAUGAUUUAUUUGUUUGUUAUUAUUAUUUAUAUGGUUAUAAUUUUAUACUUAUCGGACUAUAAUCAUUACCAUGGUUAUUAUCAUUCAAUAAAAAGAAAUAAGUGUUGAGUGUAAUGGCAAUGUACAUUACACUCUUACUAGGAGAUCAGGGUUUUGGACAAAGAAACAAUAUGAUUCGAAUUUUGGAGACAACAUCCUUAAAAUGAGCAACCACAAAGCCCGAUUAUGAACCAUAAAACGAACAUGAAAAGUACAAAAAAACACAUCUAUUAUCAAAUUAGUAAUCCAUCCCAAGGCUUAAAUUAACAAAAUUCACCAUGCAACCGUGUAGACUAUUUUAUGUAUAUACUAUAUUUAUUCUUCAUGCAAAUGUUUAUUAUAUUUAAAAAUUAAAAUAUAUGGUUGAUUGAGUUUUAGUUGAAUUAAUAUCGAUAUUGUUGUUAGUGCAGAAGAAUGUGAGUUCAAUCAUGUUUAAACGCGUUUUUCUUCCAAUUCAGAAGUUGGUGAGGAUUCUCAAUAGUUAAAUUAUAUAAGUUUUUGUCUAUUUAAAAUUGAUUUAUAAACAAUAUAAAUAAAAAGAUUUAAAAAAAUAUAUAUAUAUAUAUAUAUAUUCAUAUUGAUGGGCUUUUUCAUUACUAGACUUUUUUCCUUACAGGUAAAAGUAUUUAUGGACAGGAUGAUGUAAAAUAAUGACCUGAAUAAUUUUAAACGUUUCAUCACUGCAAAAAUGAAAAUAAUAGAAAUGAAAGACUAGCCAUUGUAUGAAAUUUAUAAUUGAACUGUCAACAAAAUUGGGAGAAAUUUUUAAAUUUUAUGAAAUUUUAAAAUUAAACUGUCAAUAAUAGAAAAUUGUGCGCCUGAGUGACUUGGGAUAAGAGGUUGAACAUUUCUGGAUCACAUUACAUUUAAGAUGGGUCUUUAAGGUUAUACUUUAGUUAUUGAGAACAUUUUCCACAAUUUGCCAUCGUUAUUUGUGGGGUAAGUGGUUGAACACUUAUGGAUCACAUUGCAUUUAGGACGGGUCUUUGGAGUUAUAUGAUACUUUAACAUAGACUGACUUUUCUAUAAUUAGUCCUUGGUUUACCUUGGGUGGAUUCUUCCAACUAGUCCAAGAAUUAUUGUACAAUUACAAUUAAUCUUUUUAAAUGAGACAAACAUUUCAAAUUUGUCAUUACUAUUUGUGAGUGAUUUGGGGGUAAGAAGUUUAACACUUCUGGAUGUCUUAUAAAAUUGUGAUUAUACUGUUUGAGUAUUGACUCAGUUUUCCACAAUUGUGGGUCUCUAUUUGAGCAAAACAAUUUCAACAUUUCUUCAUCUCGUUUAAUCCAAAUGCAUUUAUGCAUUUCUUAUACCAUUAAAUUGGCUGUUUCACAUUCAAUUUUUGGACAAGUAGAAUUUUCUAACCUAGUUUCCAUCAACUUCAAUUGAAUUUUCAAUCAAAAUCAGUUGCAUUCAAGAGCACCACAUCCUUUUGGAUGAAACAAAAUUUCAAUUUUAGGAUAAACGGGUCUUUAGGGUUAUACUUCAUUUAUUGAGGGCCUUUUAAUUUCCACAAUUGUCAUCACUAUUUGCGGGUGAUUUGGGGAUAAUAACUUGAACAUUUCUGGAUCACAUUUAAUUCAAUUUUUAAAUUUUAGAGAGGUGUUUGGGUUACAACAAUUGUCAUCAUUAUCCUUAAUAGAACAUUUGGGAGGAAAAUGAGCAAAAAAUGAGCGAAAACCGAAAAAUGGGGGCAAACUAUAGGACCCAAACGGGCUGACCUAUUCCACACGACCGUGUGACCCACACGGUCGUGUGGCAAGCCAUGUCAAGUUCGUAGAUUUGCACUCUGAACUACGAAAAAAUAUGAAUUUUAGGUUUUGCGGGCAUUCUAAGAUGUAUAUAUGACCAAAAAAAAAAAAAGAAGAUAGGAGAGAACCUUCCUAGAAUAUUCAAGAAAACAACUCUAAAGACACCACUAAAGCCGACUCUAAAGCAGAUUUUCAUUAAGAUUGAAGAUUCCUAAUUGAUUUCUUAGGAGAUUAUCAUGAGUUUCUUUAUUUCUUUCAGUUAUACUGCCCUUUGGAUGUUUUUAUUUUUAGAUUAACUAAUUUUCUAAAUACCUAAGAGAGAUGAGCCCUAUGAUAGACUGUGACACGCCAAAGUCGACCGGGAUAGACUGGCCUGAAUUCGAAGCAUUACAUUAGCCACCUAAGUGACUCUCCAGCUAACUACCACCCAAGACAAACCCCGACCUUAUAACACCUCAAUCUUAUCUAAUUAUUAAUUAUUUAUUAAUGCCGACGUAAAUUAUGAGCCAAUUUUAAACUUUUUCUAGGUAAUUUAACCUAAGGGCAUUUAUGUCAUUUUACCACUUAUGGUAAAACUAACUCGGUUUUAGAUCUAAGUGUUUUUUGACUUCUUUUAGUCAAAUUAUGCAAGUCUAAAAUUUUUAGGUUAAUUUGAGUUCGUUUACUAUGUCAAAUUCAAGUUUUAUUAUUAAGGACUAAAUUGUAACUUAAACAAAUUUGAAUACCAAUUUAAAGUAAUAAAAAUUCAAAACCCUAAAACCCACACGGGCAUGUGGGCAAGUGACACGGGCGUGUGGAGACUGGAGCUAUCACACACAAGCAUGUGAGUUGAAAAAUAUGAAAUAAAUUAAUCCAUUCAAUUUUCCAACAACCAUGCUAUACUACCAAACCAAAAAACGCUUGAAGCUUUGAAAAGGGGUGAAUCUAAAAAAAAAAAAUUAGAAGAAUUAGAAUUAAAUUAUAAAAUUUUGAGAAUUAAAAUAUAAUUUUAUCAUGUAUUAAUUUAUUAUUUUUAAAGGGUCUUAAUAGAGUUUUUUUUCCAUAUUGGUUGGACCAAUACCUCUACCUGCCUCUUUAAAUUUGCUCCAACCCUAAACCCAAUAUUCGAUUGGAUUAACAACAAUAUAUAGGUUAGUAUUUUUAGAGGUUUAAAUUAUAAAUUUUUGAAAGAUUAAAAUAAAUUUGUAUUUUUUUAUUAAGAAAAUAUAAAAGAAAAAAAUAUGUUUACACAAGCCAAGAGACCUUUGGGAUCAUGCGGGUGAUUUUGAUGAUGUUAAUGGUUAUUUUGGUGGAGAGAGUGAAAAAGAAACAAAUGAUUCAUUAUAUAUAAUAUAAUUAUGAAAUUCAAGCCAUAUAUUGUAUGUUUCAUACAUAAAAAUUUCAUGGGAGGUCCAAAGGUAAUAAAUGACUUGUAGGCUUGCUGAAUUCCUUUGAAAGGCCCAAAGGCAAUUUAACAUUCACAAAAUAAUCUCUAAAUACUGUAAAGACAAAUCAAAUCCACAGCAGCAUUAGAGUUGAUUAAGCUAAGCAUUGGCAAAUAUUACUUUGAUUUGGCGUGCAAUAUUGGGAAAACCCCCUCUUACAUUAGAAAAACAACAUAAUCCAUGAAACAUUGAUAGCCCAAUACAGAAGUGUUUAUAUAUGUGUUUGAGACUAGUUAUAUUUGGCUUAAUUGAAAUAGAUUAUAUAUGUUUUUAUGACUAUUUAUUUGCUUAAGACUUACUAAGCUUUUAAAAGCUUGCUUUGUGUGUGUUCUUUCCCUAUUUUAUAGAUAGUCGAAGCUAGCUCGAGCUCGAAGAUCGUCAAGAAUUGUCGUCACACUAUCGAUCGUCAUUUUAGUACUUUUGAAACUUGUAAAAAUAGUAUAUGGCAUGUAUAGGCUAGUAAUCAUGUGAUAUGUUUUUGGGUUGUGGUUUUAGCCAUAUAAGUUGGUUUGUAAAUGGUGUAGUUGUUGGAAGUUACUUUAGCUAUGCAAAUGAGCUUAUUUUAUGAAUUGACAAAUGGUAGGUGAUGUUUAUUUGGCAAACUUGGUAUAGUCAUGUGGUUAAUUAUUCGGUUAGAUGUUAAUGUUAGUAUGUGUUCAUAUUUACUAUGUGAUGACUAUGCUAUGCCAUGUAAAUUUGACUAUUUGGUGUGGAUUAUUAUUAACCUAUGCUAUGCCAUGUAAAUUUGACUAUUUAGUGUGGAUUAUUAUUAACCUAUGUGAUGUAUAAAUUAACCUAUUUGGUGUGGAUUAUUAUUAACCGGCGACGUAUUCAGGUUAGGGGUGUUACAUGAGGCGCUUUUGGUAAAUACAUUACUGAGUUGGUGACCUGAUUGAGGGUAACACCAACUCAAUAAAACUCUUAAAUAUUGACUACAAAUCCUAUCACACACUUAUGAGUAUGAAAACACAAAUUUAGAAUACAAAGAUGUGUUUAAAAAUAACAUAGAAUAAAGAAUGAAAUUUAUGGUUUGAAACUAAUUAAUAAUAACACAUGAAAUAGAAUGAAAUUUAUGGUUUGAAACUAAUUAAUAAUAACACAUGAAAUAUGUAUGAUAUCAAAAUGAAAAAAAAAAGAUUAAAUUGUGCAUAAAACAAAAUUUUUUCCUGUUACAUCAAUAAAGUUAUAUUUAUUACCCUCGCCAAUUGUUUGUCAUUAAGAACAUUAAAGUAUCCUUGAAUGAUAUAACUGAUUCUAAAUAGAGUUGAUGUAUGGUUGGCUUAGGAUACCAAGUCAGUUAGGGGCUUAAGAUUAUUAAAAUAUUCUUAUUUUAAAGGGAAAUUAAUAUUAUUAUAAGUGUAUUUUCACCUUUUCAUACUUUUAUAUAAUCUUCAAGUAAAACAAUUGAAAAAUAUUAUGUGAGGCUCAAACACAAGACUAAAAAAAUUCAUAUAGAAAACGCUUACCACUCCACUAAUAAUCAUUUGUUAAUGUAUUUUUGGUAAAAAGACCUCUCCAAUCCCUCUUAAUUUCACAAUUGCGCAAAUUAGUCCCUCUCAAAAAAAAUGGAGCAAUUUAAUCCCUAUCAAUUUUGAAAGUGAGUAACUAAGGACAAUUAAUUAUGGUGUUAAAUUCUUCCAUCAAUUGUACAUAAUUUUGAUUAGUACAGUUAUAAAUUUAACUUUCAAUGUUUAUAUAUUUUGUCAUUUUGGCCUUAAUUUUUAAAAAAAUUUAAGAAAUUCAACCUCAACAUUUACAUAUUUACACAAACGUUGCAGGAAAACUUUGUUAAAUUAAGACCAAAUUGCAAAGUGUGUAAAUUUUGAGGGCUAAAUUUAUUAAUAAACCAGCCAAAAUCAUGUACAUUUUAUGGAAUGUUAACAUCUUGAUUAAUUAUUCUUAGUUGCUCACUUUCAAAAUUAAUAGGGACUAAAUUGCUCUGACUUUUUUAGGGUAACCAAUUUCCUCAAUUUGGAAAUUGAGAGAGACUAUUGAGAUCUUUUUAAUAUAAAAUUAAUAUAUUUUUUUUAUAAACAAUAAAAGAACGUUGACAUUGAAUUUGCUGUUUCACAUUCAAUUUACAGAGAAGAAGAAUUUUCUAACUUAUUUUCCAUCAACUUCACUCCAAUUUUCAAUCACAAUCAAUUGCAUCAAGAGCACCACAUCUUUUUGGAUGAAACAAACCUCUCAAUUUUAAGAUAAACGGGUCUUUAGGGUUAUUAGUUGAGGGCUAUUUCCACAAUUGCCAUCACACACGGGAGUGUGGGAUUGAAAAAUAUGAAAUAAAUUAUUUCACUCAAUUUUCCAACACCCAUGCUAUACUACCAAAUUAAAAAAAGGCUUGACGCUUUGAAUAGGGAAGAAUUAGAAUUAAAUUAUAAAAUUUUGAGAAGUUAAAAUAUAAUUUUAUCAUGUAUUAAUUUAUUAUUUUUAAAGGGUCUUAAUAGAAUUUUUUUCCCAUUUUGGUUGGGCCAAUACCUCUGUCUGCCUCUUUAAAUAUGCUUCAACCCUAAACCCAAUAUUCAAUUUGGAUUAACAACAAUAUAUAGGUUAGUAUUUGUGGAAGUUUGACGAAUAAAAUUGCUUUUUUAGAUGUUUAAAUUAUAAAUUUUUGAACGUUUAAAGUAAAUUUGUAUUUUUUUAUUAACAAAAUAUAAAAAAAAAAACAUGUUUAGACAAGCCAAGAAACCUUUGGGAUCAUACGGAUGAUUUUGAUGAUGAUAAUGGUUAUUUUGGUGGAGAGGGUGAAAAAGAAACAAAUAAUUCAUUAUAUAUAAUAUAAUUAUGAAAUUCAUGCCAUAUAUUGUAUGUUUCAUACAUAAAAAUUUCAUGGGAGGUCCAAAGGUAAUUAAAUGACUUGUAGGCUUGCUGAAUUUCUUUGAAAGGCCCAAAGGCAAUUUAACAUUCACAAAAUAAUCUCUAAAUACUGUAAAGGCAAAUCAAAUCCACAGCAGCAUUGGCAAAUAUUACUUUGAUUUUGUAUGCAAUAUUACAUUAGAAAAACAACAUAAUCCAUGAAACAUUGAUAGCCCAAUACAAAUUUCAUCGAGAAAAAAGUCUCUUUGUUUUGUAGAACAUGAUAGUAAAGAUGUGUUUAGUUUUCCUUGAUCAACAACCACUUGCCAAAAACACAAUUAGAUUAGAUUAUGAAUGAUACUUUCAACUAUGACAAUAUUAAAUACUAAACAUUCCAAAUAACUCUAAAUAAAUGGAAUGUAGCAAAUUACCUGAUGAGGCAAGCUAGCUCAAUUAAGACCAUUGUGUUAUACUUGUCUCUAAAUUGAAAAAUUUAGAAGAAAAUAAAGAGAAAGAGUUAGCAAAUACUUGAAAACCGAUAAAACUUAUAUGUCAUUGAUUGGAUAAACUACGAUCACCCAUAAUAGCCUUUACCUUGCAACCAUCUACAUGAACCCAUAAGACUCUUAGCGGAAUCAAGAGACAAGACCCUAACAUGAGAACAAUACCAUUUGUUGAUGCCUUUAUUAAUAGGGCCGUACCUAGGAGAGUUGGCAGGGGUCCCGACCCUCCUUAAAAUAAAAAAAUUUCUAUUUAGGCCCUUUAAAAUUUUUAAAAUUUUAAAUUAAUAAACGUAAAAUUGUACUUUGGCCCCCCAAAAAAUUAUAAAACUUUGAUUUAAUCCUUUAAAAAUUAUAAAAAUAUUGGCUAUUAAAAUGGUGAAAUUACAUUUUUACUAUUGUAAAAAUUACAAUUUAAUUUCACCCCUAAAAAGAUUUUCUGGCUUCGCCCCUAAUAAAAUCAUUGGCAAAAGAUUAAAAUAAAAUUAUAUCAUAAAUAAUAAAAAAACUAAGAAAAUCCAAUCUAACAAAGAAAAUAACUUGAUGUCGAAAUUUAAUGCAUUUUAUUGGUUUCCAUUUUGAUAUUGCAAAAGAAGUUUGAAUUUUGAAGAGAGCCUAGUACGUGAGAGCAAAAGAAAAAAAAUGGUUUAUUAAUUUUUACGAAUACCGACAUAUUAUAUAUAUGAUUAAAAUUCCAGAAUAGAUUAAAAAUGUUGAAUUAAUGAUAAAAUUAAGUGUGAAAUAAUAACCACAAGUGUACUCUUUACUCACCAUCUCUGUUAAAAAUGUUGGAUGUUGUUUAGCAACCUUUGUUUGAUUUUCUUCAGCUCAACCACAACAUCUUUCAUAUCUUUUCUUUCUUCUGGUAACUCAGCUGAACAAUUCAAAGCCAACUCCAUGAUAGAUGAAAUACAAUUUGCUUUAACAACAAUGUACUCAUCCUCUCUUCUUAAUAAAUCAACAUCUGCAAUUUCUAUCGCUCCUUUAGGCAAUGAACUUUCCAUCCAAUGCCUUAUAGUCUCUUCUUCAACAAAAACAUUAUCAGUUGGCUUUUUCUUCGUGAAAGUUUCUAUAAGGACGAUCCCAUAACUAUAGACGUCAGAUUUUAUAGAAACAAUUCCUGCUGAUCCAAAUUCUGCAUUUCAAGUAUAAUUAGAACAUCAUUCAUCCUCAAUUAUUUCUAAAACGCUUAUUCAAAUAUAUAUCCACAUACACGUGAAACAAAAAUAUAAAAUGCAAAUUAGUAAAAUAAUCAUACAAAAAUAAAAAAGAAUUCACCUGGUGCCAUAUACCCAAUAGUUGCAAGAGUCAUGGUUUGCUUCAUUACUUCACCUUCUCCCAACAAUUUGGCAACGCCAAAAUCUCCAACAUGUGCAACCAUGUCUUCAUCUAGUAAAAUAUUGCUUGGUUUUAUGUCACAAUGAAUUAUAGGUGUUGGAUGUCCAUUGUGGAGGUGUUCUAUAGCUACCGCAACAUCUAUCAUUAUGUCGACCCUUUGUAUGAUAUUAAGGAAACAAUUUUCAGAAUGUAACCAUUUCUCAAGGUUUCCGUUAGAUAUGUAAUCAAGCACCAAGGCUUUGAAGUCAACACUUGAGCAGCAAGUAAUGACCUUCACAAUAUUACGAUGAACUAUAUUACACAUAGCAUCACAUUCAAUGUCAAAACUCCUAAAUGCUCCCUCUGUUUGCAAAUUGAAAACUUUUAUUGCAACUUCCAUUCCAUCUGAAAGCCUCCCUUUAUAUACAUAUCCAAAACUCCCUGAACCAAGCAUAUUGCUUUCCUCAAAUCCAUUAGUUGCUCGUGAAAGUUCAGCAUGUGAAAUUCUUCUCGGUGUUUUCAAAGACAACAAAUCAUCUUUAAUUGUUAGAGUUGUACUCCUUCUUUGGCAUCUUCUAUACAUAAUAGUUAAGACUAUUAGUACUACGACAAUACCAAUUGUUGGUAAACCAUACCUAAAAGCAUGCAAUAUAAUCAUUUGGGAGUUUUUGUGGAUGUCGUUUUUGCAGGGUGGGACUAGCAAUCUAGGUGGACCACAAAGUGCAUAAUUCUUCAUGAAUGAUGUGCUAGAAAAGUUUGAAAAACAUCCUUUGCUGGGAAUUUCCCCUUCAAGUCUAUUGAAAGACACAUUAAAAUACUUUAGAUAUAAAAGCUUUUCCAAAGAUUUGGGAAUGACUCCAGAGAGAUUGUUAUUGGAUAAAUCCAAGAAUUCCAAACUAAUCAACCCAUCAAAUGAUUCAGGGAUAUGACCAUGUAGUAUAUUAUUUGAUAAAUCUAAUGAAACCAAAGUUUGAAGACCCCCAAAUGUGGAUAAGAUAUCGCCCUUGAGCAAAUUCCUUGAUAAAUUUAGUUUCAGUAGACUCCUCAAAUUUCCAACAUCAAUAGCAUGUGAAUUGUGAAGAUGGUUUGAUGAUAAAUCUAUUUCUAAGAUAUCUUUAAGAUUCCACAAAGUUGAGGGUAUUGUAGAACUCAAUUUGUUGGAAUCUAAGCAAAGAUAUCUCAGAGCAGAAAUAUUACCUAAACAAGAGGGUAUGGACCCAUGCAGCUUAUUCAACCCUAAACACAUCUCGUAUAGUCUCUCCAAACCACAGAGGCUUUCUGAGAUCGGCCCUCCUAGUUUAUUAUUGUAAAAAGUUAGACUUUGGAGAUUUCUCAUUCCUCCUAUUGAUGCUGGAAUCAAUCCACUUAAUUUAUUAUAGCCAAGUUGUAAAAGGAAUAGGUUGGUUAAGUUACCUAUUUCCAUAGGAAUAAUGCCUUGAAGCUCACACUUUUUGGCAGAAAAGAAUUGAAGGGAUUUUGAUAGGUUCCCGAUAUAAGUAGGAAGAACGCCACUGAAUGGAUUUCCUGAUACAUCUAUUCUUCUCAAAUUCCUACAAUUCGUCAAAGAAGAAAGAAAGCUCCACUCAUGAUCAGUAGCAGAUCCUGUGAUCAAAUUAUUGUCAAAGAUUUGGAACACUUCAAGGUGUCUUAAGUUGCCAAGCGUUUUAGGGAUUGGGCCAGAGAAUGAGUUACGUGCCAAGUCUAUAAUCUGAAGCAUGGAAGCAUUGGAGAUAGAGUUGGGAAUGUUUCCGGUAAGUUUAUUUCUCCACAAUAAAAGAAUCUGAAGCUUUGGAGCAUUGGUGAUGGGUGGUAAAUUACCUGUAAAAUAGCAUCUUUUAGAAAACAUAUUCAUUGAAUACCAAAUUCACAAAAUAUAUAAUACAUUAAAUAAAAACUGUAAAACUUUAAAUCAAUUAAGGAUAAAAUUUUUGCGUGAUGAAAUCAAUUAAAAAGUUGAGACAUAAUAGGAAGUUUUGAGUAGUAAUUAGUCCUUGUGAUUUGAAUAGACAAAACAUAUAAAACACUAAUAAUUUUUUAAAAUAUUGUAAAACUUGAAAUAAAAUAAAAUAAAAGUUUGGCAUGAGAAUGUGGCAUCUAAUCAAUCUUAAAAAUGAGACUGACACUGGAUAAUAAUUAGUUAUGAUUUGGGAAACAAAAAUGUUAAAGCCAUUGUUUUUAAUGUAAACUGGUAUGAUUUUUAUCUAUUGGGAUAAUUAUUUAUUUUUAUUAAAUUAUAAUGUAAAAUUUAAAGAUUACUAUUUGCUCAAAAUUUUUGUAUUGUUCAUAUAUUUGAAAUUUAAUCUUUAUAUUUUUUAUUUUCUGUGAUUUAGUCUCUACUUUUUGAAUUGAAAAUUUUAGGUUCAUUUAUUAACAUUGUUAAAAGGUUUUUGAGAUAGUAUGGCAUUUUGAAAAAUAAAAUAAGCUUGAUAUCUCUGUUUUUAAUUAUUCCAAAUAUUGUUUUAUUAUUUCAAGAUAAAUUAUUUGUGUCUAGACCAAUUUCUUAAGAACUAUUGUUGCAUGUUUAAUUAUUUUAAAGAAUUGUCGAUUGAGUCUUAGAUUAAUUGGCAUGUGCAUUGUUGCUAAUGUAGGAGAAUGUGAGUUCAAGUAUGCUGAAGUGCAUUAUCCUCCUAUUUAUGAAUUGGGGAGUUGAUAAAGUACUAAAUUUUGAUAUAUUUUAAAAUAUUAAAAAUUUAUUAAAAUAUUUUUAUAAAAAUUGAUUGUACCACAAUAUACAAUUUUAAUAUCAAAAUUUUAAUUUUUUUAAAAAUAUUAGCGAAUAUAUACUUUAAAGUUACACAAUUUUUACUAGUUUUUAACUUUAUUUUUUAAAUUUUUAUCGUCUUUUAUAAUUUCUAAUAUUUUUUUUAUAAUUUUUUACAAUAUUUAACAAUUUCUAACAAUUUUUAAUAAUUUUAUUAUUUAUUACAAAUUUAAAAAUUAACAAAUUUUUAUUUUUUUAAAACAAUUAUAUAUUUAUAAUGUAGUUAUUUUUUUAUAAUUUUAUUAAAAUUUUUAAAGACUUUUUUGGUUUUUUUUUCUAGAUGAUGAUGCCAUCAUGAUGUCAUCAUAUGCCACAUGGCAAUUUAUGAUUAGUUGGAUAUCUCAAUCUAUUUUUUUAACGUCCAAUGGACUAAACCAAGAACACCUGAUAAUGUUAGAGACUACACUAGGAAUGUUUGAUAAUAUUAAGUAUGAAAGUGGGCAAAAAAACAUUAAGGAUUAAAAAAAAGAAAAAAAAAAGAGCAAUAUGCUGUAGGGAAUAAACUGUGCAUUAAGCCAUUAAAAAUAUAUGUAUAAUAAAUAUAAAUGCAUGGAUUUUGAGAAACUUUUGAACUGAUAAUUAUAUAGUCUUUCUUGUUUACUAUAUUAUUGAAUUUGUUAUUUUAAAUAUUUUUUAUUACUUUUAAGAUUUAUCAUAUGUAUGGAUAAGAAUUUUGGUUUUACUAAAAUAUUUGGUUAAAUAAAUUCACUUUAUAAGAAAAUUUAGCAUCCUUAUAAAUAACAAUUUUGAUUCUAUUAAAAAUAUUAUUUUAAAAAUUAUAUAAUAAAAAUUUAAAAUUUAUAUUGAAUUACUUUAUACUUCAAUUAUUAUUAGAAACUUUAUCAUACACAUACGUGUAUGAGAAUCACAUAUUUAGAACAUAAAUUUGUGUUUUAAAAUAACUUAUGAUAAAUAAUGAAAUGUAUAAUUUGAAACUAUUUAAUAAUAACACAUGGCAUAUAAAUCUUAUUGUUUAAAGUUUAAUGGAAAUUAAAAAAAUUAAAAAUAAAUCAAUUCAUAUAAAUCUUAUUGUUUUUUAUCAUAUUAAAAUGAUAAAAGUAUAUGACAUAAAUAGAAGAAACAAAUUCAACACAAUGUUUUUGGAGUUUGGAAAAAAUUAAAGUGAAAAACAUACCUUCUAAAUUGUUGUUAAAUAGAUCUAUUUCUUCGAGCGUAGUUGAAUUAAAAAUACUUGAUGGAAUUUGACCUGCACACAUAGUAAAAAAAUUGAAGUGAAAAACAUAUCUUCUAAACUGUUCAACUAAAAAUACUUUUGUUAUCUAUUACAAAUCAAACUCUUUUGUGAAAAAAUUAUUACCAGAUAAUUCAUUCCAACCCAGGUAAAGCCUUUCAAGCUUGGGAAGAUAUUGACACAUAUCAUUAGGCAAACUACUUGAUAGGCUAUUGUUGGAGAGAUUAACGGUCUUCAGAGAAGAAAUGUUGAAGAUAGAAGUUGGAAUCUGACCUGUAAGGCCUUUAAUUGCUUGAAUAUUAAGCAUUUCCAAACUAAGAAGAUUACUGAUUUCCUUAGGAAUUUGACCUGCAGACAGUCGAAAAAUCAUUAUUUUUCAGCACUUGUUUUUCUUCAAAUUAACUAUUUUGCCUUGAAUGAAAUAAAAAUUUCUUCCUUUUGUUAUCUAUUACAAAUUAAACUCUUUUAUAAAAAAUACUUUAAAUUCAAGAAAUCAAGGAAAUUGAUUACCUUCUAGAUUAUUAAACCCCAAAUAUAAUUCCUGGAGUCGUGUCAGAUUUCCAAUACUUUUUGGAAUGAUCCCCCUCAAUUGAUUAUUGGACAACGACAAAUUUUUAAGGUUGCUGCAUUUGCCCAUACUUGAUGGAAUGUUACCAGAUAAUUCAUUCCAACUCAGGUAAAGCCCUUCAAGCUUGGGGAGAUGUUGACACGUAUCAUUAGGCAAACUACCUAAUAGGCUAUUGCUGGAGAGAUCAAUAAUCUUCAGAGAAAAAAUCUUGAAGAUGGAAGAUGGAACCUGACCAGAUAAUUGAUUGAAUCCCAAGUUCAAGAUCUCUAGAUUAGACAUGUUAACAAGUGUUUCAGGGAUUGUGCCUGUAAAGUUAUUGUUUUUCAUUUUCAGCCUUCGAACUCUCUGUAAGUUCCCAAGCCAUGAUGGAAUUUCCCCAUUCAGAUGGUUGUAGCUUAAUUGAAGGAUCCUCAAAUGAUGCAAUUGGCUCAAUUCUUUAGGGAGAUGGCCAUAGAAAUGGUUGCUACUCAAGUCGAGAGAGAGUAGAAAUGAAAGAUUUCCAAGGUGUGGAGGGAUAGUACCCCUAAGAUUCAUGCUUGUAAGAUUCAAAGCUAUAACUCUUUUAUGGAGGAUGCCACAAGAAACACCAAUCCAAUUGCAAACAGAGGUUGAGACCGUCCAAUUGUUUGGCAAGACAUUUUGAGGACCGGCGAUGCGAUCCUUAAACUCGAGAAGUGCAAACUGGUCGAAGUUGAGAUUCCUGACUGUCAUAGCCAAGCAAAGUACGGAACAUGGUAUGAAUAAAGCUAAAAGAAGAUGAAAGCAAGUGUUGUAGUUCAUGAUUGCAAGACGGAAUAAGCCAAGAAAAUAAAAAAAAAGUAGGAAAAGGGAAGUUGAGUUGAUAAAAUAGUUUGGAUGAUGAAGAAAAGCCCAGACAGCAUGCUUUAAUAUGUUUCAACCCUCGCACACUUGAUAAACUUGAUAAAAAUAUUUUGAUCUAAUAAAUGUAAAAAACUUUUUAAACAAAAUAAGGUUGAAAUAAUCUAUUUGUCCUUAUACUUUGAUAAAAUUUGAGAUUUAGUCCUUAUACUUAAAAGGUUAAAAAUAAAGUCUUCUUGUUUUUAUUUAAAAAUCUUAGUCCUAACGUUAAUUUUUUUUGUCAAAAUUUGUCAACUUUACAUAUUAAUUAGGUUUCCCUUAUAUGUCGUGAUAUAUGACUAACACAAAAUAAGCAAGUUGAUAAAUUCUGACAAAAAAUACCAAAGAUGAUAAUAAUUGAAUUAAAAUUUUUAAAUUGAAUUUAUAACCUUUAACGUAUAAGGAAUGGAUAUCAAAUGUUUAUAGGAAUAAAGGGACUAACAGCAUAUUUUAACCAUAAAAAAAUAUGAGUGAUUAGAAUGAAUCUAAAAUUUUAUAGAAAUAAAAGAGACUAACAACAUAGUUAUAACUUUGAGAUCUCCUUCGAUCAUCCUUUUUCUACGUGGAAAAAGAAAAUUAAUUAGCAUCUAAAGUUUCAAGUAAUGAAACCUUGAAAAGAAAAGGUGAAAGUGAUUUAUCAAACAAUAAUAGUCUAACUUAUAAUAUAUUUAAUUACAUUUAGUAAUUUAUCAAUCAAAACUUAAUUAACAUCCAUCAAUACUUCAUACAUAAGUAAAUUUACCAUUUAACUCAGAUUUAACUUUGCAAGUAAACUUAAAGUUUUAUUUAAUUUUGUCACUAAAUUUGAUUUGUUCAAUAUAGAUUUUGGUGACUUAAAACAAAAUUAAUAAAAAAAAUUAUUUUUUCAGAUAUGUUUUUAAUAUUUAAUAAUAAGUUAAUUUAUAAAAUAUACUUUCAUUGGACACAGGCAUCCAAGGCGGUGAACCACUGAUCAAAUUAAUUCAGAGAUACCUAAAUUUGCUUUCAUCAAUUAAUUAAGAAAUUAAAUUUUUAAAAAAAAUUGUUGAGACCUCAUGAUUAUCUUUUAUAAUUUCAGUCUUAUCAACUAUUUUGAAAACAACAAAACGUCUUACACCAAAACCUAAAAAAUAAAAACGUCGACAUUAAAUUUGUUGGUAUGCAAUCAAUUUUAAGAUGGUUUUUGGAGUUAUAUAUCACUUUAGCAUUGACUUACUUUUCUACAGUUAGUCUUCUCCAACAAGUUAAAUAUUUCAAUUUUAACAACAUUGAAAGGUUUUGGCGUAGAGUCGAGCAAAACUCAAUAGAAACAGAUGAUAUAGGUUGAGUUGGCUCGGCCAAGUCGAGUCGACUUGUUCAAAUUAGUUAAAUUAGUAAAUUUUAGGGUGCAGUUAGAAUUUUUUAUUUUGAGAUGCUAAGAUGAAAAACUUUGAGUUGCUAAAACAAAAAUUUUGUAUUUAAAAAGGCAUAAAUUAAAUUAUUAAGUUUUUCAAGUUUCCAUUUAAUCAAAGGUUAAAAAGGACUAAAUUGAAGCUUUUUAUUUUUAAGAAAGGCUGAAUGACAAAUUGCUCAAAGCCCAUGCCCCUAGCUAUACGCCCCUGUUAAAAUCAAUUUUAAAAUUAGUUAUAAUAGUUGAAGCGAAUUGAUUAUUGAGUAAUGAAACACAUCAUUCAACAAAAUAAACAAGUUGACAAAUUUUGACAAAAAAUAUCAAAGGUGAUAAUAAUUAAAUUAAAAAUUUAAAUUGAAAAAAUAAGGAAUUGAAUUUAUAACUUUUAAAGUAUAAAGAAUGAAUUUAUAACUAACAUAUUUUAACCACAUAAUAAAAGUAGUUAUGGAGAGUAUCAUGUAAAAUAAUGACCUGAAUGAAAUAAGAAUAGAAAAGAAAGAGUAGCCAUUUUAUGAAAUUUAUAAUUCCAACUGUGAAUAAAAUAUAAAUUUUAUGAAUGUGGACAAGACAUUUUAUUUAACUUUUUUUAAAGUCAUUUUGUUUGUUUCCUAACCACCAUGAAAUUACUUGUCACAAUUCAUCUUUUUAAAUGAGAAACAUUUUCCACAAUUUGCUAUCACUUUAACAUACACUAACUUUUCUAUGAUUAGUCUUUGGUUUGCUUUGGGUGCAAUCUUCCAACUAGCCUUAUCAGUGGUUUGACUUUCCAACAUUUAGUGUAUCACGAGUUUUGUUUUCUUUAAAAAAUAUUUUUGUGGAUAUUAGGAGAUAAUGACAAUUAUUUUACUGUGAAAUUUUAAUAAAACUGAAAGAUUAGUAAUUUAUUUUAAGAGAUCACAAUUAAACAUUAGGUUUCUAAUUUUUUAAUUUUAAAUUUUUUUGACAAUUGCAUAAUUAAUAAGGUACCAAUUUUGAGCAUUGUAGGAAUGCUAUAACCUUCCCUACGCAUAAUCGCCUCUUGAGCAUGAUGGAUCCUAGACCUUAUCCUCUAUUCUCGUAUCACAAAUUGCUUUGAGUGUGAGUUCGAACAAUCACAUAUUAAGCACAAAACCAGAAAUGAAUUAUUACUUUCAAUGGCAAAGUAAUUCUCUCUCAAUAGAAACCAAUAAAAUUGUAAUUCCAAGAAAAUAAAAUUUAGUUUUUGAAAAUAUAUUCUCACUGCUUUCUAGCAGAAUAACAAUAUGUGAAACUCAUGUCAAUGUUAAUAGCUCUACCAGUACUAUCUAUUUAUAGGGAGAGACAUGAGAAUCCUGGUUGAAUUAGUAAAACACAAGUAAUAUUUAUUUCAUAGAAAACAAUAUUCUACUCUAAGUAGAUCAAGUUUGGAUGACGCAUGGAUCGAAGCUCAAUCUAGGAGAAAAAAAUAAAGGAAUUUUCUCUGUAACGAAAAUCUGAGAUUGUACUAUUUUCGAAGUUAUAAAUAAAAUUAUACGCCAAAUUUCAAGUCAAUUUUCAACUCAAAUUUUAUAUAUACAAAUUUCUAAUACACUUGGUGGGACAUUCUUUGACUUUUAUCUAUUCUCUCAAAAAGUUAAAGUUCAAAGUUGCAUUAAACUCAAAGAAGAUAAUCACUAGUAAACCAGCUCACAAGCCUGCUCAAGCUAAUCCUACAACUCUUUCCACUUCAUCAUCAAACACCAAUGUUCUUGCUUAUCCUUAUGGAAUUAAACAAAAGACAAAAGCUCUUUAAGAGUUAUUUGAAAAGACAAAAGAUUCAGAUGUGUUGAGAUGGAAAGUGACAAUACAAUGUUGAUUGAAACUAUUCGUAAUGGGUUGGCUACAAUAACUAGUGUUGCUGAAGUAAGACAGAUUCACCAUUGGUGUUCCAAAAAUUGGGAAGUCAAACUUCGACAUAUUUAGCAGAAUGCCAAUAAAGUUGUUGAUUGCAUAGCUAAGGCAAAUGGAGGCGUAAUUGAGCAGCUGGUUAUCUUGGAAGAUCCUCCGAAUUAUGUGAGAUGCUAGCUUGAAGAAGAUAUUAGACAAUCACUGGUGACUGAUGAUAAUUUUCAUUUAGACUGAUGAGCGCUUAAUUUUCUAAGCUUAUGUUCAACAAAAAAAAAAAAUUAAAUGUCUAAAUUGUAAUAGAGUUAACAUUAAGUGUUUAAAAAAUAUCUUAAAAAUUAUUUUUUCCAAUUGCAGUUCAAUUCCACAAAUAUCGAUGAUGAACCCGGACAUAAAAGUUACAAAAAAAAAACACAUCUCUUAUCAAACCAGCAAUCCAUGUCUAAACUUAAAUUAACAAAAUUCGCCACGCAACCCGGUACACUAUUAUAUAUAUAUACUAGAUUUAUUCUAGAUGCACAUGUUUUAUUAUAUUUAAAAAUUAAAAUAUAUGGUUGACUAAGUUUUAGUUGAGUUAGUAUUGGUAUUAUUGUCAUUGUUGGAAAAUGUGAGUUUAACCGUGCUCAAAUGUGUUUUAUCCUCCAAUUCAAGGGUUAGGAAAAGGUUAUUAAUAAUUAAAUUAUACCAACUUUUAUGAUAUUAAAAAAAGGAUUUAUAAAUAAUAUAAGGAAAAGAAAAAAAAAAAAGAGAAACAUAUUCAUAUUGAUGGGCUCUUUCAAUAUUAGACUUUUUCUUUCUAUCACAAGUAAAAAUAUCAAAGGUGAUAAUAAUUAAAUUAAAAAAUUUAAAUUAAAAAAAUGGGGAUUGAAUUUGUAACUUUUAAAGUAUAAAGAAUGAAUUUAUAACUAACAACAUUUUUUAACCACAUAAUAAAAGUAGUUAUGGUAAAAUAAUGACCUGAAUAACUUUAAACGUCUCAUCCUUGCAAAAAUGAAAUAAUAGAAAAGAAAUAAGUGUUGGGUGUAGUGACAAUGUACAUUAUACUUCUAAGGGGAGAUCAGGGUUUUAGACAAGGGAAGAAUUUUAAACCUACUUUUUUUCUCUAGAACUCAACACAAACCUCAAAUUUAUCUUUUUAAAAGAAUUUUAAAAUAUCUAUAUAAAAGGUGAUUUUUUUACCAAUCACACUUAACAAAAUUUUAAAAUUUCUUUUUUUGAAAUUUAAAGUGAUCUAAAAACAUAUUUUUAAGUGUUUUAGACCAUCCAGUGCUGAUUUCUUUAUUAAUUUGAUUUGUUCAAUAUAGAUUUUGGUGACUUAAAACAAAAUUAAUAAAAAAUUAUUUUUUCAGAUAUCUUUUUAAUGUUUAAUAAUUAACUUACAUAAAAUAUGUGUCUAAGGCGGUGAACCACUGAUCAAAUUAAUUUAGAGAUACCUAAAUUUGCUUUCAUCAAUUAAGAAAUUAAAAAAAAAAUUGUUGAGACCUCAUGAUUAUCUUUUAUAAUUUCAGGCUGAUCAACUAUUUUGAAAACAACAAAAACGUCUUACACCAAAAACUAAAAAAUAAAAACGUCGACAUUAAAUUUGUUGGUAUGCAAUCAACUUUAAGAUGGUUUUUGGAGUUAUAUAUCACAUUAGCAUAAUUGACUCACUUUUCUACAGUUAGUCUUCUCCAACAAGUUAAACAUUUCAAUUUUAACAACAUUGACAGUCUUUAGGGUAGGGUCGAGCAAAACUCAAUAGAAACAGAUGAUAUAGGUUGAGUUGGCUCGGCCAAGUAAUUUAUUUUUAAAACAAGUAAUUUAUUUUAAGAGAUCACAAUUAAACAUUAGAUUUCCAAUUUUUUUAAUUUUAAAUUUUUCUGACAAUUGCAUAAUUAAUAAGGUACAAAUUUUGAGCGUUGUAGGAAUGCUAUAACCUUCCCUACGCAUGAUGGAUCCUAGACCUUCUCCUCUAUUCUCAUACUACAAAUUGCUUCGAGUGUGGGUUCGAACAAUCACAAAUUAAACACAAAACCAUAAUUAUUAUUUUCAAUAGAAAAGUAAUUCUCUCUCAAUAGAAACCAAUAGAAUUGUAAUUCCUAGAAAAAUAAAAUUUAUUUUUUGAAAAUAUCUUCUCACUACUCUCUAGCAGAAUAACAAUAUGUGAAACUUAUGUCUUGUUUUAAUAGCUCUAUCGGUACUAUCGAUUUAUAGGGAGAGACACGAGAAUCCUGGUUGAAUUAGUAAAACACAAAUAAUAUUUAUUUCAUAGAAAAAAAUAUUCUACCCUAAGUAGAUCAAGUUUGGAUGACGCAUGGAUCGAAGCUCAAUCUUGGAGAAAAAAAAUAAAGGAAUUUUCUUUGUAAAGAAAAUAUGAGAUUGUACUUUUUUCGAUGUUAUAAAUAAAAUUAUACGCCAAAUUUUCAAGUCAAUUUUCAACUCAAAUUUUGUAUGUACAAAUUUCUAAUACACUUGGUGGGACAUUCUUUGACUUUUAUAUAUUCUCUCAAAAAGUUAAAGUUCAAAGUUGCAUUAAACCCAAAGAAGAUAAUCAUUUGUAAACCAGCUCACAAGCCUGCUUAAGCUAAUCCUACAACUCGUUCCACUUCAUCAUCAAACACCAAUGUUCUUGCUUAUCCUUAUGGAAUUAAACAAAAGACAAAAGCUCUUUAAGAGUUAUUUGAACAGACUUCUUUAACGGUAAAUUACAAUCCACUCUAUGAUGCUUCUUCGCCCAACUCAUGAAUUAAAAGAAGUUUCUACUCAUGGAUCAAGUGUAGCCCGCCAGUUAUCAUUAAGGAGAAAACAGAGUCAAUCAAGUGAAAAUUAUAUUCCAACAUCUCCCCAGAACCAAAUUUCAGAGUGAUGAAUGUCAUGACAACUGACACUACAUUCUUAGAAGAAUAAGUAGAUCUCUAGCAAAAACGAUGGAGAGUCUUACUACAAGCAUAAAAGGAAUGGAUGAUCAAACUGAACAUCUUAGUGGAAGUAACCAAACCUUUUCCAGCGAAACUCAACAUCCUCUUCACAAAGUUGUUGGAAUCAAAAUUGUUGAAGGACUUUAAAGUGUUUCUUUAGAUCAACUCAAGGAGCUUAUUAAAGAAACCAUUAAAGAUCAAGUCAAAAGUGUUGCUUCGCCUUCAUAUACAUACUCGAAGUCAUACAUUUGGAGGAUUUAUCAUUUGAAUAUGCCUGAACAUUAUCCACCUCUAAUACGGCUGUCUGAAUAUAUUCCGAGAAAACACAACAAGAGAAGGGUGAUAGUCUAAUAGAGGAGUACACGACUUUGCUUCAUUGCCCGAGGAUUCAAGUUGACAAAGCUUAUUCAAAAGUCGUCAACGUCUUGACCCUUUUUAAAGAAUCUAACGAGAAUUACGAGGAUAAGUGAGCAGUGAGUCGUAGCCUGGCUCAAGCAAAAAGGAGCUAGUAGAGGCACCUAUUGGAAAAUUCAUGAUAUUUAUCUUAACAUCCGGAUGAAGAAAAGGAUCGAUGUCUUCGCCUAGAGUAUGAGGGCAAAGCUGUAUAUAUAUUCGCUUUAUGUAAAGAGAAUUGUUUUCUAGUAAAGUUGUUCUAACAUAAUUGAAUCAGACUUAACGUCGUAUUCAUUCCAUUCAUCUGCAUUACAUUUCAUUGCAUGCAAAAUUUCACAAAAGGAUACUAAUUAAUCAAAAUUGUUACAGUUACCCUGGAAACUAACGAAAAUCCACCAACUAAAUAUCGCUACGGUAUCCGCUGCAAAACCAAAGAAAUGGAUCAAAGAUUAGAAAGAUUAGAACAAAUGCAAAAAGGUAUGCAAGAUCAGUUGCAAGCGCAACUACAAGAACAAUUAACGAAAGUACAACAGGAGAUGAGGGAUCAGAUACUAGAAUCUCAAAGAAGCAUGAUGAGCCAAUUAACGCAGUUACUAGCCGGAGGGCUUAAAAAAGGGAAAAGCUAAGUGGUCAACAUUGGGGAUGAUAAUGAAGACCUUGCCUAUCCCUCAAGUUUUACCCCGAUAAGUGUCCAGGCCCAACUAGACGCGCGUCUACAAAGGGCACCCGUUACUAUUAGACCCCAACAAUAUCAAACCGGUACCUCGGCACCAGUGAACUACCCAACAGGCUUAGGUUCCAAUCUGGGGGACAAUCCAACCAAUCCUGUAGUUCCUAAUUUAGACGAAAUGGUAGAAAUAAAAAAAAGCAAAGGUGGAACUGCCAAAAAAACUUGAAGAUCGGUAUAGGUGGUUAGAAGAAAAACUCAGAGCAAUGAAAAAUGAUGAUUACCAUUAUAGGGUUGACGCCAAGGAUCUGAGUUUUGUUCCAGAUCUAGUACUCCCACCAAAAUUCAAGACUUCAAAAUUUAAAAAGUAUAAUGAGACUAGUUGUCCUAAAGCUCACAUCACGAUGUUCUGCCGAAGAAUGACAGGAUACGUUAAUAAUGAUCAAUUGUUAAUUCAUUACUUCCAAGAUAGUUUGAUUGGGCCUACUGCCAAAUGGUACAACCAACUGAGCCGUGCUAACAUCCACUCAUGGAAGGACUUGGCACAAACUUUCAUGAAGUAAUACAGCCAUGUAACAGACAUGACACCUGACAGAAUUACACUGCAGAAUAUGGAAAAGAACCAAAGUGAGAGCUUCAGGCAAUAUGCCCAAAGAUGGAGAGAGGUAGCGACAUAAGUCUAGCCACCUUUUCUGGAGAAAGAAACCACGAUGCUUCUCAUCAACACUCUGAAAGCCCCAUUCAUUAACCAUAUGUUGGGAAGGGCUACCAUGAGCUUCUCAGAUAUAGUAAUGUCUGGCGAGUUUAUUGAAAACGCGAUGAGGAGUGGAAAGAUAGACGCGGGAGAAAGCGCCAAAAGAUCAACCCCGAAAAAAAUGAAAAUGAAGCGAAUAAUGUAAGAAAAGGGUAUUCCAAAUCGGUCAUUGUAGGUGAGCCGAGGGCCGUGACUACUAACUAUCAAGCCCUCUUCAGGCAAGAGUCUAACUCGAGGCAAAGCACUGAAAGACUCCAGUUUACACCCAUCCCAAUGACAUAUAGGGAGCUGUAUCGGAAUCUAUUUGAUGCACAUGUGGUAUCCCUAUUCUAUAUGAAACCCAUACAACCUCUAUUUUCGAAAUGGUAUGACGCAAAUGCUCAACGAGAAUACCACGCGGGAAUAAUAGGACACUCAAUUGAAAACUGCACUACAUUUAAAAAGUUAGUUGAAAGGUUUAUUAAGAUGGGCAUCGUGAAGUUUGACGAUCCAUCAUGACCUAAUUUGACAGGAAAUUCGUUACCUAGUCGUCAAGACCCAAGGGUAAACGCAAUAAUUGAGAAUGGAGGAAAGAGAACCAAAACCAACGUUGCAGAAGUAAAAACCCACUGAAAUGGGUUUUGAAACAAAUGAUAGACAUGGAAUUAAUAAUUCAGAAUUUAGAGGAGAUACCAAAAGAGAUGAGGAGCUACUGUGAGUUUCACGCUGAAGAGGGCCAUGAAAUCCAAGAGUGCGCUAAAUUCAAAGUUUUGGUGCAGAGCCUAAUGGAUAAUAAAGAGUUGGAAUUCCUUUAAGAAGUCAAAGGCCUGGAAGGAAUGUUAGGGAAUCUAAACAUUGACGCCGUAUCCAAAAAGGGAGCUGGGGAAGAGAAUUUAUCAGGCAUUUGCCUUUACACACCUGGGAGUGUUUUGACUAAAGGGACUGAGGAAGAGAUCCCUGGAUUUUUUAGACCUAAUUCGGAGUAAUGUCCAAAACACACUUGCUCUAAGCCUAGGAGAAAUAAGAAUCCUUUUGUGAGAUAGGCUUAUGUCCAACAUCUUUAUUUCAAUAAAAUGCAUCCUUGUUUAUCACUUCGAGCAAAUAUUCUUUUAUUGUUUCCAUUUCAUUCAUAAUCAUACCAUAUAAAUAAAUAUUCUCAGAUUCUUUUGUUCUUUGGAUCUUCCUUCAUCCCUAUAACAGGUCUCCAGAUAUCUAUGAUAUGAGUGACUCUGCUAUUGACUCAGAACCUCCUUUUGAGCAAAAUAUGUGUCCAGAGGAACCACAGGACUUUGAAGAUAACCGGGACUAUAACUUAUCUCCUAAUUUGUUAAGGAUGGUAGAACAAGAUGAGAAACAGAUCCUACCUUAUAAAGAAUCAAUAGAAUCCAUGGCCUUUCUCUAUAUAGGGCAUGGAUGUCAUUGAGUUGAUCUUGCCAAAAGCUUCUGGCAGUCAUCAAUUCAUCUUUAUGGUUGUCGAUUACUUCACUAACUGGGUGCAAGCUGCUUCAUAUGCUAAUGUCAAAAAGUCGACAGUCAGCAAAUUCUCAAAAAAAUCAUAUGUCGGUAUGGAAUGCCAAAAAGGAUCACAUCUGACAAUGCACUAACAACAGGGCGAUAAUAGAAGUUUGCAGUCUGUUCAAGAUUAACAUCAUAUCACCCUAAAAUGAAUGGUGUAGUGAGGGCAAAAAAACCUCUACCGGGGCAAUGCCUUUCUCUUUGGCUUAUCGUGGUUUUGCCCAUUGAAUUUGAGAUUCCUUCUCUUGGAGUUUUUUUGGAUCCAAUCCCGACUAAAGAGCAAGGUUCAAAGUUAUCUGUCAUGGUCAAAUGUACCAAAAACAAAUGAUACAAGCUCACCAAAAAGGUUCGCCCCAAAAAAUUCCAUGAGGGUGACCUGGUAUCGAAGAAGAUCCUUCUCAUACAAAAGGACUUUAGAAGAAAGCAGAUGCCAAAUCGGGAAAGACCUUAUCUGGAAGACCUUAUCUGGAAAAGCAUUGAUUUUGACCAGGAAUGAUAACAAGGGAUUGUCUAAUCCUAUGAGUUCAGAUUCAAUCAAAAAUAUUUCAUGAAAAUUAAUAAAAAAAUAGAAAAGAAAAGAAAAAUUAAAAAAAAGAAAGGCCAAGGUGAAAACCCGCAAAAGGUACCUUGAGACUAAAGGGAUUUUGAGUUGAAAACCCAAAAAAGGGCGGUUUAAAUUUUGAUCAAAGUUAAGGCAUGUGGUAGUCUUGUCCUCUCCGAAUUAACGAAAAGGAGGGAUGCUACAUCUUGGGGCAUCAACAAAGUCUUCUAGGACUUCUAAGCACGUAUCAAGUUCAAAGGGUCCUCAAGAAGUUUUGUAUAAAGAAGCUUAUAAUACCCAAUUUUCGCCCGGGCCCAUGCAGAUUAAAUAAACAAAAAAUAAAAACCAAAUAAAAUAAAAUAACAGUCCAAAAGUAAAAAAAAACACAGAAACAUUAGCCCAAUAAAAUCCAACCCAGCUAACCUAACCUAAAUUACCUAGAUACAUUAAGCCCAAUAAGUUAUAAGCCCAAAAUCAGUUACCCAAACCCAAACCCAAACCCAAAUAACCCAACACCAGCCCAAAUCAAAGCUGAAACCCUAGCAGUUUCUGGAACAGUCUAGGCACCGCAUCUCCCUCACGCAAUAUAUGUGCGCCUUUGACUCCUCUCACGUAUGUCGCACUAGAUUCACGCGCGCCUUCUCCAGCCUAUACCUGCAACAACCCCAAAACGAACAGAAACAAAUAGCAAGAAAAAAAUAAAAAUAGAGGAAACUAGAAUAACAGAGAAAAUAGAAAAUAUUAAAUAAUUUUUCUAUUUUUUUGGCUAUAUAAAGCCAUUCAAGACGUUUUAAAACGGAUCCGAUUUUUGAAAAAAAUCAAUAAAAAAAGAAUGAGCAUAUAGCAGAGAUUCGAAGGUGAUUUCAGUUUUUUUUUAUUUUUUUUCCUUUUUUCAUUAUUCAUGUGCUAAAAUGAAAGGAAAGAUGAAUAAAAGAAGGAUGAGCUUACCUGGUGGCCGAUCUUCCUUCUACUCCGUCGCAAUCGGAGUUGGAUGGAAGUUAAAGGCAUGAAACGGCGCACAGAGGGGAGGAGAUUAGUUUUUUAUUAGGGUUGAUUUGUGAAUAAUGAAUGGCUGCUAAUUUUAGGUCUCAGUUUACCUAAUAUGUGACGAAAGAAACGUCGUCGUUUAGGGCCUAUUUCAGUGGCCCUAAAACGACGCCAUUCAGCUGCCAUCAACCCGCACAUUAACCCGAUCCGGUUCCAGAUCUGUGUGUUUUAUAGCGCGUAGGAAAUUUGCGCGAUUGGUCCACCUCUUUUCUAAUGUAUUUAAAUCAAUUUUUUCAUUCCUUUCAAUUUUCCCCCAUAUUUUGCUUUUGUUUCAUUUUGACCCAAGUUGUACACAGCGUUUUGCUGGGAUGGGAAUUAUUUCCCACUUGGUCCCCGAAGUUAGUCGCGCAUUGCAUUCGGCCCCUCUGCUUUAUUGUAUUUUCUUUUUUUUCUUUUCAUUCUACUUUUAGUUUAAUUUAAUCCCUACUAUCUUAAUGUGCUUGAUUUCAUUUAAUUUAUUUAAUUAUUUAAUAUUACAUUAUUUUUUAUACAUUAAUUUUUUUAAUCUAAUAUUAUAUAAUGACUAAACUCAAUAUUUUUUAUCUUAUAUUAUUUUACGUUUUAUGUGUAUUAUUGUUUGAAGUUUUUUUUUCAAAUUUUAGAUUUUUUUUAAAUUUAUAAUGUAUUAUUAUUAAUAGUAUAAAUUUAUUACAUAUCAUUUUUUAGAUUUAUUAUGUAUUGUUGUUUUAAAAUUCAUUAUACAUUGUUAUUUUAAAUUUAUUGUGUAUCAUUACUUAAGUUAAUUGUUUUUAUUUUCUUUUAUGCAAAUUUGAUAUUUAUGGAUAUUUUCUUGAUUUUUUUAUAUUUCUCUUAAUUCAUUUUUUAUAUUUUUUUGUAUUUUUAUAUAAAGAUAUUUUAUAGAAUAUUAUUUUGUAUAUAUACAAUUUAUUUAUUUUAUAUAUAAUUUAUGCUAUAUGUAAACUUUUGUAUAUAUUAUUUAUUUUAAAGAUUUUGUAUGUAUACUUUAUUGAUUUACUAUUUUCUUUCUUUCAUGCCAUUUUUUAGUUAUUUCAAAACUUAUACAUUGGAUUUGCAUUUGUGUUAAUUUGCUUGCUUUAUAGGAUUUACUAGCUUUUAAAAAUGAAUGCUAGUAUUUGCAUAAUGUAUAAUAUGAGAUGGUUGCCCUUAUAUAUGUUGUAUUGUUUAUUUGUAUUUUAUUGAUUUUUCGUUGCUCAUUAGCUUAUAUUUAGCUUACGAAUUUUUCUUUCGCAAUGUACAUUGCCAUCCCAUUGCGUUUUAUUCAUCAAAAAGAUUAUAUUCUAUUUAAAUAUUAAAAUUGUUUUACUCAAAAGCUUUCAGGAUAAUACAAUACUCAAAAUUUGGGGUCUUCGAAAGAAUUGAACCCUAACGUAUUGGGUUCCAAUUUUUCUCGUUGAAUCUAAAUAACCGGAAAUAUUCUUUAAUCAAAACACAUAAAUAAAAAGCUCAUUCUCGGGAAUUCGAUACGUGUGUCCUAAUGCAUUGGAUAUAACAUGUUGUUUUCUCGAGAUGAGGAUUUUUCUAAAUAAAAGCAAUAUUUAGUGUUUGGGAAUUUUGAGAAAUUGAACCCUAACUUACUGGAUUCUGAUUUUUUCGUUUAACCCAAAUAACCAAAUAUUCUUCUCAAAAUGCAUAAGUUUCAAAAGUUAAAAGAUAAACUUAAUUUUGAAGAUUAAACUGUUGCACCCUAACUCACUGAGUGUGACAAUUUAUUCCUUCAAAAUAAGAGUGUCUUAUCAUCCAUUGCAGCUUAUUCAAAUUUUCCUUUCAAAGGAUAGUAUUUUAAAAUAUUUUCAAAUUUUCAACACUAAGAUGUUAAUCAAUCAAUUCGAUACCAAUUUUGGGCGUUACAAGGUUGCUAACCCUUCCUCGUGCUUAACCGACUCCCAAACCUAUUUUCUCAAAUUUCAUAGACCAAAAUUGUUAUUGUAAUAAAUCAAACUGUUUUAUUAAAAUCUCAAGGUGAUCCGAUCACACCUCGAAAAAAGAUUGGUGGUGACUCCAUGUUCAUUUUUAAAAGUCGAUCCCCAUUUUCAAAUAAAAGUGGUUUUGAUAGCUUAGCGACUCCACUUGGGAAACUUGAGAGUCAAGCCGUAAAAUUGAUUGUUUUUUGUCUUAUUGUUGAAAAUUGAAAUUUUGAUUUGAAAAAUUACGAUCCUAAUUACAUUUAUUUGUGGUAUGAUUGCUGUAAAUUGAGUUUUAUAUCUUGGCAUCAUGUUGCAUCAAGAAUGCUUAGUCUUACCUUUUAAGUGGGAGUGAGAAACUAGUCCUUCGUGAGGUUUUCACCUCCGUGCAGGAUAGCGGAUCACUUUCAGGAUACAUUCGUACCUAUGUCUUCAUGAGAUUUUCAUCUCUGUGCAGCCAUAGGGAAAUGUAUUCCCUUGAACCGAACUCGGUCCGCAUGAGCCUAUAAUGGGUGAGGAUCGAGGAAUCUGCUGGUUCGGGUACCUUUGCCCUAGAAGCCAAACCACAUAUAGUGAACCUUAGGAACUUGCCCUAGAUAGAACUAUGCCAAACCCCUAGAGGUCACCCGAGUAGGUACUCUAUUUAUUCUCUUGUUUACUUUUACUUUGUACUAACUGGUUUUUGUUUUGUUUUUAUUAUGAUUGCAUUACAUUUGCAUCUUAGAAAAGAGGUGUUGAUUCAAGUUUGAUUACUAAAUUAGAGAGCUUGUCAUGGAAAUCGAAUUUUUUGAUAAAGUGGAAGAUAAUACGGUUGCCUGAAUAUAUUCCGAGAAACACAAGAAGAGUGAUGGAGGAAUACAUGACUUUACUUCGUGGCCUGAGGUUUCAAGCUGAUUAUCCAAGAGCCUUCGACAUUUUAACUUCCUUAAAGAAGCUGAUGAGCAUUACGAGGAUAGGCAAACGAUGGAUUGCGACCAUGAUCAAGAAAAAGGAGUUAGUAGCGGCAUCCAUUGGAAAUUCGCGAGAUUUAUCUUAACAUCCAGAUGAAGAAAGAUCGAUGUUGUCUUUUGGAGUAUGAAGGCGGGGCCGUACAUGCAUCCGUUUUAUGUAAAAAAGUUUGUUUUCUAGUAAAGUUUUCUAAAUGUAAUUGAAUCAGAAUCAACAUCUCUUUAGGCAUUCAUUUCAUGCAUUUGCAUUACAUGAUAUCAUAUGCAUUAAAAUCCACUAAAAGAGUCUAAUUGAUUAAAAUUAUUUCAGUUAAUUUGGAAAACCAACACCCUUACGGUACCCAGGCACAGACUAGAGAAAUGGACCAAAGGUUGGAGAGAUUAGAGCAUAUGCAAAUACAAAUGCUAGAGCAAUUGACCAAAUUUCAACAGGAUAUGAAAGAUCAGAUGCUAGAAUUUCAAAGAAAUAUGAUGAGCCAGUUAACCCGGUUGCUAGCUGGAGAGUUAGAAAGAGGGAAGGACUCAGUCGUCCACUUUGGGGUUGGUAAUGAGGAUCUUGCCUAUUCCUUAGGUUUUACCCCGAUAGGUGUCCAGGUCCAGCCAGAUGAGCAUCCACAAGGGGCACUCCUUAAUAUCAGAUCCCAACAAUAUCAGACUGGUACAUCAACACCAGUGAAUUGCCUGACAGGCCCAAGAUCCAAUCUGAGGAACAAUUUAGCUAAUCCUGUUGCUCUGGAUAGUCCAGCAGAAAUAAAACAAGCGAGUGUAGAGUACCGAGAUACUAUAAAGGCCUCAAGGAAGAAUGGGAAUAAGGGGGAUAAUUCAGACAGAUAUAACAAGGGUCACUCAAAACUAAUCACUGUGGGCCGGCCAAAGAUAGAAACCACUAGCCAUCCGAGCCCUUUAAAGCGAGAAUCUUGCACGAAGACAUAUACAGAAAGGCCUCAGUUCACGCCUAUACCGAUGUCAUAUAGCGAGCUAUAUUAGAGCCUAUUUAAUGCACAUGUCAUUGCCCCUUUCUACUCAAAAUUUACAACCUCCAUAAAUGGUACGACACGAAUGCACAGUGGGACUACCAUGCAGGAAUUACAAGGCAUUCCAUACUUAUACAUUGGAUUACGAAUAUUAUUUUUAUAUAUUUUUUAUAUAUAUUUUUUGUAUUUUUAUAUAAAGAUAUUUAAUAGAAUAUUAUUUUGUAUAUAUACAAUUUAUUUAUUUUAUAUAUAAUUUAUGCUAUAUGUAAAUUUUUGUAUAUAUUAUUUAUUUUAAAGAUUUCGUAUGUAUACUUUAUUGAUUUACUAUUUUCUUUCUUUCAUGCCAUUUUUUAGUUAUUUCAAAACUUAUAAAUUGGAUUUGCGUUUGUGUUAAUUUGCUUGCUUUUUAAGUUUUAGUAGCUUUUAAAAAUGAAUGUUAGUAUUUGCAUAAUGUAUAAUAUGAGAUGGUUGCCCUUAUAUAUGUUGUAUUGUUUAUUUGUAUUUUAUUGAUUCUUCAUUGCUCAUUAGCUUAUAUUUAGCUUACGAAUUUUUCUUUCGCAAUGUACAUUGUCAUCCCAUUGCAUUUUAUUCGUCAAAAAGAUUAUAUUCUAUUUAAAUAUUAAAAUCGUUUUACUCAAAAGCUUUCAGGAUAAUACAAUACUCAAAAUUUGGGGUCUUCGAAAGAAUUGAACCCUAAUGUAUUGGGUUCCAAUUUCCUCAUUAAAUCUAAAUAACCGGGAAUAUUCUUUAAUCAAAACACAUAAAUAAAAAGCUCAUUCUCGGAAAUUCGAUAUGUGUGUCCUAACGCAUUGGAUAUAACAUGUUUUUUUCUCGAGAUGAAGAUUUUUCUAAAUAAAAGCAAUAUUUGGUGUUUGGGAAUUUCGAGAAAUUGAACCCUAACUUACUGAAUUCUGAUUUUUUUGUUUAACCCAAAUAACCAAAUAUUCUUCUCAAAAUGCAUAAGUUUCAAAAGUUAAAAGAUAAACUUAAUUUUGAAGAUUAAACUGUUGCACCCUAACUCACUAAGUGUGACAAUUUAUUCCUUCAAAAUAAGAGUGUCUUAUCAUCCAUUGCAGUUUAUUCAAAUGUUCUUUUCAAAGGAUCGUAUUUUAAAAUCUUUUCAAAUUUUCAACACUAAGAUGUUAAUCAAUCAAUUCGGUACCAAUUUUGGGCAUUACGAGGGUGCUAACCCUUCCUCGUGUGUAACCGACUCCCGAACCUAUUUUGUCAAAUUUCGUAGACAAAAAUCGUUAUUUUAAUAAAUCAAAAUGUUUUAUUAAAAUCUCAAGGUGAUCUGAUCACACCUUGAUAAAAGAUUGGUGGCAACUCCAUUUUCAUUUUUAAAAGUCGAUCCCCGUUUUCAAAUGAAAGUGGUUUCGACAAAGCUUAUGCUACGAUAUCUGGGGCACCUAUUUUCAUCUUAUUCAUUUCAUAUCUUAGCAAAAUUUGAUAUCUUGAUUAAUUUAUUCAUUUCGAGCUUUGCUCUCAAUAAAAUUUCAUCUUGUCUAUUGUGAUAAUCUUUUUCAAGCAUUUUUCAUUAAAAUAAUGAUUAAUGGACUAACAAUACUUAAGGAAAAGGAGUUCUGAAUAUUACUCCAAAUGCUUCUAAAUAGUACGAGGACCUGAAAUAGAACUAUUAUUUAGAACUAACCAAACCUAAGGGUUGGAAACAUUUGAGAAAGAAUAGCCUAAAUUAUGGCUAUUUCUUUGAGUUUUCUAUAAAAAAUACCAGCUGAGUAAGAAGGUAGCGUAUACGUCAGUGAUAAAACCUUGAUGAAGAACGAGCAAUGUCAACCCAAGCAUUAAAAGGAGAUCAUUCUCAAAAAAAGAAAAAGAAAAAAAAUGACAUUCUGUAUCCAUGCAAAUAUUAUUUAGGAGUAUUUGAUUCAUUCUGAUUAUGACAUCCUAAUCACUUGGCAUAAAUAGGCCCGUGAAAUGGACUCUACAAGUCAUGUCACCCAAAGAAUGGUGUAACAGGUUAAUGAAGCCGCUAAUCCUAUACCCCUGAAGUUGCAAUGGGAUGGAUUGAAGAUCAUAUUAAACCUUAUCUCCCUGAAGUUGCAAUGGAACGGGUUGAAGUUACUAGUCUUAUCUCCCUGAAGUUGUAGUGGAGUAGACUGAAGAUAGAGAAUCUUAUUUCCCUGAAGUUGUAGUGGAACGAAUUGAAGUUAUAAAUUACAGAUCUUAUCUCUCUAAAAUUGCAGUAGAGCAGAUCAUAGCAAACCUUAUCUCCUUGAAGUUGUAGUGGAGCAGACUGAAGAUAGCGAAUCUUAUUUCCCUGAAGUUGUAGUGGAACGGAUUGAAGCUAUAAAUUGCAGAACUUAUCUAUAUGAAGUUGCAGUAGAGCAGAUCAUAUUUUAUCUCCUUGAAGUUGCAGUGGAACAGGUUAAAAAUAAGCCAAUCUUAUCUCUUUAAAGUUGCAGUGGAGCAUAUUGAAGAUAGGCUACAAAUCUUAUCUCUCUGAAGUUGCAGUGGAGCAGAUUAAAGCCACAAACCUUAUCUCCCUGAAGUUGCAGUGGAGCAGAUUAAAGCCACAAACCUUAUCUCCCUGAAGUUGUAGUGGAGCAGAUUAAAGCCACAAACCUUAUCUCCCUGAAGUUGCAGUGGAACAAGUUAAAAAUAACCAAUCUUAUCUCCCUGAAGUUGUAGUGGAGAAGAUUGAAGACAUGCUACAAAUCUUAUCUCCUUAAAGUUGCAGUGGAGUAGAUUAAAGCCACAAACCUUAUCUCCCUAGAGUUGCAGUGAAACAGGUUGAAGAUAGCAAUCUUAUCUCCCUGAAGUUGCAGUGGAGUAGAUUGAAGCCAUUAAUCCUAUCUCCCUGAAAUUGCAGUGGAGUGGAUUAAAACGAUGAAUCCUAUACCCUAUACCUCUGAGGUUGCAAUAGGUCGGAUAAAAUCUACCAUAGCAAGUCUUAUCUCCCUAAAGUUACAGUUAAGCAGACUCAAACUGCGAGUCUCAUCUCCCUGAAGUGGCAGUGGGUUAGAACAAGGUUACUUGAAGAAGAUGAGCACCAAGAGAUCGAGAUUCGACAAGACCAAACAAAAUUGGUCUUUCUUAAAAGUCUUUGCUCCGUUCUCAUUACACGACAACGAGCAAAGAUGGGCAGCUAUAGCAGGCCCAAUUUGCCCAAGCCCAGAACCAAAUAAAUAAAACCAAAAAAUAAAAGAGUCCAAGUCCAAAUUAUUACAAACACAAAUUAAAAACCCUAGUGGCCCAACAAACCCAAAGCCUAAACAUCUUUUCAGAAAAAAAGAAACCCUAGGCUUGCCCUUCAACCGCCGCUCCUCCCACGCACGCCACCACUGCCACACGCCAUCCUCCACGCGCCUAGUACCUGCAAACAAGAUAAAAAAGCACAACAGACACAGAGAAAAAAAUAGUAGCAAAAAGAGUUGUAUUUUUUGGCUAUAAAAGCCAUGAUUCAUCAAUGUAUUUUUUACAGACAUAAAAUCAAUACAAAAAACGAGCAAUCAGAAACAAAAUUUGAAAAAAAGGUGGUUCUUUUGUUUACUUAUUUUUCUUCUUUUCUACUGAUAUUUCUACUAGUUUUUAAGGAAAAUAAAAAAGAAAGGAGUCGAAUCUUACCUUUUUCUCAUAUUUUCACCGCCGAAAAUGGCUGAGGUCUAUCCAUUCUAAUGAAAAUCGAUAAUUUUUUGGGCUCAUGGAGUAGAAGAGCCAAAAAUGGCCUUUUUGGAUUUUUUGGCCACCGUGGACGGCGAUGCCGUCGCCGGUGACUGGUGUCCGGCACGAUGGCCGACGACCGGGACCAUGGCCGGACUUGAAGGGCUUUAAGAGAAAAAGAAGGGAUUUCAAAAUUUCAUUUAAAAACUCAAGCAGAAUGAAGGAUUUAAAUUUUUUUUUGUUUAUAUAGCAAGGCCAAACGACGUCGUUUUGGCCAGUGAGCAUAGGUUCCAAAACGGCGUCGUUUUGGCCUAACCUGAUUUUUGACCUGCCCCUGUUAGAGGAUCCGCGUGUUUUUUUGCAAAAUGGGUUAUUUACACGCUGGUCCCUUCCGUUUUUAUGGCCUAUUGCGAUUUGGUCCCAUUUUUUUCUAUUUUAAAUUUCCCCUCAUAAUUUUAUUUUUAUUUCAUUCAGGUCCUUUACAGAAUGGCGCGAUUAGAGGACCUGGGAUAAUUUCCCAGUUAGUCCUGUUUCUUUUGCGCGCAUUCCAGUUGGGGCCCUAUUUGCCACUUCUAUUUUAAUUUAUUAUGAUUUAUGCCCUUAAUUUUGUUUUGAUUUCAAUUUGAACCUAAUUUGUUUAGAUUCAUUAUCUAUUUAUUACCAUUAUUUGUUUGCAUUUUUUUAUAUACCAUAAUUUAAUAAUAAUAAAAAACAUUAACAUUUAUAUAUUUGUUUGAUUCUUUCCUUGUUUAUUUAUAUAAUAUUUGAAUUCAAACCUUAUUCAUAUUUGACUUAUCAAUUUAUCAUUUUUUUAAACAUUUAAAUUUAAUAUUAUUUUAUCUAUUUGUUCAUUUUUUUUACUUUUAAAAUAAUUAAAUUUAAUAUUAUGUAUUAUUUCAAAUUUUUUAACAUAUGUAUUUAUUUGCACAAUUUCAACCCUUAAUCAAAUUUUCAUUUAUCUUAUAUCUUUUUCGUGUCAUCAUUUUGUUAUUACUCCAAUCAUGUCAUGAGCCGUGUUUAAACAUUUUUCUUUACACUAGAAUCCAAAAAAAUAAAUAUGUAUAGUUUUAAAUAUUACAUGUGUAUUUAUUCAAAGACUUUUGGGAAUAAAGGUAAUAUUUCGUGUUUUGAGCUUCGAGAAAUUGUGCCCUAACUCACGGGGUUUCAAUUCUCUCGUUGAACUCAAAUAACCGAUUAUCCUUUAAAAUUAAAAUAACAAAAUUUAAAAUAAAAAAAGACAAGCUCAUUCUCAAAGGUUCAAGGUGUUGUGUCCUAACUUACGGGAUGUAAUAUUUUGCUACUUCGGGACGAGAAAGUCUUAAACGCGCGUUUUGACUUAUCCAAGCUAUUUUAACUAAAAAUAACAUUAAUAAAAAAGGAUCGUAUUUUCAAUUCUUUCCAAGUUUUCAACUUUCGACAUUAAGACAUUGAUUAAUCAAUUAGGUACCAAUUUUGGGCGUUACGAGGGUGCUAAUCCUUCCUUGUACGUAAUCGACUCCUGAACUCAUUGUUCUGAAUCUCGUAGACCAAAAUUGUUAUUUUAAUAAAUUAAAUCAUUACAAGGUGACCGAUCACACCUCAUAAAACUGAUAGGUGGCGACUCCCGUUUUAGUUUUUGUUUUUAAAUGAAAAGUCGACCCCUCUUUUUAAAAAAAAAUGGUUUCGAUGCACACCACACAUUUUCAAAAUAAAUCAUAUUAAAAUUAAUCCUAAUUGCAUGCCUUUUUAAACAUACCAUAAAAAAUGAAGUAAAAAAAUUCAUGUUUAGGUCACCUGCGAACCCACCCACAAAGAAACCUAGCAGCUCACAUCAACCUGGUAAGCACCAGCUCGAGACCUACUCGCGACCCCAGCUCAUUGCUAGCCCUACGAACCACUAGUUUGCUACUAUCCUGCGAUCCCAAAAGAUUGACGAACCUAGACACACAACUCCCCUUUUGUUUUAACAAACUACUCAGGUGGAUGGCUCACUCGCGAACUCCUCUAUUGUAUUAAAUGCUUGCAAUCACUCCUAAUAUAUUGUGCUUGAGUUGUAACAGAGCCAAUCGUCAACGUGCCAUAAUGAUCUAUUGAUGCUGAAAUUGAAGUUUUUGUUAUAUUGAUAGAGCUUGUCCUUCAACGCAUACAACGUGUUUGUUAUUUUUUUCCUUCAAAUUGUAUGAUCUUAUUCAUUAUAUGAAUUAAUGAAUUUCCCUUUUAAAAAGAUAUAUUUUUAAAAAUUAAAUACUUUAUAAAAUAUUUAAAACUAUUUAAAAAAUUGUAAGCCUUAAAACAAUCUACAAAAUAUAUUUUUCUCUAAAAAAAAUCAAUAAAAGUAUGUUUGAAAUUUUAUAUGAAAUCUUCUUCACAUUACUCCACAUAAUCCAUUAAAAAAAACUUAAAAAGUAUAUUUUAUUAAUUACUAUAUAUUCUUUUAUUUUUAGAAUAAUAAAUUGUUUAAAAUAUGCUACUAGUCCCUAUAAUUCACAAGUUAAAAGUAUUUGGGAUAUCUAGUGCAUCAAAUUCCUCCUUUUAUUAUUAAAUGUUUUAUUUUAGUUACUCUAAUUAAAUAUAUCCAAAAUGUAAUAGAGUUAACAUUUAUUAUAUAAAAAUAUUUUAAAUAUUUUUUCAAUUGCAGUUUAAUUCUAGUAGAAAUAUUUCAUUUAUAAAAUCAUAAAACUUUAAAAAUAUUAACUCUGUUAAAUAAAAAAUGAUGUUUUUUAAACAGUAAAUGUUGACUUUAUUAACACAAAUGGGUCUUUAGGGUAAAACUUCAGUAAUUGACGAGCUCUUCCACAAACUGUGGAUGAUAUGGGGAUAAGAACUUCAAUUAUUCUGGAGUUAAAGUGUAAAUUUACCACUAUAUUAUAAGUAAAUAUUGAAAUUUAUCUCUAUAUUUUAAUUGAUACUUGUCAUUACACUUUGAAAAUAUAAGUAAAUUUACCAUUUAACUCAUAUGAGAUUGAACUUUGCAAGUAAACUUAAAAUUUUAUUUAAUUUUGUCACUAAAUUUGAUUUAUUUAAUUAAAUUUACAACUCAACAUAGAUUUUGGUGACUUAAAACAAAAUUAAUAAAAAAAACUAUUCUUUCAGAUAAUUUUUUAGUGUUUAAUAAUAAGUUGAUUUAUAAAAUAUACUUUCAUUGGACACAAGCAUCCAAGGCGGUGAACAAACCACUAGUCAAAUUGAUUUGGAGAUAUAUUUUUUUCUAAGUCAAGUGAAUUUAUGAGUUUUGCUUUUUUUUUUAAAAUAUUUUUAAUAUUUUCGUGCAUAUCAAGAGAUGCCAAAAAUUAUUUCACUAAGGAAUUAAUUAGUGUUUUAUUUUAAGGGUUCACAAUUAAGCAUUAGAUUUUUCAUUUUUAAAUUUAGAAUUUUUUGACAAUUGCGUAAUUAACAAGUACUACUUUUGGGUGUUGUAGGGUUAUUACAAUCUUCCCUGCACAUAACGGAGUCUUAAACCUACUUUUUUCUCUAGAACUCAAUGCAAACCUCAAAUUUAUCUUUUUAAAAGAAUUUUAAAUGCUUGCAAUCACUCCUGAUAUAUUAUACUUGAGUUGUGACAAUGUCAAUUGCCAAUGUGCCAUAAUGUUCUAUUGAUGCUGAAACUAAAGUUUGUUAUAUUAAUAGAGCUUGUCCUUCAACGCGUAUAAUGGGUGUUUGUUAUUUUUCUUUUUCAAAUUGUAUGAUCUCAUUCAUUAAAUCAAUUAAUGAAUUUCCCUUUAAAAAAUAUAAUUUUAAAAAUUAAAUACUUUAUAAAAUAUUUUAAACUAUUUACAAAAUUGUAAGCAUUAAAACAAUCAACAAGAUAUAUUUUUCUCUAAAAAAUAAAUAAAAAUAUGUUUGAAAUUUUAUAUGAAAUUUAAAAUUUUUUAACAAUAAUAUAUUUUAAAAUUAUUUACACCUUUUUUUAUAUAUUUUUCCUAACAUAUCAUUAUUUUUCCUAAUAUAUUAUAAAGUUUCUAAUUGUAUAGCUAAGGCAGAUGGAGACAUAAUUGUGGAAGUUUGACGAAUAAAAAUUUUAAUUUUAGAGGUUUAAAUUAUAAUUUUUUGAAAGUUUAAAAUAAAUUUAUAUUUUUUAUUAACAAAAUAUAAAAGAUAAAAAAACAUUUUUAGAGAAGCCAAGAAACCUUUGGGAUCAUACGGGUGAUUUUGAUGACGUUAAUGGUUAUUUUGGUGGAAAGGGUGAAAAAGAAACAAAUGACUCAUAUAUAUAAUAUAAUUAUGAAAUUCAAGCCAUAUAUUGGAUGUUUCAUACAUAAAAAUUUCAUGGGAGGUCCAAAGGUAAUUAAAUGACUUGUAGGCUUGCUGAAUUUCUUUGAAAGGCCCAAAGGCAAUUUAAAAUUCACAAAAUAAUCUCUAAAUACUGUAAAGACAAAUCAAAUCCACAGCAGCAUUUGCAAAUAUUACUUUGAUUUUGCAUGCAAUAUUGGCAAAACCCCCUCUUACAUUAGAAAAACAACAUAAUCCACGUAACAUUGAUAGCCCAAUACAAAUUUCAUCAAGAAAAAAGUCUCUUUGUUUUGUAGAACGUGAUAGUAAAGAUGUGGAGUUUCGUUCUUCUUAUUGGCCUCCUUUAGUUUUCCUUGAUCAACAGCCACAAGCCAAAAACACAAUUAGAUUAGAUUAUGAAUGAUACUUUCAACUAUGACAAUAUUAAAUACAAAACACUCCAAAUAACUCUAAAUAAAUGUAAAGCAGCAAAUUACCUGACGAGGCAAGCUAGCUCAAUNNNNNNNNNNNNNNNNNNNNNNNNNNNNNNNNNNNNNNNNNNNNNNNNNNNNNNNNNNNNNNNNNNNNNNNNNNNNNNNNNNNNNNNNNNNNNNNNNNNNNNNNNNNNNNNNNNNNNNNNNNNNNNNNNNNNNNNNNNNNNNNNNNNNNNNNNNNNNNNNNNNNNNNNNNNNNNNNNNNNNNNNNNNNNNNNNNNNNNNNNNNNNNNNNNNNNNNNNNNNNNNNNNNNNNNNNNNNNNNNNNNNNNNNNNNNNNNNNNNNNNNNNNNNNNNNNNNNNNNNNNNNNNNNNNNNNNNNNNNNNNNNNNNNNNNNNNNNNNNNNNNNNNNNNNNNNNNNNNNNNNNNNNNNNNNNNNNNNNNNNNNNNNNNNNNNNNNNNNNNNNNNNNNNNNNNNNNNNNNNNNNNNNNNNNNNNNNNNNNNNNNNNNNNNNNNNNNNNNNNNNNNNNNNNNNNNNNNNNNNNNNNNNNNNNNNNNNNNNNNNNNNNNNNNNNNNNNNNNNNNNNNNNNNNNNNNNNNNNNNNNNNNNNNNNNNNNNNNNNNNNNNNNNNNNNNNNNNNNNNNNNNNNNNNNNNNNNNNNNNNNNNNNNNNNNNNNNNNNNNNNNNNNNNNNNNNNNNNNNNNNNNNNNNNNNNNNNNNNNNNNNNNNNNNNNNNNNNNNNNNNNNNNNNNNNNNNNNNNNNNNNNNNNNNNNNNNNNNNNNNNNNNNNNNNNNNNNNNNNNNNNNNNNNNNNNNNNNNNNNNNNNNNNNNNNNNNNNNNNNNNNNNNNNNNNNNNNNNNNNNNNNNNNNNNNNNNNNNNNNNNNNNNNNNNNNNNNNNNNNNNNNNNNNNNNNNNNNNNNNNNNNNNNNNNNNNNNNNNNNNNNNNNNNNNNNNNNNNNNNNNNNNNNNNNNNNNNNNNNNNNNNNNNNNNNNNNNNNNNNNNNNNNNNNNNNNNNNNNNNNNNNNNNNNNNNNNNNNNNNNNNNNNNNNNNNNNNNNNNNNNNNNNNNNNNNNNNNNNNNNNNNNNNNNNNNNNNNNNNNNNNNNNNNNNNNNNNNNNNNNNNNNNNNNNNNNNNNNNNNNNNNNNNNNNNNNNNNNNNNNNNNNNNNNNNNNNNNNNNNNNNNNNNNNNNNNNNNNNNNNNNNNNNNNNNNNNNNNNNNNNNNNNNNNNNNNNNNNNNNNNNNNNNNNNNNNNNNNNNNNNNNNNNNNNNNNNNNNNNNNNNNNNNNNNNNNNNNNNNNNNNNNNNNNNNNNNNNNNNNNNNNNNNNNNNNNNNNNNNNNNNNNNNNNNNNNNNNNNNNNNNNNNNNNNNNNNNNNNNNNNNCUAUACAUAAUAGUUAAGACUAUUAGUACGACGACAAUACCAAUUGUUGGUAAACCAUACCUAAAAGCAUGCAAUAUAAUCAUUUGGGAGUUUUUGUGGAUGUCGUUUUUGCAGGGUGGGACUAGCAAUCUAGGUGGACCACAAAGUGCAUAAUUCUUCAUGAAUGAUGUGCUAGAAAAUUUUGAAAAACAUCCUUCGCUGGGAAUUUCCCCUUCAAGUCUAUUGAAAGACACAUUAAAAUACUUUAGAUAUAAAAGCUUUUCCAAAGAUUUGGGAAUGACUCCAGAGAGAUUGUUAUUGGAUAAAUCCAAGAAUUCCAAACUAAUCAACCCAUCAAAUGAUUCAGGGAUAUGACCAUGUAGUAUAUUAUUUGAUAAAUCGAAUGAAACCAAAGUGUGAAGACCCCCAAAUGUGGAUAAGUUAUCGCCCAUGAGAAGAUUCCUUGAUAAAUUUAGUCUCAGUAGACUCCUAAAAUUUCCAACAUCAAUAGCAUGCGAAUUGUGAAGAUGGUUUGAUGAUAAAUCUAUUUCUAAGAUAUUUUUAAGAUUCCACAAAGUUGAGGGUAUUGUGGAACUCAAUUUAUUGGAAUCUAUGUGAAGAUAUCUCAAAGAAGUAAUAUUACCCAAACAAGAGGGUAUGGAUCCAUGCAGCUUAUUCAACCUUAAAAAUAAGUUGUAUAAUCUCUCCAAAUCACAAAGGCUUUCUGAGAUGGGCCCUCCUAAUUUAUUAGAGGAAAGACCUAGACUUUGGAGAUUUCGCAGUUCUAAAACCAACAUAUUGGUUAAGUUACCUAUUUCAAUAGGAAUAAUGCCUUGAAGCUUACACCCAUCGGCAAAAAAGUAUUGAAGGGAUUUUGAAAGGUUCCCAAUAUAAGUAGGAAGAAUGCCACUCAAUGGAUUUCCUGAAACUGAUAUGGUUUUCAAAUUCUUACAAUUCGUAAAAGAAGAAAGAAAGCUCCACUCAUGAUCAGUAGCAGAUCCUGUGAUCAAAUUAUUGUCAGAGAUUUGAAGCACUUCAAGGUGUUGUAAGCUGCCAAGCAUUUUAGGGAUUGGGCCAGAGAAUAAGUUUUGUGACAAGUCUAGUAUCUUAAGCAUGGAAGCAUUGGAGAUAGAGUUGGGAAUGUUUCCGCUAAGUUUAUUUGUCCACAAUAAAAGAAUCUGAAGCUUUGGAGCAUUGGUGAUGGGUGGUAAAUUACCUAUAAAAUAGCAUCUUUUAGUAUACAUAUUCAUUGAAUACCAAAUUCACAAAAUAUAUAAUACAUUAAUAAUAAGAAGUUUUGAGUAGUAAUUAGUCCUUGUGAUUUGUAUAGACAAAACAUAUAAUACACUAAUAAUUUUUUAAAAUAUUGUAAAACUUGAAAUAAAAUAAAAAUAAAAGUUUGGCAUGAGAAUGUGGCAUCUAAUCAAUCUUAAAAAUGAGACUGACACUGAAUAAUAAUUAGUUAUGAUUUGGGAAACAAAAAUGUUAAAGCCAUUAUUUAUCUUUAUUAAAUUAUAGUGUAAAAUUUAAAGAUUAUUAUUUGCUCAAAAUUGUUGUAUUUUUCGUAUAUUUGAAAUUUAAUCUUUAUAUUUUUUAUUUUCUGUGAUUUAGUCUCUCUACUUUUUGAAUUGAAAAUUUUAGGUUGAUUCAUUAACACUGUUAAAAAAGUUUUUGUGUUAGUAUGGCAUUUUGAAAAAUAAAAUAAACUUGAUAUCUAUGUUUUUAAUUAUUCCAAAUAUUGUUUUACUAUUUCAAGAUAAAUUAUUUGUGUCUAGACCAAUAUCUUAAGAACUAUUGUUGCAUGUUUAAUUAUUCUAAAGAAUUGUUAAUUGAGUCUUAGCUUGAUUGGCAUGUGUAUUGUUAUCAAUGUAGGAGAAUGUGGGUUCAAGUAUACUGAAGUGUAUUAUCCUCUUAUUUAUAAAUUGGGGAGUUGAUAAAGUAUUAAAUUUUGAUAUAUUUUAAAAUAUUAAAAAUUUAUUAAAAUAAAUUUUAUAAAAAUUGAUUGUACCACAAUAUAAAAUUUUAAUAUAAAAUUUUUAAUUUUUUUAAAAAAUAUUAGCGACUAUAUACUUUAUUUCAAGUUACACAAUUUUUACUAGUUUUUAACUUUUUAAAAAAAAAUUUUAACGUCUUUUAUAAUUUCUAAUAAUUUUUUAUAAUUUUUUACAAUAUUUAAAAAUUUCUACCAAUUUUUAAUAAUUUUAUUAUUUAUUACAAAUUUAAAAUUAACAAAUUUUUAUUUUUUAAACAAUUAUAUAUUUAUAAUGUAGUUAUUUUUUAUAUAAUUUUACUUGAAAUUUUAAAGAUUUUUUUGGUUUUUUUCUAGAUGAUGAUGCCAUCAUGAUGUCAUCAUAUACCACAUGGCAAUUUAUGAUUAGUUGGAUAUCUCAAGCUAUUUUUUAAUGUCCAAUGGACUAAACCAAGAACACCUAAUAAUGUUAGAGACUACACUAGCAAUGUUUGAUAAUAUUAGGUACUAAAGUGGGCAAAAAAAAAUAUUAAGGACCAAAGUAAAAAAAAAAAAGAAAAGAAAAAAAAAUGCUGUAGGGAAUAAACUGUGCAUUAAACCAUUAAAAAUAUAUCAAUAAUAUAUAUAAAUGCAUGGAUUUUUUGAAACUUUUGAACUGAUAAUUAUAUAGUCUUUGUUGUUUACUAUAUUAUUGAAUUUAUUAUUUUAAAUAUAUAUUCUUUUACUUUUAAGAUUUAUAUAAGAAUUUUGGUUUUCCUAAAAUAUUUGGUUAAGUAAAUUCACUUCAUAAGAAAAUUUAGCAUCCUUAUAAAUAACAAUUUUGAUUAUAUUAAAAAAAUUAUUUUAAAAAUAUAUAAUAAUAAAUUAAAAUUUAUAUUGAAUUACUUUAUACUUCAAUUAUUAUUAGAAACUUUAUCAUACACGUACGUGUAUAAGAAUCACGUAUUUAGAACAUCAAUUUGUGUUUUAAAAUAACUUAUGAUAAAUAAUGAAAUGUAUAAUUUGAAACUAUUUAAUAAUAACACAUGGCAUAUCUACCAUAUUAAAAUAAAAUAGAUUAAAUUGUAAGUAAAAUAUAGUUUAAACAUAUGAAUACAUCGAAUUAAGAAUACUAAAUGAAUACAGUUAUUUAUGAUGAUGUUGUUGUCAAUUCCUAAGUUGGUGUCGAGUUAAUUUGUGACAUCAUAUAUUUAAGUGAUAAAUUUAAGGUUUUAUGUAUUGAUGUGGAUUCAAAUAUCACCAUAACUUAUUUAAAAUAAAAAACUAAAUUACCCCAAAUAAUAUAACUUAUUUUAAAUAAAAAAAUGAUUAUAUUCAACACUAAAUCAAUUUUUAGAUUUUGUACAAAUGAUUUAAUGAUGAUAAAAACAUUAUUACCACUAUUUUUGAAUUAACAAAAAAUUAGUGAUAUAUUUUAAUUUUAAUUUUUUUAUUUUUUAUUGUAUACUAAAUAUGGUACAUAUACUUUAAUUAUAACUUGAAAUUUUAUUAUAUAAAUUAAUAUAUUUUAAUUAUAUUCAACCAUUUGAAUAACAAAAUAAAAAAAAACUAAUUAGAAUAAUUUAAAAAAAAUUAUUUAAAAGCUAGUUAAAAAUCACGUGGUGCAACAGGUGAUAUGAGAAUCUAUGUAUAUAAAUGUAUAUGUAUAUAUAUCGUUCUUUCAUUUUUUAAAAUAAAUAUAUUUUCCACAUUGGUUUCUUUUGUUAUACAGACAAAUGAUUUCUAAUGAUUUUUUAAAAAAAAUGUACUUAUAUAAAAUAGAUUAGUUUAUGAAAUAAAAAAUAAUUUAUUUUUUAAAGUUUAAUGGAAAUUAAAAAUUAAAAAUAAAUCAAUUCAUAUAGAUCUUAUUAUUUAUUAUCAAAUUAAAAUGAUAAAAGUAUAUGACCAAAAUAGAAGAAACAAAUUCAACACAAUGUUUUUGGAGUUUGGAAAAAAUUAAAGUGAAAAACAUACCUUCUAAUUUGUUGUCAUAUAGACCUAUUACUUCGACCAUAGUUGAAUUAAAAAUACUUGAUGGAAUCUGACCUGCACACAUAGUCAAAAAUUAAAGUGAAAAACAUACCUUCUAAUCUGUUCAACUAAAAAUACUUUAAGCAUAUUUUUUAAGGUUGUUGCAUUUGCCCAUGCCAAAUGGAAUGUUACCGGAUAAUUCAUUCCGACUUAGGUAAAGCCCUUCAAGCUUGGGAAGAUGUUGACACAUAUCAUUAGGCAAACUACCUGAUAGGCUAUUGUUGGAGAGAUCAAUAGUCUUGAAAGAAGAAAUGUUAAAGAUCAAAGUCGGAAUCUGACCUGUAAGGCCUUUAAUUGCUUGAAUAUCAAGCAUUUCCAAACUAAAAAGAUUACCGAUUUCUUUAGGAAUUUGACCUUCAGACAUAGUCGAAACAUCAAGGUGUUAAAUUACCUAUUUUGUUAGUGUAAAUCAAAGAGGAUUUUUAUUUUUUUUUCGUUAUGAAAUAAUAAGGAUAUGUUAGAUUCUAAUCAUAUUUAAAUAUAUAUUAGUUCUUGAAAGAAAGAGUUCUUAUUUUUGGUAUUUAUAAUGCAAAUAUUUUUUUAAAAAAUUUAAAAAAAGGGGGGGCAAAUGUGUUUAAACUAAAGACAUCAAGGAAAAGGCAUACCUUCUAGGUUAUUUAACCCCAAGUAUAAUUGUUUAAGUUGUGUCAAAUUCCCAAUGCUUUUUGGAAUGAUCCCACUAAAUUGAUUAAUAGACAAUUCCAAAAUUUGAAGGUUGCAGCAUUUGUCUAUACUUGAUGGAAUAGAACUUGAUAAUUCGUUUCUACUGAAGUAAAGCUCUUUCAGCUUGGGAAGAUGGACACACAGAUCAUCGGGCAAGCCACCAGAAAGACAAUUAUGACGAAAAUGAAUCCUUUUCAAAGAAGAAAUGUUAAAGAUGGAAGAUGGAACCUGGCCAGAUAAUUGAUUGAAUCCCAAGUUCAAGAUCUCUAGAUUGGACAUGUUGACAAGUGUUUGAGGGAUUGUGCCUGUGAAGUUAUUAUUUCUCAUUUCCAACCUUUGAACUCUGUGCAAGUUCCCAAGCCAUGGUGGAAUUUCCCCAUUAAGACGGUUGUAGCUUAAUCGAAUGAUCCUCAAACGAUGCAAUUGGCCCAGUUCUUUAGGCAGAUGGCCAUAGAAAUUGUUGUUGCUCAAAUCGAGAGAAAAUAGAAAUGAAAGAUUUCCAAGGUGUGGAGGGAUAGUACCCCUAAGAUUCAUGUUUGUAAGAUUCAAAGCUACAACUCUCUCAUGGAUGAUGCCACAAGAAACACCAACCCACUUACAAACAGAGGUAGAGUUCGUCCAAUUGUUUGCCAACACAUUUUGAGGAUCGACAAUGCGAUCUUUCAACUCAAAGAGUGCAAACUGAUCGGAGUUGAGAUUCCGGACUGUCAUAGCCAAGGAAACAAUAGAGCACUGUAUGAAUAAAAGUGAAAGAAGAUGAAAGCAAGUGUUGUAGUUCAUGAUUGCAAGACGAAAUAAGCCAGGAAAAGAAAAAGUAGGAAAAGGGAAGUUGAAUUGAUGAAGAAAUACCCAGCGAACAUGCUUAAAUAGGCUUCAACCCUCGCACACUUCUCAUACAUAAAGUUCACUGCCAUUACAACAAGAAAACUCAUAUCUCCAUUCAUACCUAUCCAUACUUUAUUUGACUAACUUUUCCCUAACAAGUGUUCAGUAAGGAGACAAAUCAGUUUGGAGCUAUUCACUGAGUUCUCCAACCUUGGUUUCAAACUCCUAGCCCAUCAAUUCACUUUAAUUGAAACAAUAUACACGAGUCUUUCGGCUUAUAUUUUUAACUUACUACUUCUCUUUUUAAUUUAUUUUUUUGUUACUUCUCAUAAUAUUUUUUGAGAAAUCCAAAUAUUCCAGUCUGAAAUUUCUUCAUUGCCACGUCUAUCUCCUGGGUAAGUUCGUGGUUAGGCAGCCCACUUUGGGGGCAGGAUUGUAAUUUUAGUUCUAUCCGACUCAUUUUACUAUUUAGAAAUAUAAAAGUAAUAUUAUAUUAAUUUUUAUAUUUUUAUAAUUUUAAUUUUAAUUUUUAAACAAUAAAACGUGUCAUUUGUAUUUGCCUAGGCUAAACUGAAUCAGGAGUGAAAAUUUUUUUAAUCAUAAUUUACUUAUUUUAAUUAAUUAAAUUUUAAUCUGCUAUAACAAGUAGUUGCAUAAAAAAAUGUCAUUCCUUUAGAAAAAUGAGAACUUAUGAAGCAUUCAAUAAGAGUUGUUGGAAUACAUGGUAACAAAACUAUAAUUCGAUAUAAAACUAUAUAAAUAAAGUAAGAUUUGUGAUACCUAAAUUGUUAUCUUUUCUGUAAAUAUAUGGAGAUUUUUUAUUAGGAAAUAAUUUUAUAUAUCAACAUUUGUUAUUUUCUUUUGAUAGAAAUUUAAUUAUGUUAUCUGUAGAAAAAAAAUAUUUACGGAAAUAUCAUUAGUAGAAAAUCAUAAAUUUGUGUGUGGCAAAAAAUUUUCACCACCAAGAAAGGGACAAAUUAAACAACUUGAAAGUCAUUGGUUGUUUAAAAUAUUAGAUAAUAAUUUUAGUGAAGAAUCAUUAAAAUUAUGACAAAAUAACCCUAGAUAUUGUAGUAUUAAAUUAGAAAAUCUCAAUAAUAUUAUUAUAGUAAAACCUAUGAUCUAUCUAAACAAGAUAUAGAAGAAUUUGAUAUACAAAUUAAGGGCAGAAAUCAUGUGGAAAUAAUAAAAAACAAGAAAAAGCUAGUAUGGUCAUUAAUUAUAAAAGAUUAAAUCAAAAUAUUAUUUUUUAUAGUUACUUGAAUUAAUCAGGAUAGACAAACAAAAUAUUUUAGUAAAUUUGAUUGUAAAUCAGGAUUCUAGCAAAUCAUGCUAACAGAAAAGUCUAAACCUUUAACGGCUUUUAUCCAAUGGACAUUACCAAUGGAAAGUGAUGUUAUUUGAAUUAUGUAAUGCACCAAAAAUCUUCCAAAGACGAAUGGAUUUUAUAUUUAAUAAAUAUAAAAAAGUCUGUGUAGUUUAUAUAGAUGAUAUUUUGAUAUUUUCAGAUACACUAGAAUUACAUAAGAAAUAUUUAAAUAUUAUUUCUUAAGAAUUUAUAAAAUAUAGAAUCAUAUUAAACCCUAAAAGUAUAGAGUUAGAAAAAAGAGAGAGAGAGUUUUUAUAACAGUGGAAAUAAAAAAUUGUCCUCAAAAGAUUGAAGAAAAAAAGAACUUCCAGCAAUUUGUAAUAUAUUCCUCCCAAAUUUUCAGUUUCAAUUUUAUUACAGAAUUUCUUUGCCGACAAUAAGAAAAGAGCAUAUUCACAUUUUCGUCGCAAUUUCAACACCCUAUCUCUUGCCCACUUUCCUUUUUCGGCCAAUUUCAAACGUAGCUGUUUUUCGAUUUUUCCUCUUUAUUUCAUUAAUAAAAUGUCAAUCUAUUUGUUUUUUUAAUAUAUAAUUUUUUUAAUAUUUUUUUAAUUAUAAUAUAAGAGCUGUUGUUUAUUUAUAGUUUUAUUACAUUAUUUAAUCUCUUUUUUCUAUCAAGUUUUUUAAAUUAUAAUAUAAGAUUUAUUUUAUCAAAUUGUGGCUUAUCGAGUAUUCAUCUAUUUUAAUAAUAACUUGAGUUCCAAUCAUUAUUAUACCAGAAAGAGUUCCAUUUAUUCUUUAUCGUAAAUUUUAUAAAAAAAUAUAUUUUAUUAUAAUACUAUACGUGUUAGGAAUAAUAUUUUAUUUUGGAUGCCCAUAAUUUUCAAAGUUGUAACCUCUAAUGUAGUAACCUCAAUGAAAUUAUGAGGCUUUUAUAUUGUAAUCAAGCCUCUAUUUAUUCUUUGUAACUUAUAAACAAAGGCAUAUUUUCUAUUAUAUUGAUAUUUUCUAUAGAGGUAUAUACACAAGGAAUCAAAUAAAAAGUUAUUUACCUUUCUAUUAUAUUGAUAUUUUCUAUUUAAUUUGUUCUUUUCUUUCACUAUUCCAUAAUAUAUUAUCAGUACGAUUUUAAUUGAGAGUAACAGUUAUUAGAUUGUGUCAAAAUUUUGUUGGACUCCAAGUAUUGGAACUUAAUUGUUUAGGUUAAGAAUCAUUAGAAUCAGUGGCUAUUUGAGAUAUGCUUGAGGAUGAUCUCAUUCUCUUCAUCACAAAGGUGGAGGUUAGAAAAUCUUUAUGUUUAAACAUUUAUAGCUUCAAAGUUAUUUUAACCUCUUAUUGUGACCUUAUAAUAUUUUGUAAUUUUUUGUCUUAUGGUAUAUAAAAAAAUAUCUAACCAUAGUGAUUGAUUAGUAAUUUGAAUUUGUUAUUUGUUAUGUUUAAUAUAUAUUUUAUUUAUAUUUAUUCAUUUUAUUUUUAUAUGAGUAAAUGAAGUGUUUGAAGAUUCGAAAUUUUUAUCAUCCACGUUGAAAGUAAGUGCAAAUGUGUAUAUUAUUUAAAAUAAAUUACACAUUCAUUAAUGUUAUAUGAUAAAAUCAUUACAUGUUUUGAAGAACUAAUAUUGCAUCAAACUGUAAAAUGCUAAACCCUAAAAAGCUCUUGAAGAACUAAUAUUUUUCCUCCUUGUGAUGCAAAAUCUUCUAAAAUAUGAUAUUAUUUUUCAAAUCGAGAAGAUAUAUGUUGCAGGAAAUCUUUAUGUGUUUUACAUUAAAACCAUGAAUAGAAAUGACAUGAUAUAUGUAAUAGGCCCAAUUUGCCCGACCCGCUAUUAAAAUAAACCAAAUGAAAAAACAAAUGAAAUAACAGUCCAUUAGUCCAUAGUUACAAACCCAAGUUACAGUGGCCCAGUCACCUAAAAGACCCAACUAAAACCCAAACCCACUAAGCCUAAUGCCCAUCAGCCAACCCUAGCUCGACGGCCCAACACCAAAGAGGUUGCAGAAACCCUAGCAGCAAACAAUCUCUGGCGCCGCAGCCUUUGGCCCUCUCCUCGUAUGUGCUGGUCUCUCCACGUCACCACCCCUCCGUACGCCGUACCUGCAAGGAGGACAAACAAACAAGCAGCGAGACAUAUAGCAACAAAAAAAAUGGAGCAUAUAGCAGAUUGACAGCAAAUACUAGGGGAAAAUAGGAAGAAAAUGUAAAAUUUAGAAAAAAAUUUAUUCUUUUUCUCAGAUCGGCUAUAAAGAGGACCGAUUGAACUAUGUAUUUUUUUACGCAUUCAAAAUAUUGAAAGGUGACUUCCGAGUUUCUUUUACAUUUUUCAUUUUGCUAGUAUCAGUUUUCUUUUUUCUUUCUCUUAUUUUUUGUGUUCAAUAGCCAUUAGUUAAGAGAUAAAACAAUAAGAGAAAGAGAGGGACGGAUGUACCUGGUAGCGCGAUCUUAGCCCUCUUCGCCGUCAUCGGAGAACGGGCUAGGUUCGAAAGCCGUCUGAAUGCCCUCAAUGCGCAGAACGGUCUAGGGCUUUUGCUUUAGUUAAGGUUUUGUUUUGAUGUAGGUGAUAGUUUUUUAGGGUUUAUUUUAGUUUUAAAUGCAGGAUUUAAAAUGUCGCCGUUCAGAGCCCAUACAAUGGCACUGAAACGGCGUCGUUUGAUGGUCCGACCCAGGCGAUGACCCGAUCCGGGUAGGAUCCGUGUCCUCUAGUUGGUUGGUCUAUUUGUCUAAUAGGUCCCUCGGAGUUCAAUGGGAUUAUGAUUCGAUUUUCUUUAUUUGUUUGUAAUUUGUACUUUACAUUUAAUUCUGUAUUCAUUUAGAUCCGAAUUUAAAUGGCGUCGUUUCUGUGGUUGACUUGGAUUGUUAUGAUGUUUGUGUUUAAUUGCUAGUUUAGUCCUUCAAUGUUGAAACAGGUUUUGAUUUAAUACAAAUUCAGUUUUCUUUUUAAAAUUCCACAAUAUUUUUAAUUAAUUAAAUCCUACUUUCGUAUAUUAUAAUAUUUAAUAUUAUUUGUAACAUUUAUUUUAUAUAGUGUUUAAAUUUAUUAUUAUAGUUUAAAAUGUAAUAAAUUAUUAUUAUUUUGUUUAUUUUUUAAUUCAUUAUACACCAAUAUUUUGAGUCAAUUGUAUUUUAAUUUUGUCCUAAUUUAUUAUCAUUCUAAUUUUAUUUAAGUCUCGAUUUAAAAUUUGUUGAUUAUUGUUCGAAAUUUCAAAAAAUGUUUUGCAUAUUUAAUCCUGAUUUCAAAAGUCUUUUAAUAAAUCAAGUUUUAUAAUAAUUCAUAUUUUUAAUAUCAUUUUAAUAUUGGCUAAUAUUAUCAUAAUUGUUGUUAUCAUUUUUAAAAUUAUUUUUCUCAUGUCUAAUGUUGUCUUCAAAAGUUUUCUUUAGAUAAAUUAAUUCAUAUUUUAAUUCAUCAUUUUUAACCUUAUUUUAAUAUUUAGCUUAUUAUUGUAUUUUAAAUUUAUUUUUAAAUCUUCAUAUUAAUUAUUAUUUUUAUUUUAUUUUAUCGUUUAAAUCAACGUAUCCUUAGGAAUUUGAUUAUUGAUUUAUUAGAUGUUUAAUUAUUAAUAUGGAUGAAUUAUAUGUUUGGUUGCUCUUUAAUGUAAAUUUAGAUUACUAUUUAUCUUUUGCAUUACAUAUUGCUAUUUAAUUAUAUUGUUUGUAAGAAUUCCAUUUCAUUAAAACAUUAUAAUCGUUUUAUUUCAAAAUUCCUAAAAAAAAUUGGUGUUUAAUAAUGCUCGAGAGAAUUGUGCCCUAACUUACUGGGCUUCAAUUCUUCUCGAUGAAUUUAUAUCAUCAAGUAUCCAUUUUAUUUAAGCCAUACAAUUUUAAAAUAAAGCAUUUAAGAUUUCAAAAUAUUGGAUCCUAACUUACUGGAUAUGAUAUUUUGUUAUCUCGAUUUUAAAAUAAAGGCAAUAUUUGGUAUUUAGGAAUUUUAAGAAAAUUGAACCCUAACUUACUGGGUUUCGAUUUCUCGAUUGACCCAAAUAACCAAAUAUCCUUCUCAAAACGUAUGAAUUUUUAAAAUUAAAAAAGACGAAUCUAACUUCGAAGAUUGAAUCGUUGCACUCUAACUCACUGAGUGUGACGGUUUAUUUCUUUAAAGUGGGUAGGUCUUAUGUUCCACUUCGAUUAUUAAAUUUUCUUUUCAAAGGAUCGUAUUUUAAAAUCUUUUCAAAUUUUUGACACUAAGACAUUAAACAAUCGAUUCGGUACCAAUUUUGGGCGUAACGAGGGUGCUAACCCUUCCUAGUGCGUAACCGACUCCUGAACCUGUUUUUUUCAAACUUCGCAGACCAAAAUCAUUUUUAUGGUGAGCCGAUCACACUCCUUUAAAAGAUCGGUGGCGACUCCCAAUUUGCGUUUUUAAUUCGACAACUAAAAUUUUUGUUGUUUCCAAAACGGUGGGUUCGACAAUAUACUCGUGUAUUUGUAUUAUAAAUAUUCCUUGAAGGAAUACACUUCACUUGUAUGAUUGACAUAUGAGAUAGUGACAAGAAGUUCAUAGUGUUGGUAUGGUCUGCUAGAUCAUCUCAAGUCAAUAAUGAUGCAAAAUCAUUUGAAGAGAAUUUAUAUGAUUUUAUUGAAGAAUGAGAAGUUAUUUUCAUUUUGAUAAUUGUCAUCAAUACUAGUUCUUUGAAAAAAAUAUUGAACUAACAUCAACUAAAGUUAGAGGUUGGUUGCAUUUUUUGAUGAUAUCCAAAUAAUAUAUGAGCUCAUGUAUCACAUGUAUGCAACCCAAAGUUUACAGUAUUAUUUCUUGAAAUAAUUUGAUUCUACACAAUCUCUAUAGUAUGCAAUUUGUGCUAACAACAUUGAUGCAUUAUAUCCUAAGCUUGAUUUUCAUAGUUUUAGCUGAGAUAAUAUUAAGUUAUCUAUGCCUAUAUAUGUUAUACUUAAUGGUUAGCAAAAUUAUGCCUCCAUUUAAUUGCUUAACCAUUAAUAUAAGAAGAGCUUUAAAAUAAGCAUGUAAUUUUAUUUGCAUAGAGCCAACAUGUAAGAAAUGUACAAGCCCAAUUUCGUCCGGGACCAACCAAAUAAAACCCAAAAAAAAAAAGAAUAAUAAUUAACAGUCCAAGAAAUUUAAUAAUAACUUGAGUUCGAAUCAUUAUCAUACCAGAAAGAGCUCCAUUUAUUCUUUAUCGUAAAUUUUAUAAAAAAAAUUAUAUUUUAUUAUAAUACUAUAUGUGUUAGAAUAAUAUUUUAUUGUGGAUGCCCAUAAUUCUCAAAGUUGUAACCUCUAAUGUAGUAACCUCAAUGAAAUUAUGAAGCUUUUAUAUUGUAAUCAAGCCUCUAUAUAUUCUUUGUAGAAAAUAUUAAGUUGAUUUUACUUUAUUAAAAAAUUUAAAAUAAAUUAUCUUGUUUUUUUUAAAUGAGUUAACCAAAUUAACAUAUUUAUUUUUAUCCAAAAUUGUCCAAAAUAAUAUAAAAUAUUAUAUUAAUAAAAUUAAAACUAUGAAAUAAUAUUUUUUAAAGAUUAUUAUUUACUUUUAUCAAACAAUACAAUUAUAUUCAGUACUUAUAUUUACUAGUUUACCAAACAGUUUUCCAAUAUGAGUUCAACACUUAUCAAAUUCAGUAUUAAAAAUUCAGUGCUUAAUUUUUUAGCACUUAACUUUUCAAUUCAUCAAGCACGUCUAAUUCAAUUUAUAUAAUUCUCUAUUUGUAUCUCUAUGAAUUUAUAAAAUCCUUCUCGCAUUUAGUUGUUGGGAUCUUUAUAUGAAGAUAGAUGCUUUUAUUUUUUUAUUGGUUCAUUUUUAAUAAUUGUAUUGAUUUAUUUAAUUUAAUUUUUGAUUAAUAUAUAUAUGAUUAUUGUGGAAUGGAAGUAAAAGUAUUUACUUCUCAUAAACUUUGAAAUAUUCACCCUGUCUACAUAUUAAUUAUUGUAAAAUUUUAAUUGAAAUUAUGUCAUAAAAGGUGGAGGUUAGAAAAUCUUUAUGUUUAAACAUGUAUAGCUUCAAAGUUAUUUUAACCUCUUAGUGUGACCUUAUAAUAUUUUGUAAUUUUUUGUGUUAUGGUAUAUAAAAAAAAUCUAACCAUAGUGAUUGAUUAGUAAUAUAAAUUUGUUAAUAUAUAUUUUAUUUAUAUUUAUUCAUUUUAUUUUUAUAUGAGUAAAUGAAGUGUUUGAAGAUUCGAAAUUUUUAUCAUCCAUGUUGAAAAUAAGUGCAAAAGCGUAUAUUAUUUAAAAUAAAUUACGCAUUCAUUAAUGUUAUGUGAUAAAAUCAUUACAUGUUUUGAAGAACUAAUAUUGCAUCAAACUGUAAAAAGCUCUUGAAAAGCUAAUAUUUUACCUCCUUGUGAUGCAAAAUCUUGUAAACCAUGAUAUUAUUUUUCAAAUCAAGAAGAUAUAUGUUGAAGGAAAUAUUUAUGUGUUUUACAUUAAAAACAUGGAUAGAAAUGACGUGAGAUACUCGUGUAUUUGCAUUAUAAAUAUUCCUUGAAGGAAUACACUGCACUUGUAUGAUUGACAUAUGAGAUAAUAGCAAGAAGUUCAUAGUGUUAGUAUGGCCGGCUAGACCAUCUCAAGUUAAUAAUGAUGCAAAAUAAUUUGAAGAGAAUUUAUGUGAUUUUAUUGAAGAAUGAGAAGUUAUUUUCAUUUUGAUAAUUGUCAUCAUUACUAGUUCUUUGGAAAAAAAAUAUUGAACUAACAUCAAAUAAAGUUAGAGGUUGGUUCAUGGUUGUAUUUUUUUAUGAUAUCCAAAUAAUAUAUGAGCUCAUGUAUCACAUGUAUGCAACCCAAAGUUUACAGUAUUAUUUCUUGAAAUAAUUUGAUUCUACACAAUCUCUAUAGUAUGCAAUUUGUGCUAACAACGCUGGUGCAUUAUAUCCUAAGCUUGAUUUUCGUAGAUUUAGCUGAGAUAAUAUUAAGUUGUCUAUGCCUAUAUAUGUUAUACUUAAUGGUUAGCAAAACUAUGCCUCCAUUUAAUUGCUUAACCAUUAAUAUAAGAAUAGUUUUAAAAUAAGCAUGUGAUUUUAUUUGCAUAGAGUCAACAUGUAAGAAACAUUUGUCCCAUGAGAAUUAGCUUUCAUUUAUAAGCCAAUAGGUUUCAUUUAUGACUAUUUGAAUGUAAAAUAUCUAUUUUAUAUUCCACCAUAAUGCACUAAGAUGGACCAUCAAGUAUGAAGUUGAGAAAAAUUAGAAUUUUUAUUUGAUGGUAAAAGUUGAAAAGAGAUAUAUAUUUAUAAUUUUGAAAAAAAUAUUCAUGUUACAAAUUUUCUCAGUAUUAGGGGGAGACAAGUUGGACAAAUAAGUAUAAUUAUGUCAUCACUUUUUGUGAUCCCUUACUAAUCUUAUGUGCACAAAGUUUGAAAGAAAAAGGUAUUUGCUAGACAUGUUUAGUGAUGAUAUUUAGAGAUUGUAUAUACUAGAUGAUACAUAUACCAGCUAAAAUGUUCCAAAUAAUUAUGAGUCCUAGAAGGACAAAGUGAUAAAAAUAAUUUUUGGGCACACUAGAAGGAUGAAAAACUAGUUGGUUCUAUAAAUAAAAAAAAUCUUAAAAGAAAAGAGUAAGAAAUGAAGAUGGUCAUACGUUAAAGGAGACGAGUACUCAUGAAGAGACCCAAGGUAUAACUUUUAAUAAAACCCCAAAAGAGGUUCAAUACAUGAAAUUAUGAAAAUAAUAAGUGUAAUAACCAGAUUUUUCCCGGGCCCAAUGCCAAACAAAUAAAACCCAAACCAAAUAAAUAAAAUAAGAGUCCAAAUUACAAUCCAUCAGGGCCCAAUUCAGACCAGCCCACUAUUCAAUCAGACCAGCCCAACAAAAAAUAAACGCUAGUAGCCCACAACCCAACUAAGCCUAAAACAUUUUCAGCAAAAGACGAAACCCUAGCUGCCAUGCUAGCCGCCGCUCCUGCCCUAGCCUCUGCCCACUGUCGCACACCACCUUUGCCACCACCGUCAACCUCUGACACCUGCAAAACAGCAAACAACACGCAACAACAAAGAAGAAGACAACAAGCAAAAAACAAAUCGCAAAGGGACAAAAAUAAUGAUAACAAAUAGCCUUAGUUCGGCUAUAAAAACAAAAAAAAAAUGAAAACUUUGUACUUCUUCGGCAAGAUUAAUACCAAAAAAAAAAGAGAAAAGAUUUGAACUUUUUAAGGUGAUAUUUCAUUUUUUUACGCUUUAGAUCUAUUUUUUUUAUUUCACCUUCAUCUACGAAAAUUAAAAAAGAAAAGAAAAGAAAAAGACUUUGAUUUCAAAGUGAUAUUUCAUUUUUUUUUGUUUUAGAUCUAGUGUUUUUUAUUUAUUUUUUAUCUACGAAAAUAAAAAAGGAAAAGAGAAACGUACCUGAUUCGCCUCGUGGCUCCGUCGACGGAAGUCCCAUCGUCGUCGUCGGAAUCAGGCUUAAAAGGGGAAGGUUUUUAUUUUUCUUUGCUUUUUUUUUUGGAUUUUUCGUCUCAAGAAAGGGACUAAGGGAGGAGAAAUGGCCAAAAUGGUCUUUUUCCGAUGAACUCCGGCAACCGUAUGCAGCGGUUAACGGCGCCGGCGCUCGGUGGCUGCGAUGGAGCCAUGGUGGUGUCCCAUGGCCGGAUCUGGAGAGGAAGGCUUUGAGAGGGAGAGAGUUUCUAACAGUUUUUUUUUUAUAUUUUCUAAGGCAGAAAUGAAUUUUUGAAAAAAAAAGUUGGGUUUUAUAAGUGCAUGAAACGGCGCUGUUUUGCACAAGUGCACAUCGACGUCGAAACAACGUCAUUUACCCCUUUACCCGCGCGCCCGAGUCCGACCCGAUGAAGGUCCGUGUGUUUUCAUGCCUGAUGGGUUAUUUCCCUUCUGCUUUUGGGCUUCUUCUCAAUCUGGUCCUAAUCCUACUUUUUUCCUCCUUUUAAAUUGUACCAUUUAAUUUAAUUUCAUUUUCAAUUCGGUCCCUAGGUUGACCAUAGGAAAUGACGAGCACAAAGUUAAGGGAUAUUUUCCCUUUCAAUCCCCAAUAUUUUUAGCGCGAUUCCCUAACCUUUAAUUCCUACCUUUUACACAUAUUAUUUCAUUUUAUUCGUUUAUUUAUUCACUUAUCAUUUUUACCCUCUUUUUAUACUUAAAAAUAUAUAUUAUUUACACUAUUACUUGCAUAUUUUUUACUAUUAAAUUAUUAUUUUUAAUGUAUUAUUAUUCCCAUUAUUUUACCUUUUUAUUUAUUUUGAUACUUUCAUGUCACAUUUAUUUAUUUUAAUAUUUCCAUUAUUUAUUUUAUUUUAUUCUUAUGUUUUUUAGUAUUUUUUUUAUUUCUUUUAUUGUUCACGGUUUUUUUUUUCAUGUUAUAGAUAUUUAUCUUUCUAAUCAUGCAUUUUUCCUUUUUUUAUUUUGUUUUAGGUUACCUUAUUUAUUAUUAUUAUUAUUGUGAUAAUACUAUUAUAAUUAUAUUACCAUUAUUAUAGAAUUCCUUUAUUUGUAUAUUCCAUUAUAACUAUUAUUAUUAUUAGUCUUUAACUAACUUCUAUUUUUAUUAUUAUUUUUUAGAAUAGUAGUCAACAUGGUUAUCCUUAUUAUUAUUUGGUGUUGUUAUUAUGAUUUUAUCAUUAUUAUUGUUGUAUUUCAUUUUUUGUUCACUCUUUAAAUAUUUUGUUCAUAUAGUUAUUUUGCAUUAUUGCAAUAUUGUUGCAUUAACGCAUUAUGUUUCUUAUAUAAUAAUUAUUUCGCUUUCGCGCAAUGUUCGAAUCAAUUAAACAUGAAUCUUAUCAAUUCUUACAUUAAUUCUUACUUAAGUUCAAAAAGAAAAUUUUCAAAAUAAGGUAAUAUUUUGCGUUUUAGAAAUUCGAGAAAUCGUACCCUAACUUACGGGGUUUCAAUUUUCUCGUUAAACUUAAAUAGCAAAAUAUUCUUUUAAAUUUCAAAAUGCAUGCAAUUUCAAUAAAAAUCAAAGGCAAGCUUAUUCUCUAAGGUUCCAAAUAUCGCGUCCUAACUUAUAGGAUGUGACAUUUCGUUACCUCGAGACGAGUAGGUCUUCAACUCUCUUUUUGAUUUAUUCGGGCGUUUUUAAUAACAUUAAUAAAAAGGGAUUCUAUUUUAAAUUUCCGUUCAAGUUUUCAACCUUCGAAAUUAAGACAUUAAUUAAUCAACUAGGUACCAACUUUGGGCGGAUCUAGGGUUCUAAUCCUUCCUUGUGCGUAACCGACUCCCGAACCCGUUUUCUGGAUUUUGUAGACCAAAUAUUAUCAUUUUAGUAAAUUUAAAUUUUUAUUAAAAUGAUUAGAUUACAAGGUGACUGGAUCACACCUCAUCAAAAAGGAUUGGUGGCGACUCCCAUUUGCGUUUUCAUUUUUUAAAAAAAUCAAAGUCAACCCAUUUUUAAAAAAAAUGGUUUCGACAAUAAGAUAUCUUGAUUAGUUAUGUCAUAACUAAAGAUGAUGGAGUUGAUAAAAGGAAAUUGUAGUUAACAACGAAUAAUCUACGUAGAAUAUUUCAAUAUUAUGGAAAAAUGAGUAUUUACCAACCUUCUUUUAGUCAAAUUAUGCAAGCCUAAAAUUUUUAGCUUAAUUUGAGUUUGUUGACUAUGUCUAAUUCAAGUUUUAUUAUUAAGGACUAAAUUGUAACUUAAACAAAUUAGAAUACCAAUUUAAAGAGACAAAAAUUCAAAACCCAAAAACCCACACGGGCUUGUGGGUAAGUGACACGGGCGUGUGGAGACUGGACCUAUCACACACGGGAGAGUGGGAUUGAGAAAUAUGAAAUAAAUUAAUCCACUUAAUUUUCCAACAACCAUGCUAUACUACCAAACCAAAUAGCGCUUGAAGCUUUGAAUAGGGACGAAUCUUAAAAAAAUUAGAAGAAUUAGAAUUAAAUUAUAAAAUUUUGAAAAGUUAUCAUGUUUUAAUUUAUUAUUUUUAAAAGGGUCUUAAUAGAAUUUUUUUUUCCCAUUUUGGUUGGGCCAAUACCCCUAUUUGCCUCUUUAAAUUUGCUUCAAUCCUAAACCCAAUGUUCGAUUUGUUGUGGAAGUUUGACGCAUAAAAAUUUCUUUUUUAGAGGUUUAAAUUAUAAAUUUUUGAAAGUUUAAAAUAAAUUUAUAUUUUUUAUUAACAAAAUAUAAAAGAUAAAAAAACAUUUUUAGACAAGCCAAGAAACCUUUGGGAUCAUACGGGUGAUUUUGAUGAUGUUAAUGGUUAUUUUGGUGGAAAGGGUGAAAAAGAAACAAAUGAUUCAUUAUAUAUAAUAUAAUUAUGAAAUUCAAGCCAUAUAUUGGAUGUUUCAUACAUAAAAAUUUCAUGGGACGUCCAAAGGUAAUUAAAUGACUUGUAGGCUUGCUGAAUUUCUUUGAAAGGCCCAAAGGCAAUUUAACAUUCACAAAAUAAUAUCUAAAUACUGUAAAGGCAAAUCAAAUCCACAGCAGCAUUUGCAAAUAUUACUUUGAUUUUGCAUGCAAUAUUGGCAAAACCCCCUCUUACAUUAGAAAAACAACAUAAUCCACGUAACAUUGAUAGCCCAAUACAAAUUUCAUCAAGAAAAAAGUCUCUUUGUUUUGUAGAACGUGAUAGUAAAGAUGUGGAGUUUCGUUCUUCUUAUUGGCCUCCUUUAGUUUUCCUUGAUCAACAGCCACAAGCCAAAAACACAAUUAGAUUAGAUUAUGAAUGAUACUUUCAACUAUGACAAUAUUAAAUACAAAACACUCCAAAUAACUCUAAAUAAAUGGAAAGCAGCAAAUUACCUGACGAGGCAAGCUAGCUCAAUUAAGAUCAUUGUGUUAUACUUGUCUCUAAAUUGAAAAUUUUAGAAGGAAAUAAAGAGAAAGAAAAUACUUGAAAACGGAUAAAACUUCUAUGUCAUUUAAAAUAAAAAAAAUUCUAUUUAAGCCAUUUAAAAUUUUUUAGAUUUUUAAAAUUUUAAAAUGAUUAAGUGUACUCAUUACUCACCAUCUCUGUUAAAAAUGUUGGAUGUUGUUUAGCAACCUUUGUUUGAUUUUCUUCAGCUCAACCACAACAUCUUUCAUAUCUUUUCUUUCUUCUGGUAACUCAGCUGAACAAUUCAAAGCCAACUCCAUGAUAGAUGAAAUACAAUUUGCUUUAACAACCAUGUACUCAUCCUCUCUUCUUAAUAAAUCAACAUCUGCAAUUUCUAUCGCUCCUUUAGGCAAUGAACUUUCCAUCCAAUGCCUUAUACUCUCUUCUUCAACAAAAACAUUAUCAGUUGGCUUUUUCUUUGUGAAAGUUUCUAUAAGGACGAUCCCAUAACUAUAGAUGUCAGAUUUUAUAGAAACAAUUCCUGCUGAUCCAAAUUCUGCAUUUCAAGUAUAAUUAGAACAUCAUUCAUCCUCAAUUAUUUCUAAAAUGCUUAUUCAAAUAUAUAUCCACAUCCACAUGAAACAAAAAUAUAAAAUGCAAUUUAGGAAAAUAAUCAUACAAAAAUAAAAAAUAAUUCACCUGGUGCCAUAUACCCGAUAGUUGCAAGAGUCAUGGUUUGCUUCAUUACUUCACCUUCUCCCAACAAUUUGGCAACGCCAAAAUCUCCAACAUGUGCAACCAUGUCUUCAUCUAGUAAAAUAUUGCUUGGUUUUAUGUCACAAUGAAUUAUAGGUGUUGGAUGUCCAUUGUGGAGGUGUUCUAUAGCUACCGCAACAUCUAUCAUUAUGUCGACCCUUUGUAUGAUAUCAAGGAAACAAUUUUCAGAAUGUAACCAUUUCUCAAGGUUUCCAUUAGACAUGUAAUCAAGCACCAAGGCUUUGAAGUCAACACUUGAGCAGCAAGUAAUGACCUUCACAAUAUUACGAUGAACUAUAUUAAGCAUAGCAUCACAUUCAAUGUCAAAACUCCUAAAUGCUCCCUCUGUUUGCAAAUUGAAAACUUUUAUUGCAACUUCCAUUCCAUCUGAAAGCCUCCCUUUAUAUACAUAUCCAAAACUCCCUGAACCAAGCAUAUUGCUUUCCUCAAAUCCAUUAGUUGCUCGUGAAAGUUCAGCAUGUGAAAUUCUUCUCGGUGUCUUCAAAGACAACAAAUCAUCUUUAAUUGGUAAAGCUGUACUCCUCCUUUGGCAUCUUCUAUACAUAAUAGUUAAGACUAUUAGUACUACGACAAUACCAAUUGUUGGUAAACCAUACCUAAAAGCAUGCAAUAUAAUCAUUUGGGAGUUUUUGUGGAUGUAGUUUUUACAAGGUGGGACUAGCAGUCUAGGUGGACCACAAAGUGCAUAAUUCUUCAUGAAUGAUGUGCUAGAAAAUUUUGAAAAACAUCCUUCGCUGGGAAUUUCCCCUUCAAGUCUAUUAAAAGACACAUUAAAAUACUUUAGAUAUAAAAGCUUUUCCAAAGAUUUGGGAAUGACUCCAGAGAGAUUGUUAUUGCAUAAAUCCAAGAAUUCCAAACUAAUCAACCCAUCAAAUGAUUCAGGGAUAUAACCAUGUAGUAUAUUAUUUGAUAAAUCUAAUGAAACCAAAGUUUGAAGACCCCCAAAUGAGGAUAAGAUAUCGCCCGUGAGAAGAUUCCUUGAUAAAUUUAGUUUCAGUAGACUCCUCAAAUUUCCAACAUCAAUAGCAUGUGAAUUGUGAAGAUGGUUUGAUGAUAAAUCUAUUUCUAAGAUAUCUUUAAGAUUCCACAAAGUUGAGGGUAUUGCGGAACUCAAUUUGUUGGAAUCUAAGUAAAGAUAUCCCAAAGAAGUAAUAUUACCCAAACAAGAGGGUAUAGAUCCAUGCAGCUUAUUCAACCCUAAAAACAAGUUGUAUAAUCUCUCCAAAUCACAAAGGCUUUCUGAGAUGGGCCCUCCUAAUUUAUUAGAGGAAAGACCUAGACUUUGGAGAUUGCGCAGUCCUCCUAUUGAUGUUGGAAUGAAUCCACUUAAUUUAUUAUAGCCAAGUUCUAAAACCAACAUUUUGCUUAAGUUACCUAUUUCCAUAGGAAUAGUGCCUUGAAGCUCACAAUCUUCGGCAUAAAAGUAUUGAAGGGAUUUUGAAAGGUUCCCAAUAUAAGUAGGAAGAACGCCACUCAAUGGAUUUUCUGAAACUCCUAUGGUUUUCAAAUUCUUACAAUUCGUCAAAGAAGAAAGAAAGCUCCACUCAUGAUCAGUAGCAGAUCCUGUGAUCAAAUUAUUGUUUACGAUUCUGAACCAUUCAAGCUGUCUUAAGUUGCCAAGCGUUUUAGGGAUUGGGCCAGAGAAUAAGUUAUCUCCCAAGUCUAGUUUCGUAAGCAUGGAAGCAUUGGAGAUAGAGUAGGGAAUGUUUCCGCUAAGUUUAUUUCCCCCCAAAAAAAGAAACUCAAGCUUUGGAGCAUUGGUAAUGGGUGGUAAAUUACCUGUAAAAUAGCAUCUUUUAGUAUACAUAUUAAUUGAAUACCAAAUUCAUAAAAUAUAUAAUACAUUAAAAUAAAAACUGUAAAACUUCAAAUCAAUUAAGAAUAAAAUUUUGGCAUGGAAAAAUGUGAUGAAAUCAAUUAGAAAGUUGAGACAUAAUAAGAAGUUUUGAGUAGUAAUUACUCAUGAUUU